rnacentral:lncRNA from 1 species
UCUCCUGUGGCCGCCGCCAUCCCAACCGGGUCACGGCCCUCGACCUCACGUCUCUCCGCCUAGCCGGUCUCAUAUCGCCCUCCGUAGCCAACCUCACAUUCAUCCAGAGGAUCGACCUGUCCGACAACAUGCUAGACGGGAGCAUCCCAGAGGAGCUAGGAAGCCUACGCCGGCGGCUGCGAUAUCUCAACCUGAGUGUGAAUUCUCUUCGCGGAACGAUCCCGUCUUCGCUCGGCAAUUGCUCAAAUCUUCAACUACUCAACUUGACAGAUAAUAAGCUCAAUGGUGAGAUCCCGCCGACCCUAUCGCGUCUUUCCGGUCUUAGAAAGCUUAUCCUGCGUUGGAACAUGUUACAAGGAGCAAUCCCUUCCAAUCUAACACUGUGUCAAGAGCUUCAGGUUAUUGAUCUAAGUCAUAACAUUCUCACGGAAGAAAUUCCACCAGAGCUUGGCUAUCUCCAAAAGCUAAGAGGGUUAGCACUCAGCUACAAUAAUCUUACAGGAGCCAUCCCUGCUACUUUGGGCAAUCUUGCUCAGCUUCAAUACCUUUAUCUACAAUUCAAUAGCUUUAUUGGACCCAUCCCAGAUUCAAUUGGCAACCUCUCCUCCCUACAAUUUCUUCUUUUAGAUGAUAAUAGCCUGUCAGGACCCAUGCCUCCAUCCUUUGGUAGCCUUCUCUCCUUGAAGAUACUUGAAAUCGAAUUCGCUGGUCUCACAGGAACCAUUCCGCCCACUCUCACAAAUCUCUCCGCUCUGAACGAGCUUGCACUACGAGGAAACAACCUUCAUGGUGAAAUUCCUCACUUUGCGAAACUUCCAUUCCUCUCUAUCUUGGACUGUGCUGUUAAUUAUCUCUCAGGGACGAUCCCAAUCUCGCUCGGACGACUUUCAUCUCUCCAAUAUCUCAAUCUCGGGAUGAACAACUUAACAGGGGAAAUACCGUCAUCCCUUUACAAUCUAUCAUCCCUGACGGCCUUAGUACUCCCUCAUAACCAACUCAAGGGAACUCUACCCUACGAUAUCGGAAAUGCACUUCCGAACCUUCAAUUGCUUCUUAUGUAUGAGAAUCAGCUCGGGGGGCGAAUUCCGGCAUCCUUGUCCAAUGCUUCUGAGCUCAACAACAUUGAGCUAUCGGUCUAUGCAUUCCACGGCACGAUACCGCCGAGCCUUGGAGCCUUGCAGAGUCUCUCGUGGCUCGAAUUGUUCAGUAAUCUACUCGAAGCCAAAAAGCCUAGUGAUUGGAGCUUCGUUACAGCAUUGAACAACUGCACCAGUCUCCAAGUCUUGGAUCUAGGAGACAAUCUACUUCAAGGCAUGAUGCUCAAAUCAAUAGUCAAUCUUUCCACUAGUCUUAAUAUUUUGGCACUAGAAGACAACCAACUAUCAGGAAUUAUACCUGCUGAGAUUGAGAAGCUCAUCAAUCUAACUGUCCUUGACGUGAGUGGUAACAACCUUCGAGGCACCGUUCCCGUAGAAAUCGGUCAUCUUAGGCAACUACAGCUUUUAGAUCUGUCAAAUAACAUGCUUUCGGGCGAAAUUCCUCCCACUUUGGGCAACCUAACACGAAUGGACAAACUCUAUCUCGACAGCAACGAAUUUGAAGGAGCCAUUCCGCCGACAUUAAGCAACAUGUUAAUGCUAGAGUUGUUAAAUCUAUCAAAUAAUAGGCUAAGCGGUAGCAUUCCGAAAGAAGUUUUGAGCCUUUCGUCGCUCGCGAGCUUCCUUGACUUGUCACAUAAUUUACUAAACGAUUCAUUACCAUUAGAAGUGGGCAACUUGAUAAAUAUCAGGGAGCUUGAUCUCUCAAAUAAUAGGCUCUCUGGUGAGAUUCCAGACACCAUUGGCAAAUGCGCAAUCUUGGAAAUCCUUCAUCUAGCGAAUAACUUAUUUCAAGGGUCCAUUCCUUCUUCCUUGAGCAAUUUAAGAGGGCUCAAGGAGCUUGAUGUCUCAAAAAACUUCUACUCGGGCCAAAUACCCGCAUUCCUUGAUGAGCUCCCAGAUCUACGAAACUUGAAUCUCUCCUUCAACAGUUUUGAGGGUCGAGUGCUGAUGAAAGGGGUUUUUACGAAUGUGAGCGAAGUCUCGCUUAUCGGAAACCCUAAACUCUGUGGCGGAAUUCCAGAAUUACACUUGCCGAAAUGCACUUCAGAUGCCUUUGCAGCAAAACGUCACUCUGAUUAUAAACUCAAGGUAAUACUCAUUCCCAUAGGUGGAGCAAUUUUGUGUUUGAUUAUAAUCAUGUGCUUGCGUGGGAUACAUCACUUGAUAAAAAACUCCCGGAGAAAGCCGAUGUCAAGGUCUUCCUUAAGAAACCGACACACGAAAGUAUCUUACAAUGAGCUCUUCAAGGCUACACAUGGGUUCUCCUCAGAUAAUCUGAUCGGCAUGGGCAGUUUUGGGUCGGUUUAUAAAGCCGCCAUGAACUAUGAAAAUGCCGACAUUGUUGCGGUGAAAGUGUUUAACCUUCAACAGCAUGGGGCUUUCAGGAGUUUUAUGUCUGAAUGUGAGGCCUUGAGAAGCAUUCGACAUCGAAAUAUUGUCAAAAUUCUUACAUCAUGCUCUAGUUUGGAUCACCACGGUAACGAUUUCAAGGCCUUGGUUUUUGAGUACAUGCCUAAUGGGAGCUUAGAAGAGUGGCUACAUCCAAAUGCACGCGGGAAUAGGCCAUUCAGAAGCCUAAGCCUAAUCCAGAGGUUGAACAUAGCCAUCGACGUAGCCUCGGCAUUAGAGUAUCUUCAUCACCGAGGGUCUGUGCCGAUUGUUCACUGUGAUCUUAAGCUGAGUAACAUCCUUCUAGACAACGAAAUGACAGCGCACGUGAGCGAUUUUGGGUUAGCAAAGUUUCUGCGGCAACCGCCUGAUGAAUCAUCUCGGUGUUCAUCUACCGGCACUGUGGGGAUCAAAGGAUCUAUUGGUUAUGUUCCUCCAGGUGUGAAAUAUGCAAUGGAAUGCUAACUUUUUUCUUGCUUUACACCAUUUCAGAAAAAAAAUAUAACACAUUUUUAUUUGAUUCCUAACUACAUCCAAUAUUUUUUGCUGCUCACUAUCUUUUGAAGCAAAAACAAGUGAAUAGCAUAAGUUUAAUAAAUAAUAUGAUAAAUUGAGUGUAUUAAUUAGUAGAAAAGGGGAAAAAAAUAUUGUAGGAAACAAAAAGGAUACUACAUUUUAGCCACGAAAACUGACAUACUAGAGUUAGAAUUAACAGCUCGAUGCUUACUACUAAAAACUAAUUACUUAUGAUCACUAAACACGCAAGAGCUGGAACUUUAUUUCUACAUAUCUGAUGCUAUUUUAGAGUCAAUUUAUAAACUAAAAGAUCAAACUUAGUUUUUGUAACUAUGGCUUGGAAACAAUAGGAACCAAAUCCAAACCCAAAUGAAUUCACCUGACAAUCUUGUAUUAUCUGUUUCCAACUAACUAAUGUUGUGCAGAGUAUGGAAUGGGCUGUAAACCGUCUAGGCUCGAUGUGUACAGCUAUGGAAUUCUUCUGCUGGAGAUGUUCACUGGAAUGAGCCCCGUCGACGACAAGUUCAAAGACGGACUGAGCCUUCGUGGAUAUGUUCGUGCUGCUGCUGCUGCUUCUCCUGAACAUGUCAUGGACAUCGUAGACAGAAACCUGCACUCAGCUGAUAAUGAUAUAGCUUAUCGAGAAGAGCGUGUGCGAGAUUGCGUAGUUUCGGUGUUCGACUGCGGUCUCUCGUGCUCGAACGAAUCGCCAUACGAACGAUGCGACAUGACAAAAGUCUUAAAGGAGCUGAGUGCAGCAAGAGAGAGGUUUCUUAGGUAAAAGAAGUUUUGCUCCCUAUGCUAUGGUUCUCACUAGAGGCAAAUGAAUGCUGGUUUGAUCAUCCUCUGCUUUUCCUUAUUUUACAUUUAAAAAAUAACUUUGUGUCAUGCAAAUGCCUAGUCCUUAUGGUUUUGAUCACUCCUUUCUAAAAUGAAUACAACCAAAAGGAGACAAGCACUUCAAAAUUUGCAUCUGUAUACAUUAAUAGCUUCAAAUUCCUAAUUUCUGGCUCAAGUUUAUAACUGACGCCUAAUGAAAACACUUUUAAACAGAAAGCUCCAACCCCCUUUUUUUUUUUUUUUGAGGAAACAGGGGUAUACCCUAUUUAGACAGGAAUGGAAAGGGUUACAAAAAGUCGAAGAUAAAAGGCUAGCUACAGCCCGGAUCAACAAAAGGGUCGAAACACUGACCGAAACACAAACACGAUCAGCACCUACACCCAGACUUUACAAGACAGAAGAAAGUUGCUGGUGACCUCAAGUAAUAAUAGCGUUUCCAAUUACCAAUCAUUCCCUCAUCCUCUUAGCUCUGAUGUCCACAGAUUUACCAAGUUAUGAACUCUACUUGCCGUAUCAUCCGUUCGCGUAGGUCGGUCUUCAAAUAUGCGCCUGUUUCACUCUUUCCAUAUUUCCCAACAUGCUGCAGUAAAAUAAAGAUCAAACCAUUUCUUUUGCCUCCCUCCGACAGAACUCCUUGGAUGAUCCCAUCGAUCAGGUAAAUCACCUGGGUGUGUAUUUAUCGAGAGUUGGGCUGCCGGAGUUGUUUGUAGGAGCUGAGCCCACACCGUCAUCGCAGGAUGUGUUCAAGGUUUUCACCAUUCGUAGAGCAUAGAGCGCAAAUCGGCGGACCGUGCCAGCCCUUUUUAGUUAAGGUAUCAUCUGUCAAUACUCUAUUUCUCGCCGCAAGCCACAUGAAGAUUUUAACUCGCAGGGGGAUCUUGAUCUUCCAAAUAAAAGAAAUUCUGCAAGCAUCUAGGCCAUCAAAGCUAAGAAAAAAAAUUCUGAAAGCAUCUAUGCCAUCAAAGCUAAGAAAAUAAAAGAAAUUCUGAAAGCUCCAACCCUAUUUAGAAUGGUAUAUAUACAAAUUUUGGAUUUUUUUUUUCCCCCUUUUUAAUUAUAGAUAGCGUAGGGUGUAUAUACCUGCUACUAUCCUUCUAAGACAACACAGUUCUUUAUCCUAUUAAGUUGUUUCUUUCCAAUGGUGAUAGGACAUUUGGAUCAACAAUCUGCACUGAUAAAUAUGAUUUUGGGCAUUGUAAGUGAACCAAAUUUUCUGAUUUUUAAAGAUUAUUUUAUGGUUCACAACAUUCUGAAAAUGAAUUAUGGGAUUCAUCAAUUUAAGAUCAAAGGUAUGCACCUUGAUCUAUAUAGUUUAAAUUAUUUUCAAACAAAAAUUCAAGCAAUGUAGACUCAAGUUGUCGAUUUUGAGAUGCUUCAAUCAGUACAUGAUGUCAGGAAAUAAUUGAAUUUUAGUUCCCAGAGAGAGUUUACUUUGAACGAAAUCCCAAUUCAAUAAACUGAAAUAACCCCAACAAAAUAAAUAAAGUUUAGAAGGUGUCUAUUGAAAAGGAACAAUGAAAUUGAGGGUCCUAUUUUACAUGGCCUGUAGUUGCGGUGACUCCAUGCAUGUUUACCUAAAAUUAGCACAAAAUAGAGAUCUUAAGAGACCAAACAUUACAUCCAGAUGGACUGCAAAUUAAGUAAACAGUAAACGCUUCAAGGAAAAUUUUAUUAUGACCAGCAAAACUUUUUCAUGCAAAUUUUUUCUUUUCCUUUUUCAACAUUAAUCGAAACAUAAUUUACUUGUACCAUUUUCUUUUUUUCUUUUUAGCUCAAGUGAGAAGUUUACAUGUGUACCCGAGAUAUAUAUAUAUAUAUAUAGCUCCCAACCUGUAAUAAGAGAUUAAAGAAAGGAUUAUGUUAGAGAGGGAACCGGCAGCCCACCAAAGCUCCCUCACUGACGGCCACGGGAAGCGGCCCGACGACACAUUUUCCGGCUAUGGUGAUGACGGCCCCUUCAAUGGUGGCGGGGGUGGCGGCGGAGGGGGGAGGUGCGCUCAAUUCAUCAGCUCGGGGACAGAGAUCGCUAAAUAUAGAGAAAAGAAGAGUUCAAAAAAGAAAAAAAACAAAUUGAGAGAGGGAGAGAUCUCUAAAUAUAGAGUAAAGAAGAGUUAAAAAAAAAAGAAAAAAAGAAAAAAAACAAAUUGAGAGAGGGAGGAGGUAGAGGGCAAAUGCGUAGGAAGGCGAAGCAUCACAGCAGGUGGGGUGAGUGGACAGAAAUGCAAAUUGUCACGGCAGGGAGGUAGAGGGCAAAUGGGUAGGAAGGCGAAGCAUCACAGCAGCAGGUGGGUGAGUGGACAGAAAUGCAAAUUGUCACGGCAGGUGCUGAGCGGGCAGGUAUGCAAAGCGUCAAAGCAGGUGUGCCAGCGGAAAAAUUCUACAAUGCAACGGGUAUAUUAAUGACGUGGUGAUGUAUAACAAAUCAAUUAAAUAUUUUCUUUUAGAGAUAUAUAUUCUAUCAUAAUUAUAAAAAAAUAUUUUUAUUGUACUUUUAUUUGAAAAGAAGGAAUGCGAUUGACUUGCUAUUAAUGAUGUGGUGCAAGUAUGAUAGUGUAGAAUUCCUCGUGCGAGCGGGCAGCUAUGCGAAGCGUGACGCAUGCCACGUUAGAUUAGUAAAUCAGUUUUUAUAUAUUACUAGUGUAGUUACCCGCGCGAUGCAACGGGUAGACACUAUCGAAACAAUCAUUAUUUCUAUAAACUAAUUAAUAUUAGUUUAAAUGGCCGGCAAAAAUUGGUAAAAAACUAUUAAAGAUGACAUUUUCAUACUUAUUAACUCAAUAAUCUAUAUAAUCAAACUCAAUAGUUUAGUAAAAAAAAAAGAUUAUAAGAAAAGCCAAAUACAAAAUUUACAAUUUGAUUACACAUAACAACUCAAAUAAAAAAAAUUGUUACAAGUUCAAGCGAGUGUUAAUUAAAAAUUAAAUAAAAUUGAGGGCCUAUUUCAAAUGGCUAUAGAGGAUCUCUCGGUAAAUAUUUUUACCAAUUCUUUUUUAAUAUUUAAAAAAAAGCCAAGCAAAGCCAAACCUGCACAUCUCCGGACCCAAUUGUUGCCCUUAUGCCUGGCGAAAUCUUGAUGAGUGAAUGAGCCCUAAAACCCCACAGAAGUGAACACCUCAUGAGCAUCUACUACAAACCAAUUUGAAUUAUAACAGAGAUGUGUAACUUGAGUUACCUCUAACAUGUAUGUAACAUUCUCAAAUCCUAGAAAUAUAUAUAUAAAUAAUUAAACACAACAACACCUGAGCAGAAGCAAAUACCCUAUAACAUAAGACCAUGAAUAAUAAGUUGUGAUUUUUCAAAACCAACCUCUAUGAGGGUGAUUAGGAAACCCAGCGGGAGUAGAAACUGCAACAAAACAAAUUGUAAUUCAAGCGAAAAAAAAAAACCUGACUUAAAAAGAAAAAAAACAGUUGAGAAAAAUCAAGCAAAAUUUGAAAGAAUUUAAUGAUAAAAAUUCUAAAUUUUUUAUCCAAAUCGGAAAAAAAAAAAAGGUUUUCACAUCUUUCUAGAAACCAAAAUAUCUUCAAACUUAUCCAGGAGAAGGAAAGGAUCCAAGCUUCUCAGCUCAGGCCUGCAAAUCACAUAAACCCCAUCAAAUUAACACCCAAAAUAGAAAAACCAAAAGGUACAUAUAUAAAAAAAAAGAAUGAAUUCAUGAAAAUGACUUUUUUUUCUUUCACAAGAAGUAAUUGAUUCAUCUGAAAGUUCGAUCUCAGUCAGUCAAUGAAUUACAAACUUUUAUGUGAAUUAUCUUCCAAUGCUUCUCCUCACGGUGGCGUCUUGUCCAUAAAAAAAAAAAAUAGCAAAAUAAUAAAAGAAUGAAAUGGUGACUAUGAAAAGACAAAAACGUAUUCAAAGAGUAAUAAAUUAUGAUUAUAAUUACCAUUAAUUGAUGAACGUUAAUGUAGAUUACCAUUAAUUCAUGAAACGUUAACGGAUAUACCGGAGAGGAGAGGGGAGGGGAAGGGUGGGCGAGAUGAAGAGAUGCCUAAUACGGUGAGAAUUAAAGGAGAGAGAAUUAAUACGUUAUUGGGGAUUAAUAGAAUAGGUAUAGAUAUAGAUUAUCUAUCUAUUAAUCUAAGAAUAAAGGGUUUCUUGCCACGUGGCAAGAAACAUUGUGGAUUCGUUAUGUUUAAUAGAUAUUAUAUUACUAGUGUAGUGAACUGUGCGAUGCGACGAAUAGAUAAUUAGAGAAAUAAUAAAAAAACAGUGACAAAAAGAAGAUGAGACAAUGAUGGAAGAAGCGACGAUAAGGAAUGAAAUUCAUCUUGUAAACGAUAGCCGAAGGAAGUGGAAGAAGAACAAUUCGGCCCAAUGCAGAAUUGCGAUCCGGUUUGGUUCAAGCAAAAAAAAAAAGAAAAACAUAAUUUGAUUCAAGUAAAGAAAGAGAAGAAUAUGUGGAUGACUUGAGUCGGUUCAGGGGAGCCCGCUCUGAAUAAUGAAUGAUUUGGUUUAAGUAAAUAAAAAGAAAAAUUCGGUUUGGUUCAAACAAAGAAAGAGAUAAAUAUAUAGAGAAUUUGAGCCGGUUUGGGGUGGAGCCCACACCCAACAAUGAAGUGAAUAUUGCAAUGUGGCAAAUUUAGGAAGAAUAAUACAUAGAAGUAGAUAGAUAUAGAUAUAGAUAGAGAGAAUUGCAUUGGAAUACUAUUAAUAGUAUCUGUGCUCUUUUGCUAUCGAGUUUUUAACACUUAUAAAUGAAAAAUUAUAGGGUUAGGAUGAUGGUGGUCUCCCAGGAUUUACUUGUGGUCUCCCUAAAGUUGAGAUAGUGGUUGGUUAAAUAGUAUGAUCUAAAAGAUAUAAUUGAUAAAAUUGUAGAUUUAACGAUUAAAAAAUUAAUAGCAAAAAAAGCCAAAUACUAUUAAUAAUAUUCCAGCUCCACUCUAGAUAUAGAUUACUAGUAUAGAACCCGUACUUCACUGCAGAUAAAUAAAUUAUGGUUAGUUGAUAGUAGUUUUUUGGAAGUGUUUUAAUAAAUCAAAAGAUGUUAUUAAAUAGACACUUUUUUAAAAAAUAUAAGCAAAACUAAUGUAAAGACUAACAAACUUUUAGAUGAAAUAAUUACAUAUAAGGGAUAAUUGCAUAUAUACCUCUCAAAACUUUGCAAAUAUCUUAUUUACCCCUAUUUUUUAUUUCUUUCCAAUAUACCCUCUAUAUGUUUCUCCGUUAUUUCAAAAUAUCCAUGCAGUUACCACCCGUUAAGUUAACUUGGGUUAAACGUGAGUUAAAUAUCUACCACAGUUAAAAAAAAUUAAAAUGCCACUUUUGUUCUUAAAUUAAGGACAAAUAAGAAAGGUUCGUGAUAGUAGAAGGGUAUAUUUGAAAAGACCAAAAAGUAAAAUACUUUUUGUGCCCCUAAUUUAAGAACAAAUAAGAAAAGUCACUGAUGGUAGAAGGGUAUAUUUGAAAGGGCAAAAUAGUAAAAAAAAAUCAAAAUACCUUUUUUGCUGUGAUGCUCAAAGGGUAUAUUUGAAAGGGCAAAAAGUCAAAAUAGUUUUUUUGCCCCUAGCCUAAGGCAAAUAAGAAAAGUCGGUAAUAAUGGAAAGAUAAAUUCGAAAAGAUAAAAUAAUAAUUUUACAGAGAUACCGGUUAUUUAUAACAACUUACUAACAGAACUUAAAACGUUAAAAACAUAUUUUCUUCAUUAGCCUUCUAUAGAGGUAUAUAAGAAAGUUUUAAACUUUUCAGUGCUAUGUUAGCAAUUGCCCCAAAAAAUUAUACGGUUUAUUGAAAUACCUAGCUAGCAGCGCCAAUUUCUAAUAGGAAAAAAAAAAGUACAAACACUUUCUAAACUUUAGAGCAUUUGGCAAAUAGAUUCCUCAGUUUUCAAUUUUGACAGCUAGACACCUUAAGCAUUCUAAAAUAAUUCAAUAUAUAACUCCCUCCCUAUAUAUGAAAAUGUCCGUAUGUCAACAAAUUUCUUGCAUAUGAUCUUGUGAAGCUUCAAAAUAUAUUAAAAUCUGCCUUUUUUUAUUCUAAAACUUGAGUAAAGCAAUUAAUUAAAAUGAAAGAUAGAUUUAGUUUGUAUAUUCUUCAAUCCUUAUAUUGUAGUUUUAUCACCAAAAGAGAAGAAAUAGGUUUUUCUUUUGUGUUUUUUAAACCUUGCAAGAAUCACAUCUCUAAAAUAUGCUAUCAAAAUGGCUUUUUAAUUAGUAUUUUUUUUCUUCAGAAAAUUGACCAAUUAAACUAUUUGAUUAUUUUAUAAGAUCUAGUUGCUAAAUUAAAAAUUAGAAGAUCAUUUGACAAUAGUUUAUAGUUUAGGAGUUUUUGUGUAUUUAUCCCUUUCAAUUUUAAUAUGUCUAUACGUAAAAAUGUACGGCGAUACCGUCGUAUAGGCCAUUUUGAAACUUGUUCCCUCCAUCUACAAUCUAUAAUUUAUAAUCUAUAAUCUAUAAUCUAUCUAUAAUCUAUAAUCUAUAACUAUAUAUUAUUUCUCAAUAACUGCACACGUGUCGCGAGAAGGCCGAGGCUCGGGUGAGGGCACGGGGCGUGGGCUGCGGUGGGUGAUGGCGCGGGUGUGGUGCGGGCACGGUGCGGGCCCCGGCUCGGGGGCGGGCUCCGGCGCUGGCGCCACGGGGCGAGGGCUUCGGCCGCUUGGUGCUGGCCUGGCGGGCGCGCGCAAGCCGGCGCGGGGGUGGGUUCGGCGCUUGGCGCCGUGGGCGAGGGGGGCGCGUGAGGGGCCGGGGCGCUGCGCGGGGGUCGUGGCGCGGCGUCCGAGCGGUGUCUCUCGCGGAGCCGAAAAAAAAUCGCGGCUCUUGGUGUGGUGGGUUGCACGGGUCCACAGGCCAAGUGGCCUUGUGGACGCUAAUGAGAAGAGGUCACGGUGGACCUCCUCUCAUUCUCCUCUCUCUCUCUCUCACUCUCUCUCUAUAUAUAUAUAAUUUUAUUAUAUAAUAAUAUAUAUAUAUAAUAAAUUUAUUUAUAAAUAUUAUAUAUUUAUGUAUUAAUAUAGUAUUAUAUAUAUAUAUAUAUUUAUUUAUAAAAUAUAAUUUAUUUAUAUAUAGUAUUUAUUUUAUAUAGAUAUAUUAUUAUAUAAUAAUUUAUUAUAUAUUUACUAUUUAUUUUUAUAAAUGUAAAUAUAUAAAUAAAUGUUAAAUAUUUUAGACUAUUGUAUUAGAUAUAUUUAUUUCAUUAAUACUUGCAAAAAUUUUUUCACUAACUGCUUGGGGGGACUACGAUGCUUAUAAAAAUUAUUUCUUAUUAAUAGGAAAGUAUACUGUAUUUUAUUUAAAAUUAUUUCGUAAUUUGUCCGUAAUAUUUCAUAAUUAUUCUAAAAUUAAUUUUUAUAACUAAUUUUCAAAAUUAAAUUUUAAAAUAACUAACCGCAGCAUGAUUUCUCUUCUCAUUCACUAAUUACUCGGGGACUACAAUACCUACUAAAAUUAUUUCAUUAACUAAUGGGGGACUACUAUGCCUACUAAAAUUUUUUUAUGUACUUAUUGCACCAUUUAAAUUCUGAAAUUAAUUUUUAUAAUUAAUUUUUAAAAUUAAAUUUUAAAAUAACUAUCCGCAGCAUCGGACGGUUCCCUUAACUAGUUUUAUUUUAUUUGGAUUGAGACAGGCCUUCACUAUUGAUUUUUUGAGAAGCGAUAUUUCUGUUCUUGUAAGGGCAUCUGUGUAAAUACAUGCCUUUAGAAGGGCAGUGAGGAAUUUCUCCUUUUAAAAAAAACUUAAAGAGGGUAAUUUCAAAAUACCCUAUAGUUGAGGGGGUCUCCAUACACUUUAACCUAUAAAUGAGGGCUUUUUUUUACAUUUAGCCCCCUUUUAAUUUGUUUUUUUCACAAAUAGCCCUACGAAAUUUAUAAUUACAAAAUUGGCUCAUUCCCGCAAUGCAAGCACCAUACCAGCGGCUAUGAAAGAUUAAGUUAAACACGAUAAAUGAUUCACCGUAUUUAAACACGGUAAACCAUUCAUCGUAUUUGGACGGACUAAACAGUAGCUAACCCAGUAGUGCAAAAAAACUCAAACAACACUGCAGUACAUUUUAGUUUAAACACGGUGAACCAUUCACCGUGUCUAAAUACAGUGAAUGGUUCACCGUGUUUAACUUAUGCCAGCCAGCCGUUAACGUGGCGCUUACUAGGGGUAGAAACGAGCCGAGCUCGAGCGAGCUUAUGUCAGCUCAAAUUCGGCUUGAAAUUAAUUUCGAGCCUAAAUCUAGGCUCAAGCUCGGCUUAUAUAUUAACUCGAGAAUAUGAAAAUUUUCAUGGUUCAGUAAACACGAACAUUCAAAAAUCGGGAACCUAAUUAUCUACACGCCAAUCCUACUACACCCGGGGGAACCUAACUCACCCACCAACCAACUUAUCAUAUUAGAUUGCCCACUUUUACUAGUUUCCGCAUCUAGAUUGCCAUUUUUUAAGUGUUCGUGGUUCACGAGCCAUGAAAAUGUUCGUGGUAUCGGCCUGAUAUAUAUAUAUAUAUAUAUCCCAAAUCCCAAAUCCAUAAAUAUUUAUAUUUUAUAAAUAUUUAUAUUACAUAAAAUUAAUAUAUAUCCGAAAUUAAAUUAAACCCGGUAAUAACAACCGGGUAUUUUAUUUUGGUUGUUCAUGUUGGCACGUUAACUCGGGUUGAGAUUUAAAUGUAUUGUGUGAGAGAGAAACUCUAAAAGUGACAACGUGUAUUAGGAUUUUGUACUAUUGUAAGUUUAAGGGUUUAGGGAUUAAAAAAAGAGGGGGGAGAGAGAGAGAGAGAGAGAGAGAAAGAGAGAGAGAGAGAGAGAGAGUCUGGGAGUGGGUCAGUCCGUCAGUGGGAACGAGUGUAAAGAACGUUAAUAAAACAUAAAACUUGAUAACCUGUACAACGUAGUUUAAUAUUCAUUACAAGAUAUUUUUAAUUUGAUAACUAAUAUAUUACAGCUUUUAAAGUUAACCGAGCAAAUCUCGAGCUCGAGCCGAGCUGAGCUUUAAUCCGAGUGAGUUCGAGCCGAGCUUAAUUAAAAUNAGCUCGAGCGAGCCGAAUAUCGAGCCGAACACGAGUCGAACGCGAGCCGGCUCGCUCGUUUGCCAGCCCUAGCGCUUACGUGGCAGAAAUAUGACUAGUUUUAAAAUUAUAAAUUUUAUAAGGGUAUUUAUAAAAAAAAAAUUGUGAAUGGGCUAAACGCAUAAAAAAUCUUAUAAACCAUUAACCUGGCUCCAAUAAUAAUUCGUUCUAUUUCAUGGACUAGUAUUCUCCUCCACUCCGGUCACCUCUACUAAGUCAAUCCACUAAUUUCCACAAAUUUCUUUAUCACAAUAAAUUAGAUGGUCGGAUCCACUAAUUGUCCACCAAUUUUCACAAACUCCUUUAUCACAAUAAAUUCCUUUAUCACAAAUUCCUUUAUCACAAUAAAUUUGAUGGUUUAGGUGCCUUUAGUUAUCCACUUUGUUUAUUUUUUAUAUUAUUCGAAUGUGCAGUUACAAUUAUAUGGCACUAUAAAAAAAAUCUCAAAAUAAAAAUGCUUUUUAAACGACAUUUAAAAAGUUGUUCUUCAAGCGUCCCUACAAUACAGCAAAUAUCGACGUUUCAAAAACCGUCAUUAUAUGAAUCCUCUAUUGUAUCAAACUAAUUUAUUAGAAUAUAAAUUUAUUAUUAUUUUUAAUUUUUUGACGCUUUAAAUAUUAGGGUUUCAAAAAUUCUUAAAAGUCCUGUCGUUUUAAAACGUCGGAAUAUAUUUUACCGACGCUUAACAUUAGCAUCGGUAUAUACAUGACGACUCUUCAUUUCGCGAUAUUUAACCAACGCUUUUUUUUUUGAGAGAGAGAUAGAUAGCACGCUACCUGCUUCGUUUAUUUUAUUUAGGAAUAAACUUAGCUGAAAAUGUGAAUCAACUAAUAUUCGAAUUUGGGUCUCGGGUACCAACUACUAAGCCCUUUGCCACUAGUUCUAGGAACGGUCAGUCAACGCUUCUAAAUAUCAUGCUGAACUAUCUUAGGACAAGUUUAAGUAUCGUUUAAUAUAAUAAAAAAAAGUCCUCAAAUGGUAAGUCUCUUGCAGUGCAGUCUUAACUAUUCACUUAGUUUAUUUUUUUAUAGUGCACGAAUAUACAGCUACAAAUAAAAGUAGGUGCUUUUAGCUUAUCCACUUAAUUAAAAAAUAAAAUAACUAGAGUUUGAUUUUUUUUUUUUUUUUUUCGUAGUGCAAGAAUAUACAACUGCAAAUAAAAAUAGGUGCUUUUGGCGUAUCCACUUAAUUAAAGUAGGUGCUUUGACAUUUUCAAUUUUAGUGACAUUUUGGAGAAGUAUUGCUCUACUAGGAACACAAGUAUUCUCACACGGUGUGUUACUACCUUACGGCAACUACAGACUUUUUGACUAAGCAUGGAAGUUACUUUGUUAUCUAUCCAGUUGUCAAGAUUAAUAAAUACCAACGAAGAGCUACUGCAGGAUUGCGAUAGCUUUAGCUUUCUCUUGUCUUAGUCCGUAGAAUGGAAGGCUUUUUCCAUGCACUAUUUUUUCUCAUCAUUCUACUACAUGUGAUCUCCACCGCCCGGUGCACUGCCGCCGCCGCCGCCGCCGCCGCCGCCGGGAUCAAACAAGCUGCAUCUGACCGCGCCGCCCUCCUCUCCUUCAAGUCCCUCGUCGACGACGCUCCGUUCGGAGCGCUCUCCUCGUGGAACAACGGCUCUCUUCACUACUGCAGGUGGCGCGGUGUCUCCUGCGGCCGCCGCCAUCCCAACCGGGCCACGGCCCUAGACCUCAAGUCUCUCCGCCUAGCCGGUCUCAUAUCGCCCUCCGUAGCCAACCUCACAUUCAUCCAGACGAUCGACCUGUCCGACAACAUGCUAGACGGGAGCAUCCCGGAGGAGCUAGGAAGCCUACGCCGGCUGCGAUAUCUCAACCUGAGUGUGAAUUCUCUUAGCGGAACGAUCCCGUCUUCGCUCGGCAAUUGCUCUAAUCUUCGACUACUCAACUUGAGAGGUGAUAAUCUCAACGGCGAGAUCCCGCCAACUCUAUCACGUCUUUCCGAUCUUCAAGUGCUUCUCCUGAAUCAAAACAUGUUACAAGGGACAAUCCCAGAUUCACUUGGGAAUCUUUCUUCUCUACUCAUUCUUUCUUUAGACGAUAACAGCCUGUCAGGAGCCAUGCCUCCAUCCUUCGGUAGCCUUCUCUCCUUAGAGAGACUUGAAAUCCUAUUCACUAAUCUCACGGGAACCAUUCCGCCCACUCUCACAAAUCUCUCCGCUAUGAACACACUUGCGCUACGAAGAAACAACCUUCACGGUGAAAUUCCUCACUUUACAAAGCUUCCAUUCCUCUCUUACCUGGACUGCGGUUAUAAUCAUCUCUCUGGGACGAUCCCAAUCUCGCUUGGACGACUUUCAUCUCUCGAAUAUCUCCUUCUCGGGAUGAACAACUGAACAGGGGAAAUACCGUCAUCCCUUUACAAUCUAUCAUCCUUGAACACCUUAGAACUCUUUUAUAAUCACUUGAGGGAACUCUACCCUCCGAUAUCGGAAAUACUCUUCCAAACCUUCAAGUCCUUCGUAUGUAUGGUAAUCAGCUCGGGGGGCAAAUUCCAGCAUCCUUGUCCAAUGCUUCUGAGCUUUACGACCUUGAGCUAUCACUCAAUGCAUUCCAUGGCACGAUACCGCAGAGCCUUGGAGCCCUGCAGAGCCUCUUGCGGCUCACACUGGCCUUCAAUCGACUCGAAGCCAGGAAUCCUAGUGAUUGGAGCUUCAUUACGGCACUCACCAACUGCACCAGUCUCCAAGCAUUGGAUCUAAGAAACAAUCUACUUCAAGGCAUGAUGCCCAAAUCACUGGUCAAUCUUUCCACUAGUCUUUAUAUUUUGGCACUCGGAAACAACCACAUAUCAGGAAUCAUACCUAGAGAGAUUGAGAAUUUCAUCAAUCUAACUGUUCUCGACAUGAGUGUUAACGAUCUUCGAGGCACCAUUCCGGUAGAAAUCAGUCAUCUUUGGCAGUUACAGUACUUGGAUCUGUCCAACAACAUGCUCUCGGGCGAAAUUCCACCCACUUUGGGCAAUCUAACACGAAUGGACCUGCUCUAUCUUGGCAGCAAUGAAUUUGAAGGAGCCAUUCCGCCGACAAUAAGCAACAUGUUAGUGCUAGAGUCGUUAAAUCUAUCAAAUAAUACGCUAAGCGGUAGCAUUCCAAGAGAAGUUUUGAGCCUUUCGUCGCUCGCAAGCUUCCUUGACUUGUCGCAUAAUUUACUGAACGGUUCAUUACCGUUAGAAGUGGGCAACUUGAUCAAUAUUGGGGAGCUUGAUCUCUCAAAUAACAGGCUCUCUGGUGAGACUCCAGACACCAUUGGCAAAUGCGCCAUCUUGGAAAUUCUUCAUUUAGAGAACAACUUAUUUCAAGGGUCCAUUCCUACCUCCAUUGGCAUUUUAAGUGGGCUUAAGGAGCUUGAUCUCUCAAAAAACUUCUACUCGGGCCAAAUACCCGCAUUCCUUGAUGAGCUCCCGGAUCUACAAUACUUGAAUCUUUCCUUCAACAAUUUUGAGGGUCGAGUGCCGAUGAAAGGGGUUUUUAAGAAUGCCAGCGAAGUCUCGCUUAUCGGAAACCCUAAACUCUGCGGUGGAAUACCAGAAUUACACUUGCCCAAAUGCACUUCAGAUGCCUUUGCAGCAAAACAUCACUCUGAUUAUAAACUCAAGGCAAUACUCAUUCCUAUCUGUGGAGCAAUUUUAUGUUUGAUCAUAAUCAUGUGCUUGAUUGGGAGACAACACUUGAUAAAAAACUCACGGAGAAAGCCGCUGUCGAGGUUUUCCUUAAGAAACCGACACGUGAAAGUAUCAUAUGAUGAGCUCUUUAGGGCUACAAAUAGGUUCUCCUCAGAUAAUCUGAUCGGCACGGGAAGUUUUAGGUCGGUUUAUAAAGAGGCCAUGAACUAUGAAAACGGCGACAUCGUUGCAGUGAAAGUGCUUAACCUUUGAUAGCAUGGGGCUCUCAGGAGUUUUAUGUCUGAAUGUGAGGCCCUGAGAAGCAUUCGACAUCGAAAUCUUGUCAAAAUUCUUACAUCGUGCUCUAGUUUGGAUCACUGCAGUAAUGAUUUCAAGGCCUUGGUUUUUGAGUACAUGCCUAAUGGGAGCUUAGAAGAGUGGCUACAUCCAAAUGCACACCGGAAUAGGCCAUUUAGAAGCCUAAGCCUAAUCCAGAGGUUGAACAUAGCUGUCGACGUAGCCUCGGCAUUAGAGUAUCUUCAUCACGGAGGGUCUGUGCCGAUUGUUCACUGUGAUCUUAAGCCCAGCAACGUCCUUCUCGACAGUGAAAUGACGGCGCAUGUGGGUGAUUUCGGGUUAGCAAAGUUUCUGCGGCAACUACCUGACGAAUCAUCUGAGUGUUCAUGUACGAGCACUGUGGGAAUCAAAGGAUCAAUUGGUUAUGUUCCUCCAGGUGAGAAAUAUGCAAUAAAAUGCUAACUUUUUUUUUUCAUGCUUUACAGAAUUUUAGAAAAAAAAUAUAACACAUCUUUAUUUGAUUCCUAACUAUGCUACAUCUGAUAUUUUUUUGCUGCUCACUAUCUAUUGAAGCAAAAACAAGUGAAUAGUAAAGUUUAAUAAAUAAAAUUAGAAAGUCAGUGCACAAAUUGGUAGAAAGGAGAAAAAAAAAAAAAACUCUAGGAAACUGCUUGAUGCUUACUACUAACAACUGAUUAAUUAUGAUCACUAAACAUGCAAGAGCUGGAAUUUUAUUUCUACAUAUCUAAUGCUGCCUUAGAGUCAAUUUAUAAACUGAAAGAUCAAAUUUAGAUUUUGUAACUAUGGCUUGGAAACUGUGGUAGCCAAAUCCAAAUCCAAAUGAAUUCACCUGACAAUCUUGUAUUGUCUGUUUGCAAUUAAAAUAUGUUGUGCAGAGUAUGGAAUGGGCUGUAGACCAUCUAGGCUCGACGAUGCGUACAGCUACGGAAUUCUUCUGCUGGAAAUGUUCACUGGAAUGAGCCCCGUCGAUGACAAGUUCAAAGACGGACUGAGCCUUCGUGGAUAUGUUCGUGCUGCUGCUGCUUCACCUCAACAUGUCACGGACAUCAUAGACAGAAACCUGCAUUCAGCUGAUAAUGUUAAAGGUUAUCGAGAAGAGUGUGUGCGAGAUUGUGUAGUUUCGGUGUUCAACUGCGGUCUCGCGUGCUCGAAUGAAUCGCCAUACGAACGAUGCGACAUGACGAAAGUUGCAAAGGAGCUGAGUGCAGCAAGAGAGAGGCUUCUUAGCUAAAAGCAGUUUUGCUCCCUAUGCUACAGUUCUCACUAGAGGCAAAUGAAUGCAUGUUUGAACAUUCUCUGCUUUUCCUUCCUUGCAUUCUAAAGAAAAACCUUGUGUAAUGAAUAUGCCUAGUCCUUAUGGUUUUGAUCAUUCCUUUCUAGAAUGAAUAUAACCAAAAGGAUAUAAGCACUUCAAAUUUUGCAUCUGUAUACAUUAUUAAUAGAUUCAAAUUCCUAAUUUCUCGCUCAAGUUAAUAAAUGAAGCCUAAUAUAACCCGUCAUUGCCAAAUCUGUGUUGAAUACACUUUUCAACAGAAAGCUCGAAGCCUAUUUAGAAGGGGUAUAUGUACAAAUUUUGGAUUUUAAGCACGAACUACAGAACGGUCAUAAAUGGUAUGACAGAAGGAGAAUAUUGACCAAGAAAAAGAGGCAUUUACAUUCAAACAAAGUAUCAAAUACAAAAGCAAGAAUCCAAUGAAAGGGACCACGAACACCGAAAACACAACCAUCACCCGAAGUAUAUAUUUGACAUUCGAAAAAGAACACCAGAUACAUACUUAUACCACGCAUUCUAAAUUUUGUUUACUUUAGAGGUGCAAGCAAAUCGCUUUUUCUUUCUCAAAAUAGGAUCACUGGCCAACUGCUCGGUUAUGGAAAAACUUCUUGAUCCAAACUUGCCAACCAAGUAUCUGAAAGAUAAUCAGACAUAAAUUUUGGAAGUAACGAGAAAGAGUCCCUUGGCGAUACUAUAGUAUAGACUUCUUUACUUUGGCUGUAGUUUCUGCAGAAGUGCUAUCUCAGUUGAUCUUUUUGAAGGAGCACUAACAGCUUUUCCAGUAAAUCAUCCUAAUAUAUUUUUACUAUUGCAGAAGUGGAAGCUUCAAAUUGGACCCACAAAUUUUGCAGCCUAGAAGCUCAUUAUUGCUAUCUCCAAUAACAAGCUUCAGGGUCUGACUGCUGUUUCACGGGUUAGAGAAGCAGAGCCAAAGCCAGACCAAAUAAACACAAGAUAAGGCAUGAAGAACUACAUUAACAAUAGGGGAAAAUGAUUUGUGCCAAUAUAUGUGUAUGUUGUUACAUUUUAUUAUUAAUUAGUGAAGUUACAACUUCACUUGCAUUUAAUUAAACAUUUUAAACCUAGACUUUUGCACCUACAUCAAAUGAGAUUAACGUUAGUGGCAUUUACUUUGCAAAGCUUACACUAAAUAUCUUGUAACCUAUGGGUUUUAAACACUAGCAACAUAUAUUUUCAUCUCUCAUAACGUAUAGUCCUAAGGUGCUAUAAAUAGAUGGCUUGUUUUAUGCACUUAAACAGGCCAUAACAAAACAUAAUAACCAAAACUACAAUUCUACUUGAGAGAGAGAAGGUCAAAGAAAGGUGUUUCUUUUGGUGGAGCUUUGGGCUCAUCUACUUGUGCAGAGUUGGUGAAGCCACAUGACGAGGGUCGAGCCGUUGUAUCUUGGAGGGGACAAGUCGGUGCUCUGCUGCAUCGGUUCAAAGGCUUUGCCAACCGUAGAGGGCUUGAAUCUCCUUAAAGAGAGCGAGAUAUCCGUGCCUCGGCUUGAUCGACUCGUUAACAUUUUUUAAAUUACUUUGUAGCUAACCUCUAUUUUUUGAAUAUUUACACCAACAGUGUAGAACCAAAUAAAAUAGCAUAGUAUCUUUUUUGCAUUUUGAGCAUAUGCAAUUAGUAUGAAACACUCAACUAGUAUAAAAUUCUACGACCAACUACAAGAGAGUUCUUGUAUAAGAAUUGUUCGUAUAUGUAGAAGAAAAUUUAUGUGAAAACUUUAUCAAAGAUAUAUAAUUAACCAGUACAUAAACAUAGCUGAUCAUGGAUGAGUUUGCUAAGAGAAGUUUUUGAACCUUAUAGGAAUGGUGGGACUGAUUGACCGUACACGAAAUCAUGAGAAUAUGACUGCCAUAAUAACUACAUAAUUGGUAGAAAGACCGAAAGAUAGAUGAAUUAUCAAACCUCAAAUCAGUAAUUGCAUGAAUACCUCUCUAUACAUGGAAGAUUAAAUCGACAACAGAAGCAGCAACGAACGGAAGUAUGCCACAAAGAUGAUGCAUUUUAAUUUCCAAGUUCGCGGCGAGAGAAAUGGAGGACCAGUCAUCAUCAACCCUGGGGAAUAUAUUUCGUCAAGAAGCAUGAUAGUUUACUGACAAAUUUUUUCUUUAAUGCUUCAAAUUUUGACUGAAGCAGUUGCAAUUAGACUGUCGACUUCCUCUUCAUACUGUUCAUAGACAAUGAAGAUGAUGAUGAACAUGCAUGUCAACCCUGCAAUAUAAGCAAGAACUAAUUAUUACAGGAAAAGGUACAAGUAUGGAGAUAAGAAAAAUAAUGUUUGGAUGAAAAUUGGAUUAUUUCCGGGGAUAAGAAAAUAGCAUUUGGAUAGAUAAUAUGGAAUAAGAAAAAUAGCUGGUAAUUUUAUAUAGAAAAUGAUGGUGUUGGUGUGAAUAGUUAUACCCUGUUAUUAUAGGUAACAGAGAACUACUGUUCUCGGAUAAAAAAUUAGCGUUUGGUAUAAAGGGGAUAAGGGGUUAUCUUUAUCCCCCUAUCCCCUAUCCAAACGGUCUGUUUAUCCCACCUUUUUUUGGUUUUUAGUAAUUUUUUUAAAAAAUGACAAGAUUUUAGGGAAAAGAUAUCUUUUAGAUUAAGUCAAAGUGGUGGGCUUGUAACACAAAAGUGGGUUGAAUGUAUAGUGACACAUACAUAUACGUAGGGAGGUAAUGUGGGCCGUGCUGGGCUGGUACGGCCCAGAUUUUCCGGGCAUUCUGGGCCAAGGAUCGGCCCGGGCCGUGCCGGGCCGUGGCAGGCAGUUUAGGUAGAGCAGUAGAUCCGGCCCGGCCCCUGUCCUGUCCAGCACAGGCCGUGUAGGGCCGGGCCGGGCUUCGUGCCAGCCCAGAUUUUUUCAAAAAUAUAUAUUCAUCCAGUUUCUUUUUUUUAAGAAAUUAUUUUUCAGAAAAAGAGAUAGUUUUUUUUAAAUUAUAAAUUUGGCUUAUAACUUUUACUUUACACAAUUAUACCCAACUUUUUGAAAACUAUUUUAUUAAAUAUUUUUAAUAAUUUUUUAUUAUUUGAAGAGAAAUUUAUCUUUAAAAAAAUAAUUACAAAAAAUAUAUAAAGUUUGUAUUAAUCAUAUUACAUAAAGUUUGUAUUUUUUUAUUUUUUUGUAGUAAAGAUAUUAAAAUUUUUAAAAUCGUUUUAUAAAGUUUGUAUUAAUCAUAUUACAUAAAGUUUGUAUUUUUUUAUUUUUUUGUAAAAAAGAGUUUAAAUAUAACCUUUUGACUUAUAGUUUUUAAUUUACAUAAUAAUACCCAGCCUUUAUAAAACGAUUUUAAAAAUUUUAAUAUCUUUACAUAAUGUUUAAAUAUCUUUUUUAAUUUUUUAAUCCAUUUUUUUAAAAAAAUAGUAAUAGAAUAUUGUUUCAUAGAAUUUUUUUUUUUUUUUUCUCACUGCCCUUCUUCUAAAGGCAUGUAUUUAUGCUUCGUUUGGGAUUGCGCAGAGAUUGCGUUAUGUGCGGUGAGAAAGUACGUUGGAAAAAUAUCCUGUUUGUUUCCGUACAUAAUAUUGCGUUCCGCAUAUCACGAUGAAUUGAUUACGAUAUAUUUUCUACAGUCCUACCGGAGAACGCAGAAGCAUAUCCCUACCCUAUAUGCUUUUUCUCCAACUCCAUUUUAUCUAAUAGCGUUUAAUAGGCCGCAAUACCAAACUAAGACUUAGACAGAUGCCCUUAUGAGAACAGAAAUAUCACUUUUUAAAAACUCAAUAGCCUAUAUACCCCUCAUACGGAACAAAUGUCAAAAUGGCCUAUAUGGUGGAAUCUCCAUACAUUUUUACGUAUAAACGUAUUAAAAUUGGAAGAGAAAAAUGCAUAAAAACUUUAAACUAUUGUCAAAUGACCCUCUAAUUUUUAAUUUAGCAACUAGAUCAGUAGAUCUUCUAAAAUAAUCAAAUAGUUUAGUCACUCAAUUAUCUCAAGAAAAGCUACUAAUUAAAAAGCCAUUUUGGCAGCAUAUUUUACAGAUAUGAUCUUGCAAAGUUUCAAAACACAAAAGAAAAACCUAUUUCUUCUCCUUUGGUGAUAAAACUAAAAUACAACAAUUGAAGAAUAUACAAACAAAAUCCAUCCUUCACUUUAAUUAAUUGCUUUUCUCGAGUGUUAGAAUAAAAAAGGUAGAUUUUAAUAUAUUUUGAAGCUUCACACGAUCACAUGCAAGAAAUUUGUUGAAAACAGACAUUUAAUUAGUAACUUUCGUAUAUAGGAAGGGAGGCAUUGAAUUAUUUUAUAAUGUUUAAGAUAUCUAGUAGUCAAAAUGCCAAAGCUCCUAGGGCCCCAUUUGGUUCGGGGGAUAAGCGGGGAUAACGAAAGUUAUCCCCGCUAUUCCGCCAAACAGGAUCAUUUUUUACCCGGAUAUUUUAUCCCGGUCAAAGCUUGCUAUUUCCGGUUACCCAGAAUAGCAAGCUUUUUACUAUUCCACCAUUUUGGUGGAAUAGUGCUAUUCUCAUGCUUAAUUUCAAACUUAAUUAAAAUUAUAAAAUAAAUUAAAACUAAAGUUUAGAAAGUGUUUGUACUUUUUUUUUUCCCUACAAGAAAUGAUUGCUGCUAGCUAUUUCAAUAAACCAUAUAAUUUUUAGGGGCAAUUGCUAACUAUUAUCUCGAUAAAAUUACUAUUUUAUCCUUUCAAAGUUUUCCUUCUAACGUUACCAACUUGUCUUAUUUGCCUUUGGAUAGAGGCAAAAAACUAUUUUGACUUUUUUUUCCUUUCAAACAUAUCCUUCUAUUGUCAUCAGCAAAAGAGCUACUUUGACCUUUUAAUUCUGAUAGAAAUUUAAUUCAAGAUGACUUAACGGAAACUAACAGAAAUGUAUUUUUGAAUAAUAAAGAAAUAUACAAAAGAUAUAUUUAAAACCAAAAAAGUAGGAAUAUAUAACAUAUUUCAGAAGUUUUAGAGGGUAUAUAGAUAAUUAUUCCUAAUUUUUAGAUAAAAGAAAAGGUGUGGUGCGAUGAGUUCUGCCGCUUCUUUUAUUUUUUUUAGAAAUAAAUUUAGCUAAAAAUAUGAAAUAAGUAGGCUCCUAAUUUGGGACCUCGAAAAUAACACCCUCAAUUAUACUUAUAUUUUUUGGGAUUCAAAGCUCCUCCAUGUCUUAUUUUUUUAUUUGAGUUUUCAUACUAAGCUAAACUAAAAAUUUUAUCAAAUUUAAUAACUGUUUUAUUUAUUAACCACCAAAUCCGUAGGUGAAACACUUUGUCCCACAUAAUAUUUAGCUCUCACACUAUAUUUCCAGCUGGUAUUCGACUUUGAUAUCAAUUAUAACGACCCAAUCCGCCAGCAAUCAAUUAUAGCAACCCGACCCGUGCCAAAACCACCGGCCUAAAAUAUUUAAGCCUAGUUAUUAUUAUUAGCGUGUAGGUCUCAUAUAUUCUAAUCAGAAUCAGUUUCUCACCGGAUGUGGGACUAUUGGGCGUUACAAAGAUUACUUAAUUUUAAUAAAAGUGGAAGGGUCUAAAUCCAAAAUAAUAAAAAUUGAGGAAGCAAUUUCAGAAUUGCUUGUAGUUGAGUGUGUUAAUGUACUUUCAACCCACUUUGAGUUACAAGCCCACAACUUUUGAGUUAAUCUAAAAGAUAUCUUUUCCCUACAAUCUCGUCAUUUUUUUUUUUAAAUUGCUAAAAACCCAAAAAAAAGGUGGGAUAAACUCAAAGACCAUCGAGUAUGAUCUAUUUCCGAUUUUAAUUCACGCAGUCGAUUGCUUCUAUAUGUAUUCCCAAGUUGCUGUUCCGUUUCUCACUCGCAACAUUGAUUGGAGUUUGUAAGGUUUUGACCUAAAAAUCUUGUUAAUUAAUUUCCAGAUAAUAGUGCUCUGUUUUAUCUUUUUCAACUUUCUCACCGCAUCUUUUAUAUUGCAGGGUUGACAUGCAUGUUCAUCAUCUUCACUGUCUAUGAACAGUGUGAAGAGGAAGUCGACAGUCUAAUUGCAACAGCUUCAGUCAGAAUUGAAGCAAUAAAGAAAAAAUUUGUCAGUAAACUAUUAUGCUUCUUGACGAAAUAUAUUCCCCAGAGUUGAUGAUGACUGAUCCACCAUUUCUCUCACUGCGAACUUGGAAAUUAAAAUGCGUCAUCUUUGUGACAUACCUUCUUUCGUUGCGGCUUCUGUUGUCGAUUCAAUCUUCCAUGUAUGGAGAGGUAUUCAUGCAAUUACUGAUUUGAGGUUUGAUAAUUCAGCUAUCUUUCGAUCUUUCUACUAAUUAUGUAGUUAUUGUGGUAGUCUCACUCUCAUGAUUUCAUGUAAUUACAAGAAUAAAUAACAUUGUGAUAUGUUCUGCCAUUCUCAUGCAUAUAUUUCAACAUCAGUAGCAAAUUCAUCCAUCAGCUAUGUUUUUGUACUGGUUAAUUAUAUAUCUUUGAUAAAGUUUUCACAUAAAUUUUCUUCUGCAUAUACGAACAAUUCUUAUACAAGAACUCACUUGUAGUUGGUAUGAGAAUUUUAUACUAAUUGAGUAUUUCAUACUAAUUGCAUAUGGUCAAAAUGAAAAAAAGAUACUAUGCUAUUUUAUUUGGUUCUACACAUAUAUUGGCACAAAUCAUUUUCCCCUAUUGUUAAUGUAGUUCUUCAUGCCUUAUCUUGUGUUUAUUUGGUCUGGCUUUGGCUCUGCUUCUCUAACCCCUGAAACAGCAGUCAGACCCUCAAGCUUGCUAUUGGAGAUAGCUAUAAUGAGCUUCUAGGCUGCAAAAUUUGUGGGUCCAAUUUGAAGCUUCCGCUUCUGCUAUAGUAAAAAUAUAUUAGGAUGAUUUACUCGAAAAGUUGUUAGUGCUCCUUCAAAAAGAUCAACUAAGAUAGCACUUCUGCGGAAACUACAACCGAAGCAAAAAGGUCUAUACUAUAGUAUCGCCAAGGGACUCUUUCUCAUGACUUCCAAAAUUUAUGUUUGAUUACCUUUCAGAUACUUGGUUGACAAAUUUGGAUCAAGAAGUUUUUCCAUAACCGAGCAGUUGGCCGAUGAUCCUAUUUUGAGAAAGAAAAAGCGAUUUGCUUGCACCUCAAAAGUAAACAAAAGUUAGAGUGCGUGGUAUAGGUAUGUAUUUGGUGUUCUUUUUCGAAUGUCAAAUACUUUGGGUGAUGGUUGUGUUUUUCGGUGUUUGUGGUUCCUUGCAUUGGAUUCUUGCUUUUGUAUGUGAUGCUUUGUUUGAAUGUAAAUGGCUCUUUUUCUUGGUCAAUAUUCUCCUUCUGUCAUACCAUUUAUGAUCUUUCUGUAGUUUGCGCUUAAAAUCCAGAAUUUGUACAUAUACCCUUCUAAAUAGGCUUGGAGCUUUCUGUUGAAAAGUGUAUGCAACGCAGAUUUGGCAAUGUCGGGUUAUAUUACGCUUCAUUAUUUAACUUGAGCCAGAAAUUAGGAAUUUGAAGCUAUUAAUGUAUACAGAUGCAAAAUUUGAAGUGCGUAUCUCCUUUCGGAUGUACUCAUUUUAGAAAGGAGUGAUCAAAACCAUAAGGACUAGGCAUUUUUAUUACACAAGGUUUUUAUUUAAUGCAAAUAAGGAAAAGCAGAGGAUGUUCAAACAUACAUUCAUUUGCCUCUAGUAAGAACUGUAGCAUAGGGAGCAAAACUGCUUUUAGCUAAGAAGCCUCUCUCUUGCUGCACUCAGCUCCUUUGAGACUUUCGUCAUGUCGCAUCGUUCGUACGGCGAUUCGUUCGAACAUGAGAGACCGCAGUCAAACACUGAAACUAUGCAAUCUCGCACACACUCUUCUCGAUAAGCUAUAUCAUUAUCAGCUGAGUGCAGGUUUCUGUCUAUGAUGUCCAUGAGAUGUUCAGGAGAACCAGCAGCAGCACGAACAUAUCCACGAAGGCUCAGUCCAUCUUUGAACUUGUCGUCGACGGGGCUCAUUCCAGUGAACAUUUCUAGCAGAAGAAUUCCGUAGCUGUAUACAUCGCCGAGCCUAGAUGGUUUACAGCCCAUUCCAUACUCUGCACAACAUUAGUUAAUUGGAAAUAGAAGAUACAAGAUUCUCAAGUGAAUUCAUUUGGAUUUGGAUUUGGCUCCUACUGCUUCCGAGCCAUAGUUACAAAAACAAAAUUUGAUCUUUUAGAUUAUUUAUAUUGAUUCAAAAAUAGCAUUAGAUAUGUAGAAAUGAAGUUCCAGCUCUUGCGAGUUUACUGAUUAUAAUUAAUCAGUGGUUAGUAGUAAGCAUCAAGCAGUUUAUUCUAACUCCAGUAUGUCUGUUUUUGUAGCUAAUAUGUAGUAUCCUUUUUGUUUCCUACAAUAUUUUUUUUUCCCCUUUUCUAUAACUUUUACACAAUCUCUAAUUUUGUUUAUUAAACUUGUGCUAUUCACUUGAUUUUGCUUCAAAAGAUAGUGAGCAGCAAAAAGUAUUAGAUAUAGUGUAGUUAGGAAUCAAAUAGAGAUGUAUUAUAUUUUGUUUUUUUUUCUGAAAUGCUGUAAAGCAUGAAUAAAGUUAGCAUUUUAUUGCAUAUUUCUCACCUGGAGGAACAUAACCAAUAGAUCCUUUGAUUCCCACAGUGCUAGUAGAUGAACGCUCUGAUGAUUCGUCAGGCGGCUGCCGCAGAAACUUUGCUAACCCGAAAUCGCCCACGUGCGCCGUUAUUUCAUUGUCGAGAAGGACGUUGCUGGGCUUAAGAUCACAGUGAACAAUCGGCACGGACCCUCGGUGAUGAAGAUACUCUAAUGCCGAAGCUACGUCGAUGGCUAUGUUCAACCUCUGGAUUAGGCUUAGACUUCUGAAUGGUCUAUUCCCGCGUGCAUUUGGAUGUAGCCACUCUUCUAAGCUCCCAUUAGGCAUGUACUCAAAAACCAAGGCCUUGAAAUCGUUACCGCGGUGAUCCAAACUAGAGCACGAUGUAAGAAUUUUGACAAGAUUUCGGUGUCGAAUGCUUCUCAGGGCCUCACAUUCAGACAUAAAACUUCGGAAAGCCCCAUGCUGUUGAAGGUUAAGCACUUUCACCGCAACGAUGUCAGCGUUUUCAUAGUUCAUAGCGGCUUUAUAAACCGACCCAAAACUUCCCGUGCCGAUCAGAUUAUUUGAGGAGAACCCAUUUGUAGCCCUGAAGAGCUCAUCGUAAGAUACUUUCAUGUGUCGGUUUCUUAAGGAAAACCUCGACAACGGCUUUCUCUGUGAGUUUUUUAUCAAGUGAUGUAUCCCAAGCAAGCACAUGAUUAUAAUCAAACAUAAAAUUGCUCCACAGAUAGGAAUGAGUAUUACCUUGAGUUUAUAAUCAGAGUGAUGUUUUGCUGCAAAGGCAUUUGAAGUGCAUUUCGGUAAGUGUAAUUCUGGAAUUCCGCCGCAGAGUUUACUAUUUCCGAUAAGCGAGACUUCGCUCGCAUUCUUAAAGACCCCUUUCAUCGGCACUCGACCCUCAAAACUGUUGAAGGAGAGAUUCAAGUUUCGUAGAUCUGGGAGCUCAUCAAGAAAUGCGGGUAUUUGGCCCGAGUAGAAGUUUUUUGAGAGAUCAAGCUCCUUAAGCCCUCUUAAAUUGCUAAUGGAGGAAGGAAUGGACCCUCGAAAUAAGUUAUUCUCUAAAUGAAGAAUUUCCAAGAUGGUGCAUUUGCCGAUGGCAUUUGGAAUCUCACCAGAGAGCCUAUUAUUUGAGAGAUCAAGCUCCCUGACAUUUAUCAAGUUGCCCACUUCUGAAGGUAAUGAAUCGUUCAGUAAAUUAUACGACAAGUCGAGGAAGUUUGCGAGCGAUGAAAUGCUCAAAACUUCUUUUGGAAUGCUUCCACUUAGCCUAUUAUUCGAUAGAUUUAACAACUCCAGCAUUAACAUGCUGCUUAAUGUCGGCGGAAUGGCUCCUUCAAAUUCAUUGCUGCUGAGAAACAGCUUGUCCAUUCGUAUUAGGUUGCCCAAAGUGAGAGGAAUUUCACCUGAGAGCAUGUUGUUCGACAGAUCCAAGUACUGUAAUUGCCAAAGAUGACUGAUUUCUAUGGGAAUGGUGCCUUGAAAAUCGUUAAUGCUCAUAUCAAGAUGAGUUAGAUUGAUGAGCUUCUCAAUCUCAGCAGGUAAAAUUCCUGAUAUUUGGUUGUUAUUGAGUGCCAAAUAAUUAAGACUAGUGGAAAGAUUGCCUAUUGAUUUGGGGAUCGUGCCUUGAAGUAGAUUGUCUCCUAGAUCCAACCCUUGGAGACUGGUGCAGUUGGUCAGUGCUGUAAUGAAGCUCCAAUCACUAGGCUUUCUGGCUUUGAGUCGAUUGCCAGGCAGUUCAAGCCACAAAAGACUCUGCAAGGCUCCAAGGCUCGGCGGUAUCGUGCCGUGGAAUGCAUUUAUCCCUAGCUCAAGGUCGUUGAGCUCAGAAGCAUUGGACAAGGAUGCCGGAAUUUGCCCCCUGAGCUGAUUAUAAUUCAUAAGAAAGACUUGAAGGUUCGGAAGAACAUUUCCGAUAUCGGAGGGUAGAGUUCCCUCGAGUUCAUUAUAAGAGAGUUCUAUGUCCUUCAGGGAUGAUAGAUUGUAAAGGGAUGAUGGUAUCUCUCCUGUUAAGUAGUUCCCAUUGAGAAAGAGAUAUUCGAGAGAUGAAAGUCGUCCAAACGAGAUUGGGAUCGACCCGGCGAGAUAAUUAAGAGAGCAGUCCAGAUAAGAGACGAACGGAAGUUCUGCAAAGUGAGGAAUUUCACCAUGUAGGUUGUUUCCUUGUAGUAAAAGCUGGCUCAAAAAGGAGAGGUUCGUAAGAGUUGACGGAAUGGUUCCUGUGAGACUAGUGAAUUGGAUUUCAAGUAUGUUCAAGGAGAGAAGGCUACCUAAGGAUGGAGGCAUGGCUCCUGACAAGUUAUUGUUAUCUAAAGCAAGAACUAGUAGGGAGGAGAGGUUGCCGAGUGAAUCUGGGAUGGACCCAGUAAAGCUAUUGAAUUUUAGAUCAAGGUAUUGAAGCUGAGCAAGAUUGCCCAAAGUAGCAGGGAUGGCUCCUGUAAGAUUAUUGUAGCCUAGAGUUAACCAUGUUAACUUUUGGAGAUAGCCAAGCUCUGGUGGAAUUCCCUCUAUGAGAAAGUUACUCCUCAGAUCGAAAACCUGAAGCUCUUUACACUGAGUUAGAUUGGAAGGGAUUGUUCCUUGUAACAUGUUCCACCUCAGGAAAAGCUUUCUAAGACUGGAAAGAUGCGAUAGAGUUCGCGGGAUCUCACCGUUGAGCUUAUUAUGUCUCAAGUUGAGCAGUUGAAGAUUAGAGCAAUUGCCGAGCGAAGACGGGAUCGUUCCGCGAAGAGAAUUCACACUCAGAUUGAGAUAUCGCAGCCUGCGUAGGCUUCCUAACUCCUCGGGGAUGCUCCCCUCUAGUUUGUUGUCAGACAGGUCGAUCCUCUGGAGGAAUGUGAGGUUGGCUAUGGAGGGCGUUAUGAAACCGGCCAGGCCGAGAGACAUGAGGUUGAGGGCCGUCACCCGGUCGGGAUGGCGGCGGCCGCAAGAGACACCGCGCCACCUGCAGUGGUGGAGAGAGCCGUUGUUCCACGAGGAGAGUGCUCCAAACGGAUCGUCGUCGACGAGGGACUUGAAGGAGAGGAGGGCGGCGCGGUCGGAUGCGGCUUGUUUGAUCCCGGCGGCAGCGGCGCACCAGGCGUUGGAGGUCACAUACAGCAGAAUGAUGAGAAAAAAUAGUGCACGGAAGCUUUCCAUUCUAUGAACUAAGACAAGAGAAUGCUAAACCUAUAGCAAUCCUGCAGUUGCUCUUCGUUGGUAUUUAUUAAUCUUGGUAACUGGAUACAAAACAAACUAACGACCAAGCUUAGUCAAAAAGCCUAUAGUUGCCGUAAGGUAGUAAUACAAUGGCGUGUGGAUACUUUUGUACUAGUGCUUUAAUACUUCCGCAAAAUGUCACUAAGAGUGCGUUUGGUUCAGGUUAUCCUGACAGGAUUACAAGCAAUUCUGUCAGGAUUGUUAUAUUUAGUUUAUCGGAUAUGUACUCUGUUCGGUAUUGUAGCAUUACAAAAAAUGUAUAAUAUAUUACACCAAAAAUAUUACCGAAGGGGUGUGUAUUUUGGAUUACUGAAGGCGGCUAAUAUUUUUGCCGCCGCCGCCGUCCGCUCCCACAGCAUGAAGAGGAAGAGGAAGAUGAAGAGGGCAAGGGCAAAAUAGUCGUUUCACAGUUCUACUGUUAAAAAAUUAACAGUUCUCUAACAGAUCCAAAUUACGUAUUUGAAUAUAUUAUGGUUUUUGCAGGAAUAACUUAUAAAAAUUGAAAUUUACAGAAAUAUACUUGCUAUUCACCAUAUUUGUAGGGACCUGUAUGAAAUUAAUCCUAAUUUAUUGUGAAAUUUGUGGAAAUUGGUGUGGAUUGACUUAGUAGGGGUGAGUCGGGUGACUGAAGUAAACGAUAAGAGUAGUCGACGCAAUAGAACAAUUAUUGAAGGUAAUUUAUUUAUAGGUAAAAAGUGUAUGGAGACCCCCUCAACUAUACGUUUUUCUGAAAGAGCCCUCAUAACUUUUUUUUUACCCUUUUUCAAAAAGGAAAUUUCCUCACUUCCCUUCUAAAGGCAUGUAUUUACACACAUGCCCUUAUAAGGAAAAAAAAUAUCACUUUUUAACAAAAAAAAAUCAAUAGUAAAGAGGUUUCUCAGUCCAAAUAAAAGAAAAAUGGAGGGAACAAAUUUCAGAAUGGCCUAUACGACGGGAUCUCCAUACAUUUUUACCUAUGGAGGUAUUAAACUUGGAAGGGAUAAAUGCAUAAAAACUACUAAACUUUAAAAUAUUGUCAAAUGACCCUCUAAUUUAAUUUAGCAACUAGAUCUUCUAAAAUAAUCAAAUAGUUUAAUUGAUCAACUUUCUCAAGAAAAGCCAUUUUGGUAGCACAUUUUGCAGAUCUAAUCUUGCAAAUUUUCAAAAACACACAAAAAAAACUAUUUCUUCUCUUUUCGUGAUAAAAUUAAAAUACGAAGAUUGAAGAAUAUACAAACUAAAUCCAUCCUUCAUUUCAAUUUAUUGCUUUUCCCAAUUCAGCAUUAGAAUAAAAAAACGCAGAUUUUAAUACAAUUUGAAGCUUCACCAGAUCACAUGCAAGAAAUUUGUUGAAAAUGGGCAUUUAAUUAGUAACUUUCAAAUAUAGGAAGGGAGUCAUUGAAUUAUUUAAUAAUGUUUAAGGUGUGUAAUUGUCAAAAUUAAAAACUCAUGAAUCUAUUUGCCAAAGCUCAAAAGUUUAGAAAGUGUUUGUACUUUUUUAAAUAUUAGAAAUGAGUGCUGCUAGGUAUUUUAAUAAACCAUAUAAUUUUUAAGGGCAAUUGCUAAUAUAAAUUUGAAAAGUUUCAGAGUUUCUUAUUUACUCCUUUAGAAGGCUAAAAUAAAAAAUAUUCUUUUAAUGUUUCAAGUUUUUUCAAAUAUAUCUCUCAAGUUAAAUUCUGAUAGUGAGCUGUCAGUAUAACUGUUAUUUCUAUAAAAUUAUCAUUUUAUUCUUUCAAAUUUAUCCUUGUACCAUCAUCAACUUUCAAGUUGCUGGGCUAGGGUCCAAAAACUUUGGCCCGGCACAGCACGGCCUGACUUUGGGGCCGGGCCGUGCCGGGCUUGUCUCCGGCUGGUUUCGGCACGGGAAAUGUGGGCCGUACCGGCCCGGCACGGCCCACAUUACACCCCUACGUACAGGGGUGUAAACAAGCCGAACACGAGCGAGCUGAGGUCAGCUUGUGUUCAGCUCAUGUUCGGCUUUUUUAUUAAACGAGCUGAACACGAGCCGGCUCGUUAAAGUAAUCUUGAGCCGAAAAUUCAUCUCGUAUUCGGCUCGUUUAUUAACGAGGCGAACACGAGCUAGCUCACGAGCUGGCAAACGAAUAUAAAUUAAAAAAAAUUAAAUUUAAAUAUAUAAAAAUAAAUUUAUAAAAUUUUAUCAUUAGACUUUGAUCUAAUAGUUGAAACUUUACAUAUAAAAUGAGUUUUUUAUAAUUAAGCUUGCAUUUAUAUUUUUAUUUUGCUAAAAAUUAAUAAUAAAAAAAUAUAUUAUAUAUAAUUAUUUAUUUAUAUAUAAAAAUAUAAAUUAUAUAAAUAUUAAAUAUAUAUAUUCGAGCUGUUAUCGAGCCGAACAUGAGCGAGCUUAUCUCAGCUCGUGUUCGGCUCAUUUAUUAAACUAGCUCGCGAACAGCGAGCUAGAUUGCCACCCCUACCUACGUAUACACCCCUAAAAGGGAUGCAUGUUAUGGGCGACACAUUCUAGAGUCGGAUGGUUUGUAUUUAUGGCAUUGAUGCGACAAGUAGAAUACGUGUUUGUCUAUCAUACACUCCUAAAACCGAGUAUAUGUGUAGCAUCACUUAUAAAUUAAUUAACAUCCAAUAAUUCGUCCUAUUUCAUGGACUAGUCUCCUCCGUUACUCGGUCAUCUCUACUAAGUCAAUCCACUAAUUUCUUUAUUACAAUAAAUUAGGUGGUUGUAUCCACUAAUUGUCCAUCAAUUUUCACAAAUUUCUUUAUCACAAUAAAUUAGAUUAUUGUAUGAUGCCGUGCAUGAAUAUGCGUUAGUAAGUGCAUUUAGUUAUCCACUUUGUUCAUUUUUUAUAAUGCAUGAGCGAAUGUGCGGCUGCAAUUAGACGACACUGUAAAAUAAUAUGAAGAUUAUUUUUAAAUAACAUUUGAGUAGACGUCUCCCAACGUCCCUAUAAUAUAGAAUGUAUUGACGUUUCAAAAAAUGCCGUUAUUAUAUCAAACUAAUUUAUUAGAUGAUAAACUUUAAUUAUUAAUUUUAACUUUUUUAUGCUUUAAAGCAAUUUGAUUUCAAAAAAUUCUUAAAAAUUCUGAUACUUUAAGACGUACAUAGUAAUAUUUUAACCAACGCUUUUAAAUAUCAGGCGAUUUUAAAUAGGAUGAUUUUAUGCAUUGUUAAAUAUAAAAAAAAUUGUUCUUAAAUAUUAAUUUUCUUAGUGUGUGGUCUUAGUUAUCUAUUUUGUUUAUUUUAUUUUUACAGUGCAUGAACAUACAGAGCUACAAGUAAGACUAGAUGCAUUUAGCUAUAUAUUUAGGUAAAAUAUAAAAUAAUUGGUUUUCGAACUUAGAAACUCGAUACCAAUUAUUAAGGUUUUCGCCAAUUGCCGUUAGUGACAUUUUGGGGAAGCAUUGUGGUACUAAGGUACAUGAGUAUUCUCACACCGUGGCAUUAGUUGGCAGUAAGUUUGUUAUGUAUCCAGUUGCCAAGUUUAAAUACCGACCAAGAGCUACUGCAGGAUUGCUAUAGCUUUAGCUUUCUUGUCUUAGUUCGUAGAAUGGAAGGCUUUUUCCAUGCACUAUUUUUUCUCAUCAUUCUACUACAUGUGAUCUCCACCGCUCGGCGCGCCGCCACCGCCGCUGCUGGGAUCAAACAAGCUGCAGCAGACCGUGCCGCCCUCCUCUCCUUCAAGUCCCUUGUCGACGACGAUCCGUUCAGAGCGCUCUCCUCCUGGAACAACGGCUCUCUCCACUACUGCAGGUGGCGCGGUGUCUCUUGUGGCCGCCGCCAUCCCGACCGGGUCACGGCCCUCAACCUCACGUCUCUCGACCUAGCCGGUUUCGUAUCGCCCUCCGUGGCCAACCUUACAUUCCUCCGGAGGAUCGAUCUGUCCGACAACAAGCUAGACGGGUACAUCCCGGAGGAGUUAGGAAGCCUACGCCGGUUGCGAUAUCUCGACCUGAGUGUGAAUUCUCUUCGUGGAACGAUCCCGUCUUCGCUCGGCAAUUGCUCUAAUCUUCAAGUACUCAACUUGGCAAAUAAUAAGCUCAACGGUGAGAUUCCGCCAACUCUAUCGCGUCUUUCCGGUCUUAGAGAUAUUCUCCUGAAUCAAAACAUGUUACAAGGGACGAUCCCAGAUUCAAUUGGGAAUCUUUCUUCUCUACUCGUUCUUUCUUUAGAUAACAAUAACCUGUCAGGAGCCAUGCCUCCAUCCGUCGGUAGCCUUCUCUCCUUGAAGACACUUGCAAUCCAAUUCACUAGUCUCACAGGAACCAUUCGGCCCACUCUCACAAAUCUCUCCUCUCUGAAAGAGCUUGGACUACGAGGAAACAACCUUCAUGGUGAAAUUCCUCACUUUGCAGAACUUCUGUUCCUCUCUUUCCAGGACUGCUCUGUUAAUGAUCUCUCCAGGUCCAUCCCAAUCUCGCUCGGACAACUUUCAUCUCUCGAAAAUCUCAUUCUCGGGAUGAACUACUUAACAGGAGAAAUACCGUUAUCCCUUUACAAUCUAUCAUCCCUGAAGAACUUAGAACUCGCUAAUAACCAACUCGAGGGAACUCUACCCUCUGAUAUCGGAAAUGCUCUUCCGAACCUUCAAUUCCUUCAUAUGAGUUAUAAUCAGCUUGGGGGGCGAAUUCCAGCAUCAUUGUCCAAUGCUUCUGAGCUCAGACACCUUGAGAUAACAGUCAAUGAAUUCCACGGCACGAUACCGCCGAGCCUUGGAGCCUUGCAGAGUCUCUCGCGGCUCGAACUGGCUGUCAAUCGACUCGAAGCCAGGACGCCUAGCGAUUGGAGCUUCAUUACAGCACUGACCAACUGCACCGGUCUCCGAGUGUUGGAUGUAGGAUGCAAUCUACUUCAAGGCAUGUUGCCCAAAUCACUAGUCAAUCUUUCCACUAGUCUUCUAUAUUUGACAUUCUAUAGCAGCCAAUUAUCAGGAAUUAUACCUGCUGAGAUUCGGAAGUUCAUCAAUCUAACUUAUCUUGAUAUGGGCAUUAAUAAUUUUCGAGGCACCAUUCCCAUAGAUAUCAGUCAUCUUUGGCAAUUACAGUACUUAGAUCUAUCAAAUAACACGCUUUCCGGUGAAAUUCCUCCUACUUUGGGCAACCUAACACGAAUGGACAAGCUCUAUCUCGGCAGCAAUGAAUUUGAAGGAGCCAUUCCGCGGACAUUAAGCAACAUGUUAGUGUUAGAGUUGUUAAAUCUAUCAAAUAAUAGGCUAAGCGGUAGCAUUCCGCAAGAAGUUUUGACCCUUUCGUCGCUCACAAACUUCCUUGACUUGUCGCAUAAUUUACUGAACGAUUCAUUACCAUCGGAAGUGGGCAACUUGAUAAAUGUCAGGGAGCUUGAUCUCUCAAAUAACAGGCUCUCUGGUGAGAUUCCAGACACCAUUGGCAAAUGCGCCAUCUUGGAAAUUCUUCAUUUGGAGAAUAACUUAUUUCAAGGGUCCAUUCCUCCCUCCAUCAGCAAUUUAAGAGGGCUUAAGAAGCUUGAUCUCUCAAAAAACUUCUACUCAGGCCAAAUACCGGCAUUCCUUGACGAGCUCCCGGAUCUACACUAUUUGAAUCUCUCCUUCAACAGUUUUGAGGGUCGAGUGCCAAUGAAAGGGGUCUUUAAGAAUGCGAGCGAAGUCUCACUUAUCGGAAAUAGUAAACUCUGCGGCGGAAUUCCAGAAUUACACUUGCUGAAAUGCACUUCAGAUGCCUUUGCAACAAAACAUCACUCUGAUUAUAAACUCAGAGUAAUACUCAUUCCUAUAUGUGGAGCAAUUUUGUGUUUGAUUAUAAUCAUAUGCUUGCUUGGGAUACAUCACUUGAUUAAAAACUCGCAGAGAAAGCCGCAGUCGAGGUUUUCCUUAAGAAACCGACACGCGAAAGUAUCUUACGAUGAGCUCUUGAGGGCUACAAAUGGGUUCUCCUCAGAUAAUUUGAUCGGCACCGGAAGUUUUGGGUCGGUUUAUAAAGCCGCCAUGAACUAUGAAAACGUCGACACCGUCGUGGUGAAAGUGCUUAACCUUCAACAGCAUGGGGCUUUCAGAAGUUUUAUGUCUGAAUGUGAGGCCCUGAGAAGCACUCGACACCGAAAUCUUGUCAAAAUUCUUACCUGAGAAGUGUCGAUGAAAGGGAUUUUUAAGAAUGCGAGCGAAGUCUCGCUUAUCGGAAACCCUAAACUCUGUGGUGGAAUUCCAGAAUUACACUUGCCGAAAUGCACUUCAAAUGCCUUUGCAGCAAAACAUCACUCUAAUUAUAAACUCAAGGUAAUACUAAUUCCUAUAUGUGGGGCAAUUUUGUGUUUAAUUAUAAUCAUAUGCUUGCUUGGGAUACAUCACUUAAUAAAAAACUCCAGGAGAAAGCCGCUAUCGAGGUUUUCCUUAAGAAACCAACACAUGAAAGUAUCUUACGAUGAGGUCUUCAGGGCUACAAAUGGGUUCUCCUUAGAAAAUCUGAUUGGCACGGGAAGUUUUGGGUCGGUUUGUAAAGCCGUCAUGAACUAUGAAAAUGCUGACAUCAUCGCAGUGAAAGUGCUUGACCUUCAACAGCAUGGGGCUUUCAGGAGUUUUAUGUCUGAAUGUGAAGCCCUGAGAAGCAUUCGACAUCGAAAUCUUGUCAAAAUUCUUACAUCGUGCUCUAGUUUGGAUCACCGCGGUAACGAUUUCAAGGCCUUGGUUUUUGAGUACAUGCCUAAUGGUAGCUUAGAAGAGUGGCUACAUCCAAAUGCAUGCCAGAAUAGGCCAUUCAGAAGCCUAAGCCUAAUCCAGAGGUUGAACAUAGCUAUCGACGUAGCCUCAGCAUUGGAGUAUCUUCAUCACGAAGGGUCCAUGUUGAUUGUUCACUGUGAUCUUAAGCCCAGCAACAUCCUUCUUGACAAUGAAAUGACGGCGCAUGUGGGCGAUUUCGGGUUAGCAAAGUUUCUACAGCAACCGCCUGACGAAUCAUCAGAGUGUUCAUCUACCAGCACUGUGGGAAUCAAAGGAUCUAUUGGUUAUGUUCCUCCAGGUGAGAAAUAUGCAAUAAAAUACUAACUUUUUUCACGCUUUACGGCAUUUCACGAAAAAAAAUAUAACACAUUUUCAGUUGAUUCCUAAUUAUACUAUAUCUUUUUUUUUUUUUGCCGCUUAUUAUCUUUUGAAGCAAAAACAAGUGAAUAGCAUAAGUUUAAUAAAUAAAAUUAGAAAUUUAGUAUAAAAUAUAGUAGAAAAGAAGGAAAAAAAUAUUGUGGGAAAUAAAAAGGAUAUUAGAUAUUAGCUACGAAAACCGACAUACUAGAGUUAGAAUAAACUGCUUGAUGCUUACUAUUAAAAACUGAUUAAUUAUGAGCACUAAACACACAAGAGCUGGAUCUUUAUUUCUGCAUAUCUAAUGCUAUUGUAGAUUUGAUUUAUAACCUAAAAGAUCAAAUUUAGUUUUUGUAACUAUGGCUUGGAAAACAGCAGAACCAAAUCCAAAUCCAAAUGAAUUCACCUGACAAUCUUGUAUUGUCUGUUUCCAAUUAACAUAUGUUGUGCAGAGUAUGGAAUAGGCUGUAAACCAUCUAGGCUCGGCGACGUGUACAGCUACGGAAUUCUUCUGCUGGAAAUGUUCACUGGAAUGAGCCCCGUCGACGACAUGUUCAAAGAUGGUCUGAGCCUUCGUGGAUAUGUUCGUGCUGCUGCUGCUUCUCCUGAACAUCUCAUGGACAUUAUAGACAGAAAACUGCACUCGGCUGAUAAUGAUAUAGCUUACCAAGAAGAGUGUGUGCGAGAUUGCGUGGUUUUGGUGUUCGACUGCAGUCUCUCGUGCUCAAAUGAAUUGCCAUAUGAACGAUGUGACAUGACGAAAGUCUUAAAGGUGCUGAGGGCAGCAAGAGAGAGGCUUCUAAGCUAAAAGCAGUUUUGCUCCCUAUGCUACGGUUCUCACUAGAGGCAAAUGAAUGUAUGUUUGAACAGCCUCUGCUUUUCCUUAUUUGCAUUUAAAAAGCAACCUUGUGUAAUGAAUAUGCCUAGUCCUUAUGGUUUUUGAUCAUUCCUUUCUAAAAUGAAUAUAAGCAAAAAGAGUUAAGCACUUCAAUUUAUUUUUGCAUCUGCAUACAUUAAUAGCUUAAAAUUCCUAAUUUCUGGCUCAAGUUUAUAGCUGAAGCCUAAUAAAACCCAUCAUUGCCAAAUCUCUGUUGAAUAUAUUUUUCAACAGAUAGCUCCAACCCUAUUUUUAGAAGGUUGUAUAUACAAAUUUUGGAUUUUAAGCACAAACUACAGAAAGAUCAUAAAUAGUAUGAUAGAAGGAGAAUAUUGACCAAGAAAAUUAAGAGGCAUUUACAUUCAAACAAAACGUCACAUACAAAAGCAACAAUCCAAUGCAAGGGACCACAAACACCGAAAAACACAACCAUCACCCAAAGUAUUUGACAUUCCAAAAAGAACACCAGAUACGUACAUAUACCACCCCUCCAGUUCGCGUCCAACACCAUCAUCUCCACCUGCACCCUCGGCUCGUCCAAAACGUCCGCAUACUAUAUACCAGAUACACCAAAUCAAACUCAAAUUCACGAAUCAAAAUCAAAUUUUGAGAAGAGACCCAGAUCGGGAAGUGGGGCGGGGACCUUAUCGGGGUAGGGCAUGGACCCGUCGCCGAGCACGACGUCGCGGGAGCCGUCGAAGGCAACUGCGGCGGAGCCGGUGUAGACGACACGGCGCACGCCGCACUCGAUUGCGACGCGGAGAUUAGGGUUUUGGUGGCCCCAAUGGCUAGGGCGUGGAGUUCGGAGAAAUUGGGGGUGGCGGUGGAGAUAAUGGAGGAUGAGGUUGUAAUAUCCCGGACUCAAUUUAGCAACCCGAUGAAUUACCUCAAUAAGGGUAAGGCUAAAUUGGGGAUGAUGAUGAGCUCUUAAUUGGCCUUCCUGAUCCAAUCUAGCCUCCGUUGAUAUCCAAUUGAGGAUCAGCUGGGAUUGGAGAUGAUGGUAAUAUGUUGAGCUGAGGAUUAAGGUAAAGGAAUUGAGAAUAGAGAUAAGAGGGGAAGAGAGAGAUAGGUAGAGAGAGUGACAGAGAAGAGUUGGGGAUCGAGAGAGAGAAACAGAGAGGAGAGGGAUGGGGAUUAGAAGUAGAGAAGGGAAUUGGGGAAGAGAAAUAGUAAAGAAGAAGAAGGGUUUGGGGAAGAAUUUUUGGGGGAGAAAUAGACUAAUUCAUUUCCAUUCAUGAUCCCUAGCUUAUAAGACAUCCUGAAUUUAUACUAGUUAGUAUCCGUACAGAAAGAAAAUUAUUUAAUCUCUGAGGACUAAACAGCAAUAGUGACAAAAAUAAGAAGUGGGCUGGUUGGGCCGCCAAUUCGGUGGUAGUUGGGCCCUCUUUCUGGGCUUUCUGAGCUCCUCUGCUGCUUGUCGGUUAUUCGGACUCGGGUCCGUCCUUCUCCGCACUACCCACAACCCGGCAGGUCUUGGGUUCGCCAUUUCGCCCCGAUCCGAGCCCCGCUUCGCCCGAUCCAUGCUUAACGGUAAGUGGGCGUCGGUUCCGGCCUUCUCCGCAUCAUCCACCACCCGGCGGAUAUCGGGUCCGCGUUUUACGCCCGCUCCGGUGAUCCGACCGCCCGAUCCGCCAGCUCUCUUCUUCGCCCCAAUUACCCAGGUUCUGUCGGGCUUCCUUCUCCGACCUCGAUCCUCCCAUUUCCCCUUCAGCUCCGACGAUGCCCUAGCCCCGCCGGUUCACCCUGCCGGAGUUCCGCCUGACGCCCUUCUCCGUGCUAUCCUCCGCCAGCGCCUGAGCCCCUUCGGAGGCGCUUCCCACCGGACCACUCCGCCGAGCUCGCUCCUCUCCCACCUCCUGCUGUCACUUCCCUGCUCUACCUUGUAAAGUUGACAUUUUUACUACUUCCCCAUGCUAACUACUACUACUACUUCUACCAUUUAUUCUUUAGGGUUGUUACAGAGGUGGUGCUGCUGCUGGGGUCGAUGUGGAAGACAACGACGGAGCCGGUGAGAGCGGGGAUGACCUGGGCCCGGUCCGAGAAGUCGACCGGGAGGUGAAACUGGCCGGGUGAACCGGGUUGGUGGACCGGUCCCGGGGAAGGGGAGGGAUGGGCGACGCGGACGGCCCAGUGGUCGGAAGAGACGAGCGCGGCGCCGAGGGAGCGGUCGAGGAAGCUGGACCGGCCGAAGCUGACGGCGAAGGGGAUCCGGUUCGGCUCAGCCACCAGUGUAUCGGGUUCGGAGAUCGCCAUUGAGGGGGAUUGAAGGGGGAUAGAGAGGGAGGGGUAGGGGGAACGAGGGAGAAAGGGAGGAGGAAGGGUAACGAGAAAGAGAAAACGGCGCCGUUAAGUGUUCGUAACGGCGUUUCUCACGCACGCGCUCGUGACGACCUGUUUCGUACCAAAUCACAUACAAUGGAAUCAAAAUUUUCAACCAUGUGAUUCAAAUUUAGUGAUGCGAACGGGACGGAUGUCGGAGCGUAGAUCCGCCGCUCCCCCCGCCCCCCACUAUUAAAAUCCCGUCCCACCUUCCCUCUGGAAUCUGUGACAAAUUAAAAAAAUGAAUCUGUAAUUCACUCCGUCGAAUAACCCAUUCUUUGCCGGCGUUCCGAAUCUGUCCCACCAACAAAUAUUUUUUUUAUAAAUUAUAAUAUUAUUUUUUUUUUUAGAAAAAUAUAGUACGCUACCCGCUUCAUUCAUUCAGGAAAUAAAUUUGGCUAUAUGGGUGAGACAACAAGGCCUCUAGAGAGAUAAAAAGCAGAGCGAAGACGAAAAAGAAAAUAAAAAAAUAAAAAAAUAAAAAAAUUGAGAAAAUCAAUCAUGGUUCGAAGAACAAGUCAAAAGUUUUGAAUGCAUGAGAAAUAAGAGUAUCAACUUAUUUUAUUUUAAACUUUUUUGUGAACAUAUUGUUUUUUAGAAAUUAUGUUAGUAUGCUAUCAAUAAUACCAAACGCUUGGUAUUAUCGAAUUUUCAGCCGUUGGAUGGAAGGAUGUACGGUUAGGAUGAUAGUAAUCCUCUAGGGUUGAGUAGGUGGCUGGUUGAAUAGUAUAAUAUAACGGGUGAAAAUAGUCAAAAAAUAGAUUUUACGGCAGAAAAAUUAAUAGUAGCAAGAACUUAAUAUUGUUGAUAGUAUACUAGCUGGACUCAUUUUUUUAGAGAUAUUUUCUUAACAUAUAAUGGAAUAUCUGCUUUUGAUUACAACACAGUAUUGAUGGCAAAAGUAAUAUGGCUAUAAAUAAUUGUGCCCCCAAAUAUUACAUUUAGUGGCGACAAAUAUUUGUCACCAGAUAUCACAUUUAGUGAUAACAAAUAUUUGUCACCAUAUUUUAUAUUUAGUGGCGACAAAUAUCUGCCGCCUAUAGUUAAACGUUGGUGGUAAAAAUUAGUUGCCGUCGAAUCUUGAUAAUUGGUGGUGAUAAAUAGUUGCCACCAAUAAUUUACUUUGGUGCCGAAAUAUUAUUGCGAUGAAUUGUUACAAUUUGGUGGCCGGUGGGACCUUUUGUGGCAUGAUAAUUUUUGUCAUCAUAAUAGGUAUGUCGACAUUUUUUAUAUUCGAUGAUGAUGAUUUUGGACACACUAGGUUGAACAAAAAAAUAAUGAAUAAAAAUAAUAAAUUAUUUAUAUACGAAGAAUAAAAAAAUGCUAAACAAAAAGAAAUUAGUAGGAGCAACAACUGUAACAAACUCAUGAGUUAUUUUUUGAAUGUUGAAUAUAUUACAAGAUUUUAACUCAUUUAUUUGUUUAAUUGGGAAUGAGCUUAUUAAAUAAUUUGUGUUUAUUUAUUAUGUAUGAUAUAUAUUUCUUAUUAUAUAAAAAUACUAAAAUCACAUUAUUUAAUAAAAUAUAUUAUUUUUAAAUAUUAUGUUAAAAAUAUGAUAGUAUAAAUUAUUAUUUAUAUUAUUUUUAUCUGUUUAAAAGGCAUAAUUUAAAUAAUAUUUAUAUUUACAAAAUAAUAUAGAAUUACCGGCAUUUAUUAAUACUGGAAUCAAAAAUAAAAUACUAGCAUUUAUAUAAUAUUGCAAAUUAAAUAAUAAUUACCGGCAUUUAAUUAGUGCCGGAGAUGACUAACAAAUACAAGUAUUUAAAUAAUGUCGGUAAUAGUCAUCUCUAUAACGACAUUUAUUUAAUGUUACUAAUUACUGAACAUUAACGGCAAUCUAUUUAAAUGCCGGUAGAAGAUUUACCAACACGAGUAUAAGCGGCAUUAAAAGCUGAAUGCCGCUAAUAGUUUUUGCAGCAUUUUUUUGACUUUCGGCGGUAAUAACUGAAUGCCGCUGAAACACAAUUUUUUUGUAGUGUCAAUAGAAGAAAAAAGGCAAAACAAAAAAAAACAAUAAUAGCAGCAGCAGAAGAAGAAAAAGAAUGAAUAUAGUAAUAGAGCAAAAUGUAUAUUUGUUGCUUUAUUUUACUAUCCAUCUGCUAUUGCCGUUUUUCAAAUGGCUUUAGAGAGUGAAAGAUAGAGGAAAGCUUCAUGUGCGAGAGGAGUAAAUUUUUAUGAAUAUAGUGAUUGAUAGGGAUGUGCAAAAAGAUAGGAAGAGAGAAGGAAAGAGAGAAAAAUUCAAAACUACAACGCGGCAAAAGAAGAAAAAGGAAAACAGGAAGCAGACAAAUCUUGUGAUCAACUAGUUCCAUACUCUCGUGGCGAGAUGUGAUGGCAAUGGGUUGGAGCAGCAGGAUACGUGGCGGGAUCAGCGGAUUCAAAACUAGGAUGUAUAAAUACAUCUUAUAUGUCGCAUUUUAAAAACCUCAUUAUAAAAAUUCAAAUUCUACAAAUUUUUAUAUAUAAACUUUUUAUAUAGUAUCGAUUGUAUCUAGCAAAGUAGAUUUUAUAAUUUUAUAAUAUUAAAUUUUAAAAAAUAAUUUAGUAUAUGUAAUGCACUGAUAGACUGAGUGCUAACAAUAAUUUAUUACAGUUGAGAAGAAAAGAUAAAGUGGUGAUUGAAAAAUAUUUCGUACCAUCGGAGUGUAAAACUAAAUUUUGUAGUCUACAUUUCUAAAAUAUUAUUCUAAAAAUUUAAACUAUGUAAUUUUUUAUCCAUAACUUUUUAUAUGAUUUAUAUAGUAUAUAUUAAAUAUAAAUUUUAAUUUUAUAAUAUUGAUUAGUUAAAAUAUGUUGUACAGUAAAAGAUCAGAGAGAGAUUGAUGGAGGAAGAGAGAGAGAGUAGGAGAAUCUAGAGAGAGAGAGAAAGAGAGAGAGAGAGAGAGUCUAGAUGGUAUAAAAAAAAGGUCCACCCCACUCCUGACGUAGAGAAUGUAGGGAUACAAAUUGGGUGGAUCUGGGAGUGGAAGCCCCACCCCGCCUCCCGCCACCACUAGCAAAAUCUCGUCUCGCCUCCCGUCCUGAAUCUGUGACAGGUUAAAACAUACGUUCCAUAAUUUGCCCCGCCUCUUAACCCGCCUCCCACCGGCGCCCCGAAUCCGCCCUGCCAACUAAUAUUUUUUAUAAAAUUAUAAUAUUAUUAAUAUUUUGUAAAAUAUAAAUUAAUAAUUUUUAAUAAUAUUAUAUAUAUAAUUUAAUAAUAUCAAUUAUAAAAUAAAAAAUAUUAAUUAUAAUUCAAAACAAAAUUCAAAAGUUUCAAAUGAAUUAGAAAUGAGAGUACUAACUUAUUUGUAUUUUAAACUUUUUUUGUAAAUAUAUUAUUUUUUAGGAAUAUUUUUUUAAAAUAUAAAUUAUUUUCGGGGCGGAUUCGGAACAGAUCAUGGUGGGGUGGAUUCGGGACGGGUCAAAAUUUUUUCCGUUUUUGUCCCGAAUCCGUCUCGGAUCGUAAAAUUUAUCCAAUUUUCUGCUCCAAAUUCGUUUAUUUUCUCCCAUUUAUUGUCCCGUCGGGGCUGAUCGGACCAGAGCUCCACCAACCCAGAUCUGUUUGCAUCCUAAGAGAAUGGGCAAAUUAGCGUAACAGAACACCAUGUUGGAUUUCAACUGAAAAAAAUGGACCCAACCCCGCUUAGCCUCUUGUUUCGCUCAAAUCGACAUGGAGAAUGGGCACCGACAGUCCCUUGAGCAAGUGGCAAAGGGCUUGGUGGUUGGUACCCGAGAUCCAAGUUCGAAUUCUAGUUGAUUCAUAUUUCUAGCUAAGUUUAUUUCUAAAUGAAAUAAACGAAGCGGGUAGUGUACUAUCUAUCUCUCUCAAAAAAAAAAAAGAAAAAAAAAACAUGGAGAAUGGGCAAAGAGAAGAAUUGGGAUGAAAACAAAGUGGGCUCCACUCCAACCCUCAUUUGUCAAAAUCAACCGGGGCGUCACAUUCGACGACUUCAACUAGUGUUAUUAUACACAUUAUAUAGUGUAAAUGGAUGCAAUGCACCAAUACACUCGGUGCUGCUAAUAAUUUAUUGUAGUUGAGACAGAAAAGAUAGAGUAAUGCAGGAGAAAUAUUCAUAUAUCGAGUGUAAAAUUAAAUUUUAUAUAUUACAUUUCUAAAAUCUCAUUAUGAAAAUUUAAAUUAUAAAACCUUUUACACAUAGCUUUUUAUAUUAUUUAUAUUCUAUGUAUUAAAUAUAAAUUUUAAUUUUAUAAUAUUCAUAAGUUAAAAAUAAAUUGUACACUAAAAAAUGAAAAAGAGAUUGAUGGACAAUAAAACAGAAAGGAGAAUUGGGUAAGAAUAGGGAUGUCAAUGAGUAUGGAUAUCCGAAAUUUUAUCCGAACCCGAACCCGAAUGAAACGGAUAUAUCCAAUACUAAAUGGAUAUGGAUUUGGAUAUGGAUAUCAAAAAUAGAAACCCGACGGAUAUGGAUUCGGAUAUAGAUUUUGACUGUACCAAACCCGAACCCGAACCUGACCCAAACCCGAAUUUAUUUUGUAUUAUAUGUAAUAUAUAUAAAAAAAUUUGAUGUUAUAUUUGAAUUUGUAUUUUAGAAAUUUAGAUUUAAUAUAAUAUAUUUCGAAAUAUUGAAAAAAAAAUAAUUAUUUCGGGUUCAAAUUUUCGGAUUCGGGUUCAGGUUCGGGUCUCGGGUUUGGAGUCGGGAUCAGGUUUGGAUUUUUGAAAAUUCGUCACGAAACCGACCCGUUGACAUCUUUAGGUAUAAAAAAAAAAGGUGGGUCUCACCCCCACCUUCUCCACCAGAAACUCAGUUUAUAAAAAAAAAAGGUGGGUCUCACCCCCACCUUCUCCACAGCUAAUGGAUUUCUUUGAUCCCAAAGAAGGCGCAAGCUAUUGCACCAGAGCAUUUCCGACCUAUUAGCCUUACCCAUGCUAUUAGCAAAAUUAUCUCAAAGGUGCUCGCGACCCGCUUGCUGACAGUCAUUGAUUUACUCAUUGACCCGCAUCAAACAGCCUUUAUCAAGAACCGUAGCAUUCACGACAGCUUUGUAAUGGCUCACGAGGUUCUUAACGCUGCUAGAAGGCGGAAGAAAAAAUUGGCCCUUUUAAAAAUUGAUUUCUCUAAGGCUUUCGACAGUGUUAGCUGGCCUUUUCUGCUAAAUCUCCUAAUCUGUCGUGGUUUUGACAUUAAAUGGACUACUUGGAUCUCAAAACUUUUGUCCUCCGCUUGCAGUUUUAUCCUCGUAAACGGAUGCCCGGGCAAGUUGCUUCGUCUCCGACGGGGACUAAGACAGGGCGACCCUAUCUCACCUUAUCUCUUUAUCCUUGUGGCUGAUGUUCUGCAGAGACUUGUGCAGCGUGCUUCAUCCGCCAAUCUCCUUCCGUCACCCUUAGGCAUUACUGGCCUUAGUCCUCUUUUGCAAUAUGCGGAUGACUCUCUACUUUUUUGCGAUGACAACGUCGAAAACCUUCUCAAGUGCAGGACACUACUUCAGGCCUUCUGCCGUUCGUCAGGUUUAUCAAUCAAUUUUGCGAAGACAUCACUCUAUGUUGUUAAUCUUGCUGAACCAUCUCAUGCUUCACUUGCAAAUUCCUUCAACUGCUCUAUGGGUCACUUCCCAUUAACAUACCUUGGACUGCCACUUUCGCCGGCUAAGCUCCCAACUUGUGCUUUCAACUCUCUUAUUGACAAGUUCCAUAAAAGACUCUCGGGAUGGAAAAGUGCUCUACUAUCACCGGCUGGUCGAGUUGUUUUAAUUAAUUCAGUUCUUACAAAUUUACCAAUCCAUUACCUAUCUGUUUUUAUUUUACCUAAGGCUAUUACCCACCAGCUGGGGGAGCUCCUGCGACGUUUUCUGUGGAGGAAAUCUUCAUGUCCUAUAAGAGAAGGUGUACCUCUAGUCACCUGGGAUAUUGUGGCUAGACCUAAAGCUUUGGGCGGACUUGGAAUAGCAAACAUCUACUACAAGAACUUGUCUCUUCUCUGCAAGUGGCUUUGGAGAUUUGUCUCGCAACCGGACUCACCUUGGGCAGUUUUAAUUAAAUCGGUAUAUUAUUCCACUUUCCCUCUCAGCUGGAAGCAUCCCCGACAAAGCUCUCUUUCUUGGCGUAGUGUGCUAAAGACGUACCCUAUCUUCAACAUCUCACACUCUUUUGUGGUUUAUAAUGGGAUGAAGACAUUUUUUUGGUUAUCAUCUUGGUUAGGCACACCCCUGAUGGAUCAAUUUCCGGCUCUAUUCUCCUACUCUGCUCACAAAUUUGCUCUUGUGUCCGAGGUUUUUAUUGAUAAUCUGUUCUCAUUACCGGUCAUCUCUUACCCGUCCAUCAUUGCACAUGAGGAGUUUUCGACACUCUGCCACAGGUUAUGCAACUUCCAAAUUUGCGUCGGCCCCGACAUCUGCUGCUGGAAAUGGACUCCCCAUGCCACUUUCUCCACUGCAUCAGCAUACAAUCUGUUCUUUGCUGGAUCCACAUUCGACUCGACUCCGAUCACUGUUUGGUACUCUUUUGCGCCACCUCGAGUGCAGUUUUUUAUGUGGCUUUUAUAUAAAAACCGAAUUUUAACUCAUGACAACCUUCGGCGUCGUGGCUGGAUUCUCGCCUCAAGAUGUGAGCUUUGCUUUAAUGCUGGCGAAGAUAUCAUUCACUUAUUCCUCCAUUGCCCCUACUCCCUAGCAGUGUGGGCAUCUCUCAAUCUUCUUCUUUGUCUACCUCAACCAUCUUUAUUGGGACUUGGAGACUCUUGGGCAAUGUGGUCAUCUCGCCUUCCUAAGGAUAUUCGAAAGGUUGGGAACACCAUCUUCAGCUGCUUCGCUUGGUCCAUCUGGUCUGAGCGAAAUCGUCGCAUCUUCGACAACACUUGCUCUACUCCCCUCUCCACCGCAAGCCGUAUUCGCAUGCUAAUCGCUGAUGUCGAUAUUUCAUCUUUGACGUGAUCACUUUGUGUCCCCUCACUUUUUAAAUUUUUAGUUGCUAUUAUAUACUGUUUGUCUGAAACCUUGUAUUAUUGUUAAUCUUUCUUUAUUAAGUACACCUUGGUCAGCCCUUUUGGGCCGACCUGUUUUCUUUUUCAAAAAAAAAAAAAAAAAUUUGAAGUGAAAAAAAAAAUGGAGCGCCACGUAGAGCAUGCAGGGAGAGAGAAGAAUUGAAAUGAAACAAAAAUGGGCCCAUCCCAACCUGUUUUGCGCAAAUUAACAUGGUAGCGCCAUGUUGGAUAUAUAGAAUAUGUAGAUUUUCUGAGAAGAAAUGCUAAAUCUACAACUUAAAAUCUCUACAAUCUCUUAUCCAAUGGUCUUUGGAUCUUAUCGCACUUUUUCUAGUCCCUAAUGGCAAGAUUUGUAGGAAAAAGAUGUCUUUUGUAUUAAUAAAAUGGUAAGAUUACAACUGAACAAGUAGUUUUGAAAUUGCUUCUAAAUUUUUAUUAUGUUGUGUUGAGAACCGUUUCGCUUUUGAUUUACUCUAAAAUUGAGUGAUUUUAGUCAGGAAAAUAAAAACUUUUGCCAAAUUAACUGAUGAUUUUAUUAAAUUUAAUAAAAAAACUAAAUUAACAGUUAAUAAGUAAUAGAGUUAUUAAAUUUGAUAGCUAAACUAAGUAUGAAAACUCAAAUAAAAAAACGACAUGGAGGGGCUCUCAAUAAAAUAUAUAUAUAUNUGGAGGGGCUCUCAAUAAAAAAAAAAUAUAAAUAUAAUUAAGUGAGUUAUUUCAAAAUGCCUAGAAAAAUGUUCAUAUAUUAUUUAUAUCUCUCACUAAUUGUUCUAAUGCAAAUGGUAAAGUGAUGAUUGGUACUCAAGGUCAUAAAUUUGAAAGUUAAUUAUUUUAUAUUUUUAAUUAAAUAUAUUUUUUUAAAAAAAAUUAAACGAAGCGCCGUGCACUACACAUUUCCUUUUAACCAAAAUUAUUUGGUUUAUCAAAAUACCGGGCGACAUUCAUUUAUAAUAGAAAAAAAAAAUGUCAUGCAUUUUCUAAACUUUAGAGAGUAGACAAAUAGAUCCCCGAGUUUCUAAUUUUGACAACUAAACAACCUAAACAUUAUCAAAUAAUUCAAUCAUCCUUCCUCUAUAAGAAAGUUGCUAAUUAAAUGUCCAUUUUCGGCAAAUAUCUUGCGUGUGAUUUUGUGAAGCUUCAAAAUAUAUUAAAAUUUGCUUUUCUUAUUCUAACGCUUGAGAAAAGUAAUAAUUAAAAUGAAAGAUGGAUUUAAUUUGUAUAUUCUUCAAUCCAUAGAUCUUUGUUUUGUUGCGAAGAGAGAAAAAACAAUUUUUUUGUUUUUUUUUUUUUGAAACUUAGCAAGAUUAGAUCUGCAAAACAUACUACCAAAAUGACUUUUUAAUUAGUAACUUCUCUUGUGAAAAUUGAUCAAUUAAACUAUUUGGUUAUUUUAGUUAAUUUGAUUAUUUUAGAAGAUCUAGUGGCUAAAAAGCAAUGCUACAUAUACAUUCCAUUUGCGGUGUAUAUCCUACACCUUAUCCAUCCAAUGGGUGAGGUGUUUUCACCAGUCAGUUAACGUGACUGGUAGUUAACACCCUAACCAUUGAAAAAUACCACUUGUACACUCCAUCCGGAUGCACAUUAAGUAACUGGUGAAAACAUAUAAUCCAUUGGAUAGGUGAGAUAUAGGAUAUACAUCCAAAUAGAGUGUAUAUGUAGCAUUGCUCUUUUGAUAUGUCUCUAUGUAAAAACGUAUGUUGAUUAUGUUCUAUAGGCAAAUUUGAAAUUUGCUCCCUCCAGUUUUAUUUUAUGUGGAUUGAGAGUUUGAGACACCCCUUCACUAUUGAUUUUUUAAAAACUGAUAUUUCUGUUCUUCUAAGGCCAUCUGUGUAAAUACAUGCCUUUGGAAAGGCAAUGAGGAAAUUCUCCUUUCAAAAAACUUAAGAGGGCUAUUUCAGAACCACCUAUAAUUGAGGGGGUCUCCAUACAUUUUUAUAUAUAAAUAACAAAAAACUUCAAAGACCAUCCCUAUAGUUUCACACUUUCUCACUUUAGUACCAUGUGGUUUAAAGUAUAUCAAUUUAGUGCCCUAUAGUUUAUUUUUCUUUUUUUAUUAUCAAUUUCAUUAAUUUUUUUUUUCUUAAAUUAGUGACAAAGUUAAAACUAAAGGGUACUAAAGUGAAUAUUCGAUAAACAUAGGUGGGUAUCUGAAGGAUUUUGUAUAUAAUUUAACGAAAUAUUAACGAAGAAACUGACGAAAAUAAAAAAAUAAAACCACUUUAAAUCACAAGGUAUUAAAGUGAGAAAGUGCCAAACCACGGAUGGUUUUUGAAGUUUAUCCUAUAAACAAUUAACCUCCAAUAAUUCGUUCUAUUUCGUCCACUAGUCUCCUUGUUUACUCCAGUCACCUCUGCAAAAUGUCAAUUCACUAAUUGUUAACUAAAUCUUCAAGUGGGAAGUCCAAUACCAAUUGGGCAACUAAGUGUAGUAUUGACUUUUGGUCCGAUUGCUAGGAGGGGGAGGGGGGGGGGUGCCAAUUGGGCAACAAGUGUACGGGGGGGUCUUUUCCCAAUAUGUAUACCUUCUUUCGCAUCACAAAAAUGGGAACAUCAACGAUUAUUUGACUAGCGACCGAUGAAAUUGGAGCAAAAUUUUUAAUGGCAAUAGCACUAGUGGACACAGAUUGAGCUCUAGUUACGUAGCACUUAGGGAAAGGAUCUCCAUUUUCAAACUCGAGCAUAGACCAGAUAGCGUACAUUAGCGUUGGAGCCCUGACGGGCGGUUCACGGUGAAAUCUGCCUAUUCGAUGCUGAAUGAUUGGUGUAUAAAGGACGCCCGGACAAGCAAGAUUUGGAACAUUCGAGUACCCCUAAAAGUGAAAGUGUUUUGCUGGAUUGUUCUUAAGAUGCAGCCUCUUACUGUAGACAACCGAUUAAAGAGAGGUUGGACUAGCAACAUAGCAUGCGUGUUGUGUAGGGUUGAAGAGAAAACUGUCGACCACUUAUUCACACGAUGCGUCUUCUCGAGAUUUCUAUUGGUGAUGAUCUUGGAGUAUGCACAGUCUAGAGAUUGGGGGGAUGACGUAAGCUCGGUCUGGGUUAGGUGGAUGACGAGGAUUGGAACGCAGUCGUCGAGUACUACGGUAUCCGGAUUGGUAGCCAGCUGGUGGGUAAUUUGGGAGGUCAGGAACAACGUGAUCUUUAGGAAGACCCAACCGGACCCGUCUUUGCAGCUUACAAGAUUAAGCAACUGACGAAUCUUUGGAGCAAUUUCUACUAGGUAAUUGACGACACGCUUGUAGUCGGUAGUUUUUUUUUUUUUUUCGCCCCCUACGAGGCCUAUGUUGUCUCACCCCAAUAGUUUAGUUCAUCUUUUCAAUUAAUGAAUCGGGUAGCGUGCUAUCUAUUUCUCAAAAAAAAAAAAAUUUUUGAUUAAACAGGGAUAUACCUUAUUUGAUAAAGAGAAUUAUCACGACAAAUUUGAUGGUUGUAUUGAAAUAGUGAUGCAUUGCACAAAUAUACUGGUGGUAGGUGCUUUUAGUUAGCCACUUGGUUCAUUUUUUACAUUGCGCCAAUGUGCUGUUACAAUUAAGUGGCACUAUAAAAAAUUUUCAAUAUAAGAAAGCUUUUUAAAUAAUAUUUGAAAAAAUAUCUCCAAGCUACCUAUAAAAUAGCAAAUAUCGAUAUUUCAAAAAAUAUCGUCAUAUGAUUAUAUGAACCCUCUAUUAUAAUAAAUCAAUUUAUUAGAUGAUAAACUUUAUUAUUAUUUUAAUUUUUCGACGCAUUAAAAUGUUAAGAUUUUAAAAGUUCUUAAAAAUUCUAACGCUUUAAAACGUCAGAAUAUAUUUGAUCGACGCUUGACAUAAACGUCGGUAUAUACGUGGUGAUGUUUUAACAUAUGCUUUUAAAUAUCACGCUAAACUAUAUUAAGACAAUUUUAAAUAUCGUUAAAUAUAAAAAAAUAUAUGUUUAAAUGUUAAUGUUUUUUUGUUAGUGUGGCCUUAGUUAUCUACUUUAUUUAUUUUUUAUAGUGCAUAAAUAUACAGCUACAAAUAGGAGUAGAUGGUUUUAGCUGCCUGCUUAGCUAAAAUAUAAAGUAAUUAAAUUUCGAACUUAAAAACUCGAAUACUAAUUAUUAAGCUUUUAACCAAUUACCGUUAGUUACAUUUUGCAGAAAUAUUGCGGUACAAGGUACAUGAUCAGUAUUCUCACACCAUGGUAUUACUACCUUAUGACAACGAAAUAGGAUUUUGACUAAGCGUCGAAGUUAGUUUGUUAUCUAUCCAGUUCCCAAGAUUAAAUACCAACGAAGAGCUACUGCAGGAUUACUAUGGCUUUAGCUUCUCUUGUCUUAGUUCGUAGAAUGGAAGGCUUUUUCCAUGCACUAUUUUUUCUCAUCAUUCUACUAUAUGUGAUGUCCGCCGCCUGGUGCACCGCCACUGCUGCCGCCGGGAUCAAACAAGCUGCAUCCGACCGCGCCGCCCUCCUCUCCUUCAAGUCCCUCGUCGACGACGAUCCGUUCAGAGCGCUCUCCUCGUGGAACAACGGCUCUCUCCACUACUGCAGGUGGCGUGGUGUCUCCUGCGGCCGCCGCCAUCCCGACCGGGUCACGGCCCUCGACCUCAAGUCUCUCCGCCUAGCCGGUUUCGUAUCGCCCGCCGUAGCCAACCUCACAUUCCUCCGGAGGAUCGACCUGUCCGACAACAAGCUAGGCGGGCGCAUCCCGGAGGAGUUAGGAAGCCUACGCCGGCUGAGAUAUCUCAACCUGAGUGUGAAUUCUCUUCGCGGAACGAUCCCGUCUUUGCUCGGCAAUUGCUCUAAUCUUCAACUACUCAACUUGAGAGAUAAUAAGCUCGAUGGUGAGAUCCCACCAACUCUAUCGAGUCUUUCCGGUCUUAGAGAGCUUAUGCUGCGUCAAAACAUGUUACAAGGAACAAUCCCUUCCCAUCUAACACAGUGUAAAGAGCUUCAGGUUGUCGAUCUAAGGAAUAACUUUCUCACAGAAGAAAUUCCACCAGAGCUUGGCUAUCUUCACAAGUUAAUAUCGUUAGCUCUAAGCUACAAUAAUCUUACAGGAGCCAUCCCUGCUACUUUGGGCAAUCUUGCUCAGCUUCAAAACCUUGAUCUAAAAUUCAAUAGCCUUUCUGGGUCCAUCCCGGAUUCACUUGGGAAUCUCUCUUCCCUAAUCUAUCUUUCUUUCGGCAAAAAUAACUUGUCAGGACCCAUGCCUCCAUCCUUCGGUAGCCUUCUCUCCUUGAACAUACUUGAAAUCCAACAGAAUAGUCUCACAGGAACCAUUCCGUCGACUCUUACGAACCUCUCCUCUCUGAACGUGGUUGCACUACGAGGAAACAACCUUCAUGGUGAAAUUCCUCGCUUUGCAGAACUUCCACUCCUCUUUUACCUGGACUGCACUUCUAACAAUCUCUCCGGGACGAUCCCAAUCUCGCUCGGACGACUUUCAUCGCUCGAAUAUCUCCGUCUCAGGAUGAACAACUUAACAGGGGAAAUACCAUCAUCCCUUUACAAUCUAUCAUCCCUGAAGACCUUAGAACUCUUUUAUAACCAAAUCGAGGGAACUCUACCCUCCGAUAUCGGAAAUGCUCUUCCGAACCUUCAAGCCCUUUACAUAUAUGAAAAUCAGCUCGGGGGAAAAAUUCCAGCAUCCUUGUCCAAUGCUUCUGAGCUUAAAGACCUUGAGCUAAUGGCCAAUGCAUUCCAUGGCACGAUACUCCCGAUCUUUGGGGCCUUGCAAAGCCUCUUGCGGCUCGAAUUGGAGGGGAAUCAACUUGAAGCCAGGAAGCCUAGUGACUGGAGCUUCAUUACCGCACUGACCAACUGCACCAGUCUCCAAUUGUUGGACCUAGGAGGCAAUCAACUUGAAGGCACACUGCCCAAAUCUCUAGUCAAUCUUUCCACUAGUCUUAAUGUUUUGGUACUCAAUAGCAACCAAAUAUCAGGAAUUAUACCUACCGAGAUUGAGAAGCUCAUCAGUCUAACUACUCUUGACAUGAGUGGUAACGACCUUCAAGGCACCGUUCCUGUAGAAAUCAGUCAUAUUAGGCAACUACAGCUCUUACGUCUGUCAAAUAACAUGCUUUCGGGCGAAAUUCCUCCCACUUUGGGCAACCUAACACGAAUGGACAAACUCGAUCUCGGCAGCAAUGAUUUUGAAGGAGCCAUUCCGCCGACAUUAAGCAAACUGUUAAUGCUAGAGUUGUUAGAUUUAUCAAAUAAUAGGCAAAGCGGUACUAUUCCUAAAGAAGUUUUGACCCUUUCAUCACUACCAAUCCUCCUUGACUUGUCGCAUAAUUUACUCAACGGUUCAUUACCGUUGGAAGUGGGCAACUUGAUAAAUAUCUGGGGGCUUAAUCUCUCAAAUAACAGGCUCUCUGGUGAGAUUCCAGACACCAUCGGCAAAUGCGCCAUCUUGGAAAUUCUUCAUUUAGAGAAUAACUUAUUUCAUGGGUCCAUUCUUGCCUCCAUUGGCAAUUUAAGAGGGCUUGAGGAGCUUGAUCUCUCAAAAAACUUCUUCUCAGGCCAAAUACCGGCAUUCCUUGACGAGCUCCCGGAUCUACACUAUUUGAAUCUCUCCUUCAACAGUUUUGAGGGUCGAGUGCCAAUGAAAGGGGUCUUUAAGAAUGCGAGCGAAGUCUCACUUAUCGGAAAUAGUAAACUCUGCGGCGGAAUUCCAGAAUUACACUUGCUGAAAUGCACUUCAGAUGCCUUUGCAACAAAACAUCACUCUGAUUAUAAACUCAGAGUAAUACUCAUUCCUAUAUGUGGAGCAAUUUUGUGUUUGAUUAUAAUCAUAUGCUUGCUUGGGAUACAUCACUUGAUUAAAAACUCGCAGAGAAAGCCGCAGUCGAGGUUUUCCUUAAGAAACCGACACGCGAAAGUAUCUUACGAUGAGCUCUUGAGGGCUACAAAUGGGUUCUCCUCAGAUAAUUUGAUCGGCACCGGAAGUUUUGGGUCGGUUUAUAAAGCCGCCAUGAACUAUGAAAACGUCGACACCGUCGUGGUGAAAGUGCUUAACCUUCAACAGCAUGGGGCUUUCAGAAGUUUUAUGUCUGAAUGUGAGGCCCUGAGAAGCACUCGACACCGAAAUCUUGUCAAAAUUCUUACAUUGUGCUCUAGUUUGGAUCACCGUGGUAACAAUUUCAAGGCCUUGGUUUUUGAGUACAUGCCUAAUGGGAGCUUAGAAGAGUGGCUACAUCCAAAUGCACGCAAGAAUAGGCCAUUCAGAAGCCUAAGCCUAAUCCAGAGGUUGAACAUAGCUGUCGACAUAGCCUCGGCGUUAGAGUAUCUUCAUCACGGAGGGUCCAUGCCGAUUGUUCACUGUGAUCUUAAGCCCAGCAACAUCCUUCUCGACAAUGAAAUGACAGCGCAUGUGGGUGAUUUCGGGUUAGCAAAGUUUCUGCGGCAACCGCCUGACGAAUCAUCAGAGCAUUCGUCUACCAGUACUGUGGGAAUCAAAGGAUCUAUUGGUUAUGUUCCUCCAGGUGAGAAAUAUGCAAUGAAAUACUAAAACUUUUUUUAUGCUUUACGGCAUUUCAGAAAAAAAUAUAACACAUUUUCAGUUGAUUCCUAGCUAUACUAUAUCUUUCUUUUUUUUUUGCUGCUUAUUAUCUUUUGAAGCAAAAACAAGUAAAUAGCAUAAGUUUAAUAAAUAAAAUUAGAAAUUUGGUAUAAAAAUUAGUAGAAAAGAGGGAAAAAAUAUUGUGGGAAAUAAAAAGGAUACUAGAUAUUAGCUACGAAAACCGACAUACUAGAGUUAGAAUAAACUGCUUGAUGCUUACUACUAAAAACUGAUUAAUUAUGAGCACUAAACACGCAAGAGGUGGAACUUUAUUUCUAAAUAUCUGAUGCUAUUUUAGUGUCAACGUAUAAUCUAAAAUAUCAAAUUUAGAUUUUGUAACUAUGGCUUGGAAACAGUGGGAACCAAAUCCAAAUCCAAAUGAAUUCACUUGAGAAUCUUGUAUAGUCUGUUUCCAAUUUACUAAUGUUGUGCAGAGUAUGGAAUGGGGUGUAAACCAUCUAGGCUCGGCAAUGCAUACAGCUACGGAAUUCUUCUGCUGGAAAUGUUCACUGGAAUGAGCCCCCUCAACGACAAGUUCAAAGACGGAUUGAGCCUUUGUGGAUAUGUUCGUGCUGCUGCUGCUUCACCUCAACAUGUCAUGGACAUCAUAGACAGAAACCUGCAUUCAGCUGAUAAUGAUAAAGCUUAUCGAGAAGAGUGUGUGCGAGAUUGCGUAGUUUCGGUGUUCGACUGCGGUCUCGCGUGCUCGAACGAAUCGCCAUACGAACGAUGCGACAUGACGAAAGUUGCAAAGGAGCUGAGUGCAGCAAGAGAGAUGCUUCUUAGCUAAAAGCAGUUUUGCUCCCUAUGCUACAGUUCUCACUAGAGGCAAAUGAAUGUAUGUUUAAACAUCCUCUGCUUUUCCUUACUUGCAUUAAAGAAAAACCUUGUGUAAUGGAUAUGCCUAGUCCUUAUGGUUUUGAUCAUUCCUUUCUAAAAUGAAUAUAACCAAAAGGAGUUAAGCACUUCAAUUUAUUUUUGCAUCUGUAUACAUUAAUAGCUUCAAAUUCCUAAUUUCUGGCUCAGGUUAAUAAAUGAAGCCUAAUGUAACCCGUCAUUGCCAAAUCUGUGUUGAAUACACUUUUCAACAGAAAGCUCCAAGCCUAUUUAGAAGGGGUAUAUGUACAAAUUUUGGAUUGUAAGCACGAACUACAGAAAGAUCAUAAAUGUUGACCAAGAAAAAUUAAGAGGCAUUUACAUUCAAACAAAGCAUCACAUACAAAAGCAAGAAUCCAAUGCAAGGGACCACAAACACCGAAAAACACAACCAUCACCCAAAGUAUUAGACAUUCGAAAAAGAACACCAGAUACGUACAUAUACCACCCCUCCCGUCCGCGUCCAACACCAUCAUCUCCACCUGCGGCCUCAGCUCAUCCAAAACGUCCUCAUACUAUAUACCAAAUACACCAACAAGUGAAACUCAAAUUCACGAAUCAAAAUCAAAUUUUGAGAAGAACCCAGAUCGGGAAAUGGGGCAGGGACCUUAUAAGGGUAGGGCACGGACUCGUCGCCGAGCACGACGUCGCGGGAGCCGUCGAAGGCGACUGCGGCGGAGGCGGUGUAGACGACGCGGCGCACGCCGCACUCGAUUGCGGCGGAGAUUAGGGUUCUGGUGGCCCCAAUGGCUAGGGUGUGGAGUUCGGAGAAAUUGGGGGUGGUGGUGGAGAUAAUGGAGGAGGAGGAGGAGGUGGUGAUGGGAUCGAUGUGGAAGACGACAACGGAGCCGGCGAAGGCCGGGAUGACCUGGGCGGACCGGGAGGUGAACCGGGCCGGGUGAACCGGGUUGGUGGGCCGGAAGGCGACGCGCACGGUCCGAUGGCCGGAAGAGACGAGCGCGGCGCCGAGGAAGCUGGACCGGCCGAAGGUGACGGCGCAGGGGAUCCGGUUCUGAUGCGACCCCAACUUUCAUUUUUAAUAGUUUUCUUUUAAUAAACAAGUUCAUAUUUAAAUAUCUUAUUAUUUAAGAAUAUAUUUAGGAAUAGACAGUUAUCUUGUUUGGAAAUAAAUUUAUUAGGUAUGAUUAGGAGUAGUUUAAGGAUUUGGACUCUAUAUAAUGUAACCCGGAGUUACAAGAAAUAAAAAGUAAUAUUGUCUCUUUUUCUUCAUAUCUUGUCUUCUCUUUCUACCUCUUCUCUCUACUUCUCAAUUCUUUAGGAGGUUCGAUCCCCUCGACGUGAUCGUUUAUCCCUAUUGAUACGGUAGGAUUGUAUCAUUUGGUACCAGAGCUUGUAUGGUCCUGAUUCGAGCAAAAAAAAGAAUCCUUACGAAGGAUGGACGGGGAGUUUGUACGACGGGAGGAAAUGAACAACGUUGAUACUCGAUUGAACAAACUGGAGACCGAGGUAAGGUCCAUUAGCGAUUCUAUUAACGAUUUUAAAAAUUUAAUUAUCGCUAUGAAUACAAAGAUAGAUGUGCGACCGCAAGCACCAUCCGAAGAGACAUCCGCCGCAAGUUCCGAUAAAAGUCGCCCCCUUCUUCCUACUCCCUUCAAGGAAGGAACAUUGAUUCCUACUAUGGAGAACUCUAUGAUGGUGAUACCUCGUGUCACAAGACUGGAGUUUCCCCGAUUUGAGGGCGAGGAUCCAACUGGAUGGGUGUAUCGAGCAGAGCAAUUCUUAAAUUUAAUCAAAUACUGGACGCGCAAAAAGUUCCACUUGCAUCGUACCAUAUGGAGAAGGAAGCAUUGCAAUCAUUUUAAUGGUUUGAGAAAAGCAGUGGAGUUGUAGCGUGGAUGAAUUUCGUAGAAGCACUUUGUACUUGUUUUAGUCCAACCAUGUAUGAAGACUAUAUGGGUGAAUUAUCAAAAUUACAAUAAGGACCUACUCAGAGUGUUCGUGACUAUCAGUCUCGAUUCGAAAUGCUAGCCAAUCGCACUUCAGGACUAACUGAGGCACUUUUCAUAAGUUGCUUCGUUAGUGGGCUGAAGGAGGACCUAAAGCAUGAUGUCCGAGCUUUCCGACCAACUUCUAUGUCAGCAGCCAUCGGUCUUGCUCGUCUACAAGAGGAAAAGUUGAUAGCUCAACAUCAUAUUAUAAAUUCUAAGCCUUCUCUUUUGUCUGCUUCUACAACACCAAUGUCUAAUGAGACGUUUCCACCCAUAAAGCGCCUCACACCGGCUGAAGCGAAAGUAAGAAGAGAUUAAGACCUUUGCUACAAAUGUGAUGAAAAAUAUAGACCCGGACAUCGAUGCAAAUCAAAGCAACUAUUUUUGAUGGACGCCGAACCGGAUGAAAACAGAGAAGAUGAUGUAAAAGGAUUAGACAAGCUUAAGGAUUUUCCACCUUGAGGACAAGGUGGCUUUCGAGGGCGGAGGAGAUGAUGCGACCCCAACUUUCCUUUUUAAUAGUUUUCUUUUAAUAAACAAGUUCAAAUUUAAAUAUCUUGUUAUUUAGAAAUAUAUUUAGGAAUAGGCAGUUAUCUUGUUUGGGAAUAGAUUUAUUAGGUAUGAUUAGGAGUAUUUUAAGGAUUUGGACUCUAUAUAAUAUAACCCGGAGUUACAAGAAAUAAAAAGUAAUAUUGUCUCUUUUCCCUCAUAUUUUGUCUUUUCUUUCUACCUCUUCUCUCUACUUCUCAAUUCUUUAGGAGGUUCGAUUCUCUUGAAGUGAUCGUUUAUCCCUAUUGAUACGUAUCAGGUUCGGUUCGGCCGGGAGUGGACGAGGUUCGGAGAUCGCCAUUGAGGGGAUUGAAGAAGGAGAGAGAGGGGGUAGUGGGAAUGAGGGAGAAAAAAGGGGAAUGAGAAAGAAAAAACGGCGCCGUAAAGUGCUUGUAACGGCGUGUUUUGUGACGAGCUCGUAAGUCGUAACGGUGUUGUUGUUGUAGUUGUACAUUUCAAAUCACAUACUUGAAAUGUACAACUACAACCAUUUGGUACCAAAUCACAUACAAUUGAAUCAAAUUUUCAAGUAUGUGAUUCAAAUUCUAGUGAACUUGAUUUCGAGAUUAAAUUCUAGGGAAAUGUACAACCCGUUUGAUUUAUCCCUUCCCAACAUAAUAGGAAAAAUGUUUGGAGACAACUUUUGAAAUUGUUGCGUCAAUUUUUAUUUUUUGGGAUUAGAUUUUUUACUAAGUAAUUUUUGUCAAAAAAUCAUAAAUUUUACCAAAUUAUAUAAUGAUUUCAUCAAAUUUAAUAUUUUUAGUCACUCUUAAGUUCAAAAAAUUGACCAAUUAAUAGUUAUUAAUAGUUUUAGUAGUUAAUAAGUGGUAAUGUAUUCCGAUCAGCAGAUCUAUCUCGUCUGUUACUAGUUUCAAAAACAAAAAAGAAAAAAGGCUAAAUUACAAAAAAUCCUUCUUAUUUUAGUCCUGUUGAUGCAACAUAACAAUUAAUCAUUGUUUUUAAUAAUUUUACUUUGUCAAUUUUUUUGUAACUCAAUAACUUACUUACAAAUAGUAGUGUACAAUAAAGAAAAAAAAUUUAAGGAAUAAAUUAUUCUUUCUUUAUCAUUUAUUAUGAGGCAACGUCUUUUAUUAAGUAAAAAUUAAUAAGAUAGAAAGCCGAAGAGAUAACGAUUUUACGGAGAAGGCGAACGGGCAUACUGUGAAGUGAUUAGAGAGUAGCAUUUAAUAAGGAGGAAGCCGAAGAGGCAUCGAUAUUACGGGAAAGGUGAGCAGACAUGUUACAAGAAAGACGAGCAGAUACACAAAGCGAUUGAAGAGUAGAAAUCGGAAAAGAGAGAGACUUUGGAGGUGGGUUCCAUAGGCAAAACUUAAAAAGAACAUGCCAUGUGGACUAAGAUUUUGGAAAUUAAUAGUGUUUUAUAGAUAGAUAUCUAAUCUCACUAGAUUAGGAUCGUGAAAGACUCCUGACGCCCAUGAGUACCUAAUUAAUUAUGCAUUUUUUUUCUUAUAUUUGGAGCACCUAAUUAAUUAUGCAUUUCUUUAAAACAGUGUAAAUUUUAUUUAAAACAGUGUAAUUUUAUUUUAAGAGUGCAAUUCUCAUCAUCUUUUUUCUUCUCCUAUAUUUUUUAAUCUUUUCUAUAAAAAAAUAAUUUUUAUUUUUAUUUUUAUUAUUCUUAUUUUUUUCUAUAAUUUUUUUUUUUUUGUCACCACCUCUUCCUCCCUUGCUUUCUAUCGCAACCACCGCGACGUCGUCGGAGGUGAUCUCGCCGCCUCCGACGAUGUCUUGGCGUUCCGAUGCGUGGUGGAGAAGAAGAGCCUGCGUCUCAACGUCGCCGUGCCCUAGUGGAGAAGAGGAUGGCGGCGCGGCCUCAGCAGGGUCGGAGGAUUCGGGUCGAGGCAGGGGAGAGGGGCUCGUUGCCGGCGACGUCGCCGGAGCAGGCGAGGGGGAUGUCGCCGGGGCAGGGGUGGCGUUUCCGCCUCUGCCGCUCUCUGGGAAGAGAAAGGAAAAAAAGAAUGACAAAAAAAAAAGAAAAAAGAGAAAAGGGUACAAGGGCAUUUUGGUCAGUUUGCUGAAAAAUCGGACUAAAUCUACAAAAACAAAAAAGGUGGCCAACUUUUGCAAAAGUCCAAAAUUAGUGGAUUUUUUAUGCAAAUUGGCCAUUAAAAUUUAUAUUUAGUAUAUACAAUAUAAAUCAUAUAAAAAAUUAUGGAUAAAAAAUUACAUAAUUUAAUUUUUUAUAAUAAUAUUUUAGAAAUGUAGACUGCAAAAAUUAGUUUUACACCCAGAUGGUAGAAAAUAUUUUUCAUCCACCACUUUAUCUUUUCAUCCAGAUUAAUAGAGUUAAGUAUAUUAGAGCUAGAGUAGUUUUAGGAUGGAUGACUUCUUAGGAAGUGGUGUUACAUAUAUCUAUGUGCGUUUUUUUUUAAGAAAGAAAGAUAGCAUGCUAUCCGCUUCGUUUAUUUUUUAAAAAGUAAAUUUAGCUGAAAAUAUUAAGCAACUAGAUUUCAAACUUAAAAUUUUGGAUACCAACCACUAAGUUCUUGGCCAUUUGUGCGUGUUGAUACACCUUAAUAGUCCCUUUGGUACAUGCCAUGUCAACUAACUACUAGUGUAAAGAGAUGCACAUGCAUAUGUACCUUCUUUUCUUACCUAAAGUUCUUGCAUUGAAUUGUUCCCUCUCUAACAAAAUUCUUUCUUUAAUCUCUUGUUACAUGUUGGAAGCUAUCUCGGAUACACAUAAAAUUCUUACUUGGGCUAAAAAGGAAAAAGAAAAUGGUACGAGAAAAUUACGUUUGGAUAGUUGAAAAAGCAAAAAAAAUUUGCACGAAAAAAUUUCGCCGGUCAUAAUAAUAUUUUCCUUCAAGCGUUUACUGUUUAUUUAAUUUAUAGUCAAUCUGGAUUAGAGGUGGCAGACCAUUGUUUGCGAGCCAAUUCGUGUUCGGCUCGAAAUGAGCUCAUGUUCGAAUUGAAUUGCUCGUUUACUAAACGAGUCAAAUACGAACUGUAUUUUUCAGCUCGUUUAAUAAACGAGCCGAACAGGAGCUAGGGUCAACUUGCUCGUGUUUAGCCCGUAUACAUAUAUUUUAUAUUUAUAUAUUUUAUAUAUUUUAUAUUUUUAUUUAUAAAUAAAUAAUUAUAUAUAUAAUAUAGAUUUUCAUUAAUAUUUAAUUGUUUAGCUCAACCUAAAUAUAAAGCCCAUCUCAAUUAUAAAAAAACUUCGGGUUAAUUUUAUUUGUACCCUCACAAAACUAUGAAACAUCAUAAAUACCCUUCAAAUUUUUAAAAUUUCACAAAUACUCUCUAAAUACAAUAUUUCUUUCAUAAAUACCCUUACCGUUACUAUUUUGCUAACUUCCGUUAACUCAACAUUUUUUUACUUUACUUUAAAAUAUAAAAUUACCAUUUUACCCUUUGUUCACUAUUUCUUUAGAGGGAGAAUUUCAUUCAUACCCUUGACAAGUUCAAGAUUAUAAUAAAUGCCCCUAACAAUUUGAAAUAUCAAAAUUAACCCUAUGAAUAUUUAAUUUGUUUUAAAAAAACUCCAAAAUAUACUAUCAUUAGUUGGGAUCAUUUUAAUCUUAGUUACAUUAUAGUAUAAUGAAGGUUAAGAAUAAAAUUGUCUAUUUUAUCCCUAAAUAUUGAAAAUUGGUGAGGGGUACAUAAAUGUAUGCUAACCCAUUUCUUUUUUUAAAUUUUUAUCCAUUCAAAUUUUAUUUAUUUUGAUUUUAAAUAUUCUAAUCAAUUAAAUAUAGAAAUUCAAUUAAUCAGUUAAUUAGCUAUUAAAUGAAUUUUGCUAUUUUCAAAUGAAAAUUAGUUAAAGGUAUUAAAAUUUGAUGGAAUAAUUAUCUUACUUUGUGAAAUUUUUAUUAAUUAAAAUUUCAUGUUUUCAAUUUGUUAUUUCAAACUAUUAUUGGUUCAUAUAAUGUCCAUUGAUUAUAAAAAUUUAGUAAGUCUUUUCAUAAUAAAACUAAUUUUUUAUCUGGGGUCGAAUUUUAUACUAAUGUAUUGCUCUCAGUUAUAAUGUGUAUUCACAACCACAAACUUUCUCUACUUUAAGUAGUCAAAUUAAAAUUUUUUAUUAUUUCACAAUCGUUAUAGUAAAAGAAAAUAUAACUAAAAUGAAUUAUCUUCUCAUUUUAACAAUGAAACAAAAUAAAAUUUAAUUUAACUACAAUUUAUUUGAAAUAGAAAUAUUUAUUUCUAAUUGAAAUGAAUAAUUUUUCUAAACUAAAUCAAUCAAAUUUUACUAAAUCUUUAGUCUAGAUAGAGUUUAGUUAAAUUUCAAAUAUAACAGGGGUAUUUAUGAAAUAAAGUAAGUAAUUGACCAUUAAAUAUAAGAGGGGUAAAGUUGGAAUUUAAAUAUUAUUAACUUCAAUUUGGAUGGGCACUUAAUGGUAGGGUUAUUUUUGAAAGUUUUUUAAAUUUAGGAGGGUAUACAUGAUAUUUCAAUUUUUAGAUGGGUAUUUAUGAAAUUAGAUAGUUUUAGAAGGGUAUUGAGGAAAUUUUUCCAAAAACUUUGGUAUAAAUAAAGUUUCUACCAUUAAAUUAAAAUCUAAUAGAUAAAAUCUCAUAAAUUUAUUUUCUAUAUAUAUUCUUUUUAAUCCUUCUAACUUGUUAUUCGUGAGCCAACUCGUGUUCAACUCGUCAAAAAAAUAAGCUGAACACGAGUUAAAUUUUUUGGCUCGAUACUUGAACGAAGCAGCUCAUGUUGAAACGAGCCGAACACAAGCCUGCCCUAGCUUGCUCUUGUAUGGCUCGUUGACACGCCCAAUCUGGUUAGAAUGUUUAGUCUGUUAAAAUCUAGUUAAUUAUGACUUGUGUACAAUGAUCGGAAAUACGAAUUAAUUUAUCUUAAUAUUUUGGAUUCCGACUAAUAUUUUGAGCUAUAAAAAUUACACUCUUUUGAAAUAAAUUUUACACUCUUUAGGCCCAUGUUGCACCAUUUAGAAAAAUUUUAUACUACUUUUUUUUUUUCCUCUUUCUUCUCUUCUUCUUCUUCUUUCUCCUGCAGGAACAGUUUUCUUUUUUUUUUUUUUUCCUCUUUCUCUUUUUUCUUCUUCCUGCAGGAGAAGCUUCCUUCUUUUUUUUUUCCUCUUUUUCUUCUUCUUCUUCUUCCUCUUCCUCAUGUAUGCCAAGUUCUGCCACCCCGCCACCAACCUCUUUGCCUCUCCCGCCCUCCACCCCGACGACGCCGCCGGCGCCGCCGUCGCCGUCGCCGUCGGAAGCGGCAGACUCCGCAGUUCCUCCGGCAUCGACAAGACCGUCGUCGUAUCGCUUCCGUUCUUCGAAUUGUCCGCCCUCCGCGGGGACCGCGGCGUGCUGGAGUGCGCCGUCUGCCUGUCCCGCUACGACGACGACGCCGAGCUGCUUCGCCUGUUGCCGGGCUGCCGACAUGCCUUCUACCUGGAGUGCAUCGACCGCUGGCUAGACGCCCACUCCAGCUGUCGGACCAAGAUCUCUGCCGCCGCCGCCGCCGCCCGCUUCAACCAGUCCGGCCGCUUCGACAGUGGCCGCGACCUUCUCGGCCUCUUCGUCGAGCGAGAGCCCGAGGCCGCCAGCGACCUCCGCCGCUCCUCGUCGCUCUUCAGCAUCGGAGGUAGCUUCCGGAGGACCGCGCCGAGUUCACCAUCAUUAAUCGCGGGGCGGGCGCCACCGCCCUCCCCAGCCGCUUCACCCACUCCGGCCGAUCCGCCACCGCCGCCGCCUCCUCUCCCCCGCCCCCACCAUCGCCAACACCCUCAUCGCCUCUGCCUCCGCCUUCAGAGUCGGCGGGUGGGUGCUGCUCCUGUAGGAAGAAGAAGAAGAAGAAGAAGAAGAAAAAGAGGAAAAAAAAAAAAAGCUGCUCCUGUAGGAAGAAGAAGAAGAAAAAGAAGAAGAAGAGAAAGAGGGGAAAAAAAAAAAAAAUUGCUCCUGCAGGAGGAAGAAGAAGAAGAAGAGAAGAAAGAGGAAAAAAAAAAGUAGUGUAAAAUUUUUCUAAAUGGUGCAAUCUGGGCCUAAAGGGUGUAAAAUUUAUUUCAAAAGAGUAUAAUUUUUAUAUCAAAUAGUGCAAUUUUCUUUCAAACAGUGUAAAUUUUGUUUAAAACAGUAUAAUUUUAUUUUAAGAGUGCAAUUCUCAUCAUUUUUUUCUUCUUCUAUAUUUUUUAAUCUUUUCUAUAGAAAAAAUAAUUUUUAUUUUUAUUUUUAUUAUUCUUAUUUUUUUUUUAUAAUUUUUUUUUUUUGUCACCACCUUUUCCUCCCUUACUUUCUAUUCAACCACCGCGACGUCAUCGGAGGUGAUCUCGCCGCCUCCGACGAUGUCUCGGCGUUCCGAUGCGUGGUGGAGAAGAAGAGCCUGCGUCUCAACGUCGUCGUGCCCUAGUGGAGAAGAGGAUGGCGGCGUGGCCUCAGCAGGGUCGGAGGAUUCGGGUCGAGGCAGGGGAGAGGGGCUCAUUGCCGGCGACGUCGCCGGAGCAGGCGAGGGGGACGUCGUCGGGGCAGGGGUGGCGUUUCCGCCUCUGCCGCUCUCUGGAAAGAGAAAGAAAAAAAGAACGACAAAAAAAAAAAGAAAGAGAAAAAUGUACAAAGGUAUUUUGGUCAGUUUGCUGAAAAAUCGAACUGAAUCUGCAAAAACAAAAAAGGUGGCCCACUUUUGUAAAAGUCCAAAAUUAGUAGAUUUUUUAUGCAAAUUGUCCAAUUUUAAUUUUAUAAUAUUGAUUAGUUAAAAAUAUGUUGUAUAGUAAAAGAUCAGAGAGAGAGAGAGAGAGAGAGAGCAAAAAAAAGGCCCCACGCCACUCCCGACGUGGAGAAUGGGAGAGAAAGGGAAGAAUUGGAAUGGAAAAAGAAUGUUGAAUUUCCCUCUGGCCAAAUUAGCGUGAGAGGACACCAUGUUGAAUUUAAACUAAAAAAAAUGGACCCUACCCCCUUACCCCUUUCUUCGGCUCAAAUCAACGUGGAGAAUGGGGAAGAGAGAAGAAUUGGGAUGAAACAAAAAAGUGGGCUCCACUCCAACCCUCAUUUAUUCAAAUUAAAUUGAGAGUACCAUGUUGGCUUUCAACUAGAGUUUCUAUAUACAAUAUAUACUGUAAAUUGAUGCAAUGCACCAAUAGGCUAGGUGCCAGUAAUAAUUUGUUAUAGUUGAGAUAGAAAAGAUAAAGUGGUGAAAGAGAAAUAUUUUGUACAUCGGGUGUAAAAAUAAAUUUUAUAUACUACAUUUCUAAAAUUUUAUUAUAAAAAAUUUAAAUUAUAUAAAUUUUAUAUACUACAUUUUUAAAAUCUCAUUAUAAAAAAUUUAAAUUAUAUAACUUUUUAUGUAUAGCUUUUUUUAUUAUUUAUAUUCUAUAUAUAAGUUAAAAAUAAAUUAUACAACAAAAAUGGGAAAGAGAUUAACGGAGAAUGAAAGAGAGGAGAAUUGGGUAGCCAAAAAAAGGUGUCUUACCCAAUCCUCUCCACCCAUAUCAACGUAGAGAAUGGGAGAGAGUGAAAAAUUGAAAUGGAAAAAAAAAGUGGGCCCCAUCCCCACCUGUUUUGCGCAAAGGGAGCACCAUAUUGGAUUUCCACCGAUCGUUUUAUAUAUAGAAGAUAUAUAGAAUAUUUAGAUUUUCUAAAGUCUACUAAAAAGUGGGCCCAUCCCAAUCUGGUUCCAUGCUCUCGCGGCAAGAUGUGAUGGCAUCAGAGCAACAGGAUACGUGGCGGAAUCAGCAGAUUUUUGAAAUUAGGAUGUAUAAAUAAAUACAUCCUAUAAGUCGCAUUUUUAAAACUUAAUUAUAAAAAUUCAAAUUUUAUAAAUUUUUAUAUAUAAACUUUUUAUAUAGUAUAGAUUGUACCUAGUAAAAUAGAUUUUAUAAUUUUAUUGUUGGGAACCGGAUGGAUCGUCCGUCAUGUGUUACCAACAAAGAUAUACGAAAAAUAGAGAAAAUACUAAACGAACGGUAAAAGAAAUAAAUGCAGAAAAAAGAAAUCAAGAUUUACGUGGUUCGGCAAUUGCCUACGUCCACAGGGAGAGCGAGAGAGAUGUAUUUCACUAUAUGAAGAAAUAGAAGUACAAGCUUACACUUUAUGUCUUCUCCGGUUAAAAAACCAAGAGCCUUAUGGUAAAUCCCACCUUUCUUGUUCCAACGAAAACUCCAAGCAAAUACCGAAAAAGCUUUUCGUAAAACCGAGAAGACCAAAUUAGAGAAGUAUAGAAACUCUAACCAAAUUUCUUUAUGCCGUUGCUUCGAAGAAUACGAACCGCUCAGGCAAUUGGUCGAGAACCGCCGCUCCGCCGCCAGCGUCAAUCCGUUGUUGCAUGCGAGCAACCUUCCUUCUCUUGCUACCGUACGACGAGGCACCUUAAUUAAUUAGCUAUUCACCAGAUGCUAAUUAAUUUUCCUUUAUACCCCCUCAAGCCGUACAUGCCCAUGGCCACCUUUAAUUAUACGGCUAAUUAAUUUUGGCCUCUACACGCGGCUCCAAGCUAUACAUGCAUAUGCAUGUAUAUGUAGAGGGAUUUGGCUCAAUCCUACUCUAAUUCAAUAUGAUUAUUGAAUAUAGAGUAUUAUAUGGAAACCAAUCCUAGUCCACCUAGGAUUCCAAUUUAAAUUAGGAUCCAUCAAAAUAAAUCCUUAUGAGAUCCUUUUUAUUUUUCCAUAAACCAAUAAAAAAGAAGGCAUAUUUUUAACAUUCUCCACCUUGACUUCUUUUUUUUUUUACUUCAUUACUCUCUCUCAUCUUAUCGCCCCCUCUCCCUGAGGCAUCCAGUCAUUAGCAGUCAUGCAAAUUAGCCAAGUUUAGACAGUGUCUAAACUUAUCCGCUGUUACCGGCUUUGUCAUGAUGUCAGCUACAUUAUCCUUCGUGGAAACCUUUAUAAGCUGAAUUUCUCCAUCAUCCUCAUUAGUGAGCUCCGGUAAUUUGUGAUACUUAAUUUCUAUGUGCUUUAUCCUCCCAUGGUAAACUGGAUUCCUGGCGAGACAUAUAGCACUCUGACUAUCACAACCGAUAAUCAUUUUUUCCUGCAUGAUCCCGAGUUCACCAACCAAGCCUCUAAGCCAGACUGCUUCCUUAGCUGCUUCAAUUGCCGCCAUAUACUCCGCUUCUGUAGUUGACAAUGCUACAGUGCGCUGCAACGUAGAUUUCCAACUGACAGGUCCGCCGCCCAGCAGAAAGACGUAACCUGUAAUAGACCUACGCUUGUCCAAAUCACCCGCAUAGUCGGAAUCUACAAACCCCUUCACUUCAUCAUUACCAGAAUCUUUCGAGUAGAGAAUACCUUUAUCUGAUGUGCCCUUCAGAUACCGCAAAAUCCACUUCACGGCCUCCCAGUGUUGUUUCCCUGGAUUCGACAUAUACCGACUGACAACACUAACUGCAUGUGAAAGAUCAGGCCUAGUGCAGAUCAUAGCAUACAUCAGGCAACCGACUGCACUAGCAUAUGGUAUCUUUGACAUAGAAGUAAUCUCCUCAUCCGUCUUGGGACACAUCUCCUCAGAAAGUUUGAAGUGUUGGGCUAAUGGAGUCUUGACCGCCUUCGCCUCUGACAUAUUAAAUUGCUUUAUAAUAGCUCGUAUAUAUGUCUUCUGCGAUAACCAUAACUUACCCUGUAUGCGGUCGCGUCUGAUCUCCAUACCUAGGAUUUUCCUAGCACCUCCUAGGUCCUUCAUGUCAAAUUCUCGGCUCAACUGAUCCUUUAAUUGUUGCACUUCAUUCGGAUUCUUAGCUGCUAUAAGCAUAUCGUCUACAUAUAGCAUAAGCAGAAUAAACGAACCAUCUUCAAGCCUCCGAUAGUAGACACAACUGUCAUAUAAACUUCUGCUAUAACCAUGCUCGAUCAUAAACCCGUCAAACCGCUUAUACCACUGCCUCGGUGCCUGCUUCAACCCGUAGAGAGAUCUUUUCAGUUUGCACACCAGAUUCUCCUUCCCCGGCUGAACAAAACCUUGAGGUUGUUCCAUAUAAAUUUCUUCUACUAGAUCCCCAUGAAGAAAUGCGGUUCGAACGUCAAGCUGCUGAAGCUCUAAAUCAAACAUAGCCACCAUAGCUAGAAGCAUCCUAAUUGACGCGUGUUUCACCACCGGUGAGAAAAUCUCAUUGAAAUCAACUCCCUUUACUUGCGCAUAGCCCUUGGCUACUAACCGCGCCUUGAAUUUUUCUGGUUCUCCAUCUGCACCCUGCUUCUUUUUGUAGAUCCACUUGCAACCGAUAGAUCUCUUCCCUUCCGGUAAUGGAAUCAGAUCCCAUGUCUGAUUCUUCUGUAGAGACUCCAUCUCUUCUGUCAUAGCCGCCAUCCAUCUGCCACUAUCUCUGUCCUGCAUCGCCUCCUGAUAGGAAGUGGGAUCAUCUGAUGUAAUUAAUAAGGCAUAAGAUACUAUAUCCUCCAACCUGUACCGUAAAGGUGGACGAAUCUGUCUCCUUUCCCUUCCUUUAGCGAUAGAGUAGGGCUCCUCCGAAGUGCUUUCAAUCGGAUCGCUUUGUGUACCAUGAUCAUCCUGAUAGUGGGGCUGCUCCACCUGAUCAUCUACACCCUCUUGCCGCUCCACCUGGAUCUGCGUAGUUUUUGACUGUUCUUCACGUUGAGCCUCCUGAUGAUCCUUACGCGGCAUAGCUUUUUCGUCAAAAACUACGUCCCUGCUAAUCACCUUCUUCUUGGCGAUAGGGUCCCACAGCUUGUAUCCUUUAACACCCAUAUCGUACCCAAGAAAUAUGCAGGGCUUUGACUUCGAAUCUAAUUUUGUGCGCUGAUUUUCCUGGAUAUGGACAUAAGCAGGACAACCAAAGACCCGUAAGGAGGAAUAAUCUGCAAGUUUACCUGUCCAUACUUCCUCCGGUGUUUUGAGUUCGAUUGCUGUGGCGGGAGAUCGAUUAAUAAUAUAGCACGCCAUAUCUACUGCUUCAGCCCAGAACUCCUUUGGCAAAUCUGCACAUAACCUCAUGGAUCUGGCACGUUCUAGCAAUGUCCGGUUCAUCCUUUCUGCUACCCCAUUCUGCUGUGCAGUACCUGGAACCGUGUAAUGACGUACAAUACCUUCAUCCUUGCAGAAUUUCUUAAACUCCCGAGAAGUGAACUCUCCACCAUUGUCCGUUCGAAGAACCUUGACCUGCUUCCCAGUUUGUUUCUCCACCUCAUUCUUCCAAUGUCUGAACUUUAUAAAUGCCUCAGACUUUUCCUUCAUGAAGAAUACCCAAACCUUACGGGAGAAAUCAUCGAUAAAUGUAAUAAAAUAUCGCGCACCACCUUUCGAAGUCACCGGAGCCGGUCCCCACACGUCCGCAUGGAUAUACUCAAGUAUACUUUUACUUUUAUGACUGGAGGUCCUGAAACUCAACCUUUUCUGUUUUCCAAAUAAACAAAAUUUGCAGAAAUUAAGUUUACAGGAUUUAAUACCUUUGAGUACUCCCCUUUUAUGCAGUUCCAACAUCCCUCUUUCACUCAUGUGGGCUAGUCUCAUGUGCCAGAGCUCCGUAUCAUCAGCAUCAUGAUCUUCUGAGGAUGUUACCGCAACGCCUCCAAUCACCGACUCGCCGAUCAGCCUGUACAGAUUCCCUUUCUUCUCUCCCUUCAUGACGACCAUGGCACCCUUUUUAACCUUGACGACUCCACCUGAAAUGCUAAUAGAACAGCCGGUAGAGUCAAGAGUACCAAGUGAUAUGAGAUUCAACCUGAGAUCCGGAAUGUGUCUCACAUCCGUUAACGUCCUCACCACACCAUCAAACAUCUUUAUUUUUACUGUUCCGAUACCGACCAUCUUGCAGCUAGUGCGAUUACCCAUCAUAACACUACUGCCUUCACAAGACUUAUAAGUAUCAAAUAAAGACCUGUCUGGAGACAUAUGGUAAGAACAACCAGAAUCUAAUAUCCAGUCAUCGUGAGAGUCAGAAUCUGUUGUAACCGUCAAGACGUCCUGACCGGAAUCACUGGCUACGCUCACCGUAUCUGUAGAGGAAUUUUGAUUUCGCAGCCAAGCCUUCCUCUUUUCGCAGUUCUUUUUUAUGUGACCCUCUUUCUUACAGAAGUAACACUUCACCUUUUUCGAUUUUGACUUGGAACGAAAUUUUCCUUUACCUGCAUCACGUUCGCUUGAUCGUCCCCUUCUUCCACUUGUAUCAUUUACGACCAAACCGGCACUGUUUUCUUUGGUACUAGCCUGCAACCUGAUCUCUUCAGACAAAAGUGUCGAUGUAACAUCUUCCAUCUUUAGAGUUUGCUUCCCGUACAAUAUGGUGGUCACCAAGUGAUUGUAGGACGACGGAAGUGAUGUAAGAAAAAUCAACGCCUUAUCAUCCUCAUCAACCUUGACAUUAAUGCUGAGCAAAUCUGUAAUAAUUUUAUUAAAGGUGUUCAAUUGUUCCGUUAUUGCCGUACCUUCCUUCAUGCGUAGCUCAUAUAAUUUUUGCUUUAGGUACAACACGUUCAAGAGGCUUUUUGUCAUGUACAGCUUCUCUAGCUUGUUCCACCUGCCGACUGUAGUUUCUUCAUCCAUGACGUUAUACAUCACCUCAUCUGCUAGGCACAAUAUAAUUGUAUUCACGGCUCGCAGAUCAAUAUCCUCCCAAUCUUCGUCGCUCAUCGAUGUCGGCUUUUUCGAUUUUCCGAGUAAUGCCUUAUGAAGGCCCUGUUGAAGCAGAAGGGCUUUCACUCUUCUCUGCCAAAGACCGAAGUUUCCUUUACCGUCAAAUUUCUCCACCUCAAACUUAGAAGACGAGACUUUCGACAUCUCUGAUGUAGCACGAACCUUACGCUCUGAUACCACUUGUUGGGAACCGGAUGGAUCGUCCGUCAUGUGCUACCAACAAAGAUGCACGAAAAAUAGAGAAAAUAACAAACGAACGGUAAAAGAAAUAAAUGCAGAAAGAAGAAACCAAGAUUUAUGUGGUUCGGCAAUUGCCUACGUCUACAGGGAGAGCGAGAGAGAUGUAUUUCACUAUAUGAAGAAAUAGAAGUACAAACUUACACCUUAUGUCUUCUCCGGAUAAAAAACCAAGAGCCUUAUGGUGAAUCCCACCUUUCUUGUUCCAACGAAAACUCCAAGCAAAUACCGAAAAAGCUUUUUGUAAAACCGAGAAGACCAAAUUAGAGAAGUAUAGAAACUCUAACCAAAUUUCUUUAUGCCGUUGCUUCGAAGAAUCCGAACCGCUCAGGCAAUUGGUCGAGAACCGCCGCUCCGCCGCCAACGUCAAUCCGUCGUUGCAUGCGAGCAACCUUCCUUCUCUUGCUACCGUACGACGAGGCACCUUAAUUAAUUAGCUAUUCACCGGAUGCUAAUUAAUUUUCCUUUAUACCCCUCUCAAGCCGUACAUGCCCAGGGCCACCUUUAAUUAUAUGGCUAAUUAAUUUUGGCCUCUACACGCGGCUCCGAGCUAUACAUGCAUAUGCAUGUAUAUAUAGAGGGAUUUGGCUCAAUCCUACUCUAAUUCAAUAUGAUUAUUGAAUAUAGAGUAUUAUAUGGAAACCAAUCCUAGUCCACCUAGGAUUCCAAUUUAAAUUCGGAUCCACCAAAAUAAAUUCUUAUGAGAUCCUUUUUAUUUUUCCAUAAACCAAUAAAAAAGAAGACAUAUCUUUAACAUUUAUAAUAUUAAAUUUUUAAAAAUUAUUUAGUACAUAUAAUGCAAUAAUAGACUUGGUGCUGACAAUAAUAUGGUAUAGUUGUAAAAUGGUGGAUGCAAAAUAUUUCUUUCCAUUGCGGUGUAAAACUUAAAGCUGUCCAAAAUACUCGAUAUAUCUUAUUUGAUCUGGACCCUAUCUGGACCCUGUCGGAUAAAUUAUCCAUUAAAAUUUCAGGUAUGGGUCCGGAUAGCUUACUCAUACUCGACUUGGACCCGACCCGAACUCGACCUUCUAAUGGGUAGAGUCCGGAAGAGUUUUUAAAUCCAGACUCAGAAUCAGACUCGGACCUGGACCCGAUAAAAUACCCGAUAGUAAAUAAAAAAAAUUGAAGUUGAGGGAUCAAUUUUAAUUGGACUUAUAAAUGAAGGAUUUCUAUAUAUUUUGAUCCUAGUGAAAACCCUAAUCUUUUUUUGUUUACUCAUUUUUUAUUUUUUUUAUUUUACUUAUUUUUUUAAAAAAAUUCUAUCUGUCCACUGUUUGAAUUUUUUUUUUGAAUGAAUUUUAUUAGAUUAGGUGCAACUAAUUAGAACGCGAGUUUUUUUAUAGUGAUUGGUUUAUGAUUUGUCCAUAAUCUAUUUAAUAAAAUUUAUAAAAAAUAUAUGCAUAUGGUCACCCAUACUCAAUCUGGACCCGACCUGACCUAUUCUCGAUCCAUACCCGGUCUUAAGCGGGUAUUAUAUGGGUAGUCACUAUCCAAAACAGCUCAAAUAAACCUAAUGGGUACAUUAUUAACUCAAGUAUCCAGACAUGUACAUGAUUCGAAUUUAAAUAGGUAGGGUAUAUUUUUUUUGGUAUCCAUUUCUUUUUAGGGUAUGAGUCCCGGUCAACGGAAAUCUUUACUAAAACUAAAUUUUGUAUUCUACAUUUCUAAAAUAUUAUUAUAAAAUUUAAAUUAUGUAAUUUUUUUUAUCUAUAACUUCUUUUAUGAUUUAUAUUGUAUAUAUUAAAUAUAAAUUUUAAUUUUAUAAUAUUGAUUAGUUAAAAAUAUAUUAUACAGUAAAAGAUCAGAGAGAUUGAUCGAGGACGAGAGAGAGAAGGAGAAUCUAGGUGGUAUAGAAAAAGGGCCCACCCCACCACACUCCCCACUCCCGACGUGGAGAAUGGGCAAAUUAGCGCAAGAGAACACCACGUUGGAUUUCAACUAAAAAAAUAUGGACCCUACCCCACUUAGCCCUUUGUUCCGCUCAAAUCAACAUGGAGAAUGGGCAAAGAGAAGAAUUGGGAUGAAAACAAAGUGAUGGGCUCCACUCCAACCCUCAUUUGUCAAAAUCAACCGGGAGCGUCACAUUCGAUUUCAACUAGUGUAAUUAUACACAUUAUAUAGUGUAAAUUGAUGCAAUGCACCAAUAGACUCGGUUCUGACAAUAAUAAUUUGUUAUAGUUGAGACAGAAAAGAGAAAGUAUUAGAGGAGAAAUAUUUCGUGCAUCGGGUAUAAAAUUAAAUUUUAUAUACUAUAUUUCUAAAAUCUCAUUAUAAAAAUUUAAAUUAUAAAACUUUUUACACAUAGCUUUUUAUAUUUUUUAUAUUCUAUGUAUCAAAUAUAAAUUUUAGUUUUAUAUAUUCAUAAGUUAAAAAUAAAUUGUACAGUAAAAGAUGAGAAAGAGAUUGAUGGAUAAUAAAACAGAAAAAAGAAUUGGGUAGGAAAAAAAAAGUGGGUCUCACCCCACCUUCUCCACCGGAAUCAACCCUAGAGAAUGUAGGAAGAGAGAAGAAUUGAAAUGAAAAAAAAUGGGCCCAUCCCAACCUGUUUUGCGCAAAUUAACGUGGGAGCGUCAUGUUGGAUAUAUAAAAUAUGUAGAUUUUUUGAGAAGAAAUACUAAAUCUACAACCUAAAAGAAUUAUAAUCUCUACAAUCUCUUAUCCAAUGGCCUUUCAAUCUUAUCCCACCUUUUCUAGUCCCUAAUGGCAAGAUUUGUAGAAAAAAGACGUCUUUUGUAUUAGUAAAAUGGUAAGAUUAGAACUGAAAGUGGGUUGAAUUUACGAAGACAUCCUUACGUAUAAGUAGUUCUAAAAUUGCUUCUAAAUUUUUAUUAUUUUGUGUUAAGAACGUUCCGCUUUUGAUUUACUCUAAAAUUAAGUGAUUUUAGUCAGAAAAAUAAAUUUUUUUGUCAAAUUAACCAAUGAUUUUAUUAAAUUUAAUAAAAAAACUAAUUAACGGUUAAUGAGUACUAGUGUAGUAACCCGCGCGAUGCGGCGGGCAGAUAUAUUAUAAUCUUUUAUCUUUUAAAAUUUAAAUUUAAAUUUUAAAUCUUAUAUUUCUAUAAGUUAUUUUGUAAAGAGUAGAUCAUAUUUAUUUUAAAAGUUUUAGUAAUUUUAAAAUAUAUUGAAAAAAUAUGAGAAUAUUUUGGGGCAAUUUCAUGGAUACCCCUCCAAAGUUUAAAAUAUCAUAGAUGCCCUAUAAAGUUAUAAAAUAUCACCAAUACCCCUGUAAACAUAAAAAAUUAUCAUUAAUCCCCUACUAUUAGUUCUGUUAGUUUUACUAUAGUUAUUACAUGGUUAAAGAUGGGUUAAUUUUUAAAAUGACCUUAUUUACCCUCAAAUAUCUUUUAACUAAAAAUGUAUGGAAACCCCUAACUAUAUGCCAUUUUGAAAUAGCUCCCUCAACUUUCAUUUUUGUUAUUAUAUCCCAUUAACUUUUUAUUAAAAAAAAAAACCGAAUUCAGUGUAUAAAAAAAAAGAUUUUUUUAGUUUUUUUGAUGAUUUUACCAAAUCUAAUGGCUCAUUUAUUUUUUAUCAAAUAAAUAACUAUAUAUAAAAAUUUAAAUGAAAAUAAUGUUAAAAAUUAUUCGAUCUUUCUUUAAUCUUGAAAACUUAAAAAAAUUUUAAUAAAAAUUAUUCUCGAUAAUUUAUCUACAUUAAGUGUAUUAAAAAAUUGAAAUAUAAUAUAUUUUAGCUUUUGAAACAAACUCUCUUUUAUUUCAAUCGACAAAACAAUUAUGUGAUUUAUUUUUAAAUAGGAAAAAAAUAAAAUCUAUAAUUUAUUUCAAAUUACUAUACUAAUUAGGAAUGUGAAUUGAUAUAGAUACGGAAUUUUAUCUAAACUCGAUUUAAAAUGGGAUAAGUUUAAUCAAUGCUGAAUAGGGAUAGUUUUAGUUAUAGGUACCAAAAAAUAAAAUCCCGUCGUAUGUAAAUUCAGUUAUAGUUUUGGUCUAUAUUAAACCGAAUCUGAACCGAACCCAAAACCAAAAAACAAAAACAAAUCAGAUAAAAAACUACUAUAUUUAAAAUACAAUUUUAUAUAUUUUUUAUUAUUAAUUAUAUAUUAAUAAUUAAUUAUAUAUUAAAUACUCAAAUUUAGAUUUACAAAAAUUAUUUUGAAAUACCUAUUAGAUUUCUACUAUUAAAAAGAUAAGGGUAAAAAUGGUAUUUUAAAAAUUUAACUCAGAUUCAAAUGGGCUUUAACGGAUCUAACUAGAGAGGGGUAUUUAUGAAAAUUUUCACAUUUUGGAGGGCAUCUGUGAUAUUAUUUAAUUUUGAAGGUAUUGAUGAAAUUAAUAGUUCCUACAGGGCAUCUAUGAAAUAUAUCCAAUAUUUUUUUGAAUAUUGUAAUUUUUAACAUUAAAACAUCACGAUAGUUAUCAAACCACAUUUAUUCUUAGAACUUUAUAUAGAUAUUUUAUUUUUAUUCAUUUAUUUAUGUACUGCAUCUGGCUUGUGCUAGCUUUCUCUUCACAAUUUCUGACAUGUCAAACUGUCAUAAAAAUCGAUAUUUGUUAUGACCAUUUAUGCCUUUAAUAUCUAUUCAUGUGUGAAUACUAUGAUAGAUCGAGCCUUAUUUUUGCUUGAAUGCAGAGAAUAGUAAGAAAAUCCGAAGCCAAAGCCUUGGAAGCAUACUCAGCUGAUAACCAGUGCAGAGCUCAAACACGAUGCGUGAUGAAUUCUGGGAUACUGCUCUCACUGGGAGGCCAGAAAGGUCUUAACUUUUAAAUGCUGAUUACAGUUUUUCCGUUUUUCAGUAAGGUUGCCUUAUUACCCUUAUGACAAUAUGUUGUAGACUCUUCAAAGACACUGUGCCAUACUCUUGCAGAUCCUAGUAGGGGCGUAUACCGUACCAAUUCGGAUUUUUGUUCCCUAGCAAUAAACCUUGCACAACAAAACUCGUGUUAUAUGGUUUUUUGGUGUCACUUCUAAAUCAGUAAAUUGUUUCAAGAGUUUGCCUAACCAGUUCUAAAGUCAAGUAAUCAUCAUCAUCAUCACCAACAACAACAAUAAAUUCAGUACAUGAAUAAACAUCAACAAUCAAUGCCCCAAACAUCUUCCUUCAUUUAUCAGAACAACAGAUCCUCGCGACGUCUCACUAAGCACGAAAUUGAAUUAGCUAAGAUUUGUUCAAAAGCUUCCGGUUUAAUCUUCGACACAUUUGAUAACAUCGAGAAUGAAAUCAUAAAACCUCUGAUUGCAUAAUAAGAUGAAGCCUAUGCACAUGAGCCUUUCGAAAGCUAUGAUUGCAUAGUGGCUAACAAAUCAAAAGAAUAUCUCUGCUAUUUUUGUGAGCUUUGAAAACACCAUAUCAAUAACAUCCCAAGAUUUAACUAAAGUAGCUUGGCCACUCGCAGAAAGCAACUUUGCCUUCAUGAGGAUCAUUAGGCCUAGUUUAGUAGAAGGCGGUGUCGAAUCAUGCAAUAAUAAUGAUAUAUAAUAAUAGCAACAGCUUAAAAACUUGAUGAGUCACCUCCGGUUCUUCACAAUGUUUCAUCAAAAUUAUCUGAGAUUCCUCAAAAUUCUAAACAAUAACUUCCCGAUUUAUGUUGGGUGGUCACCUAUCUUUUAAAAGGAAAAACAAAUCUUCUAAAGAUGACAAAAUGAAUUUCAGAUUUCAGACGCUAGUAUUUCUGAUCUGGGCUCUCUGAACUGUGCAAAUGAUUUAGUAUUGAUAAUGACUUCACAUAAAGUUACUGGUAAGAAAAUAUGUUGGAAAAUGAUUUCAAUGAAAAGAUGGCUAUCUUGCAUCCACAGUGUCGUGAUGUCAAAACGUUCAGCGAAAAAUUCAUAGCUGGUAGAUACAUGUAGAAUACAUGCUAUUUUCAUUAUCUUAUGUUGGAUUUCCCGAAAUGCUGCAAAAACACCACCCCCUAACUGCUGCACACGUGCCCAUGCCCUACUGGACAAAUGCGCAUGAUACAGAAAGUAUAUAUGCCAUUUUAAAACAAAAAUGAAACGUCGUUCGUUUCACCAACAUAAUGUGAAUAGAUGAACAACGCCAAACUUCUUAGAGAGGAAUAAAAUAGAAAAGCUUGCAAGUCAUAUUAGCCUAAUAUGCUCAUCGAUGGAAUCAUGCAAUAUGUAAAUGAAAUAGAAAGCAGGUAUGUCAAUCCAGGCUGUACCAUUACAUUCUAAAGCCAGCCAGCAGUGGGAAUACUUAACCUAAUUGUUUGCCUUCUUUUAAGCCCUCUUUUUUAAGUGCUGGGGAGUUUGCUUAAUCAUCCAUUAUAAGUUCACUGUUAGCCCUUGGAGGAGUUCCAGUCCCUCUUGUAGCAGCUUUCGCCCUCGUAGCAGUACUUGGGGUCGAACUAUCGUUGGAGUCGACGUCGAAGACGCGAAUGGAGCUGUCGAGGGAGGCGGCGACGGCGAGGGAGCCGGAGGGGUGGGUGGCGGCGGCGACGACGCCAAGGGCGUGACUGUGCGAGGGCGGCGCUGUAGAUCUAAUAAUUUAGAAGUUUUAUUAACUUUUUACAGAAGUAUUAAUGACGAUAACGUGGAAGAUGAGUUGAUAUUAAUAACACUUAAAUUCUAAUACGUGACGAAGAGAACUUUUUACUUGAAUGAUUUUUCAUGUUGCUCUUGAGUGUUGGUACUUGAAGGCCGCACCUGCAGCGUCUGCACUGAAAGCUCCAUCAGCUGCAGCCUUCUCAGCAACUCGAACAGCACCCCGUCCGACUGCAACAUCACACACACAAAAAUUCAUUCAGGCAAUUCAUCAAACACCUUCGGGGCAAAGCAAUUCGGCAUCGAAAUCUAGUCGCGGACGUGCUCCCGGCCAGCGCUAUGAACGCCCUUGAUUCUCAAAACCUCUCCGAGCGUGUGGCUCUCCUCCCCGAUCCGAGCGCGCCGGUGCGGAGCUCGUCAGGAAAGUCUACGAUGGAGACCGCGAUGGCCUUCUCGAUCACCCGGAAGAUGUCGGCGUCCGCCGCGGUGCGGAAAAACUUCCGCCAGUAAUCCUACGAAUCCACGGGCGAUGCCGGCGCCAGCACCGCCGCUGCCGCCGCUAUGCCGGAUCAGAAGAAUAAUAAAAACUAAUUAAAGAUUGGAUUUCUGCUUUUUUGCAAUCCAAAGAAACGGAGAUCUAUUGAAAGGUGGCGUUACCUUGGGGUCGAACUGCAAGCCCCAGACCUCGGAGGAGGGAGGGAGGCGUCGAGGGAGGCGAUGGAGGCGUUGGAGUCGACGUCGAAGAUGCGGACGGAGCUGUCGAGGGAGGCGGCGGCGGCGGCGGCGAGGGAGCCGGAGGGGUGGGCGGCGGCGGCGACAACGCCGAGGACGUGGCCGCGCGAGGGCGGCGCUGCUGCGGCGAGCUCGUCAGGGCGCCAGAGCCUCACGGUCUCGUCGAGUGAGCCCGUGAGGAGGAGCGCGGGGCGGGAGUCGAUGGCAGGGACCCACGUCGCCGCCCAGAUCGACUCGUCGUGGGCGUUCUCCACCUAUCUGAGCCCCGCAAGCUUUAUGGCUGCACGCCACCCCCCACGAUCGAGAGAGCUAGGGUUUCGGGGGAGGGGAGAGGUCGAGGGGACGAAGAGGAUCGAAGGCAAGGGUCGGUGAGGAGGGGAGAUGAGAGAUAGAGAGAGCAACCGGGAUCGAAACGGAGGCGGUAUCGAAGAUGUGGGGUAGCAGGGAUCGAAGAGGCGGAAGAAGAAGGAGCGGAGGUGGAAGACGAAGUAGAGGAGCGAAGGACCAGGAAAAAAUUAAAUGGGAAGGAAAAGCAAUUAGUUGGGUAGGUCCCACCAAUUAAUUAAUUAACAAAUUAUUUUAAGAUGACAGGAUCCACAGAAGUUAAUUAAUUAACUAAUAAACUAUCUAACGGGUAGGGCCCACAAAAGGUAAAUUACGCUAAUUUUGCCACGUGGAUAGGAAGGAACGGGGUUUCAAUAUAGUUAUAGAUUAGAGUUAUUAAAUUUGAUAGCUAAACUAAGUAUGAAAACUCAAAAAAAAAACCGACAUGGAGGGGCUCUCCACAAAAAAAAAAAAUAUAUACAAUUAAGUGAGUUAUUUCAAAAUGCCUAGAAAAAUGUUCAUAUAUUAUUUAUCUAUUAAAAAUCCAUCUCNUCAUUUAGUCUUUCAUCUUUUUAAGUCUCUCCGGCCGCCACACACGUACAUACAUAGACCACAAGAAAAAGAAAACGCAGCUUAUGUGCAGCCUGCUAGCGUUGACUUUGGAGAGUAAGUGCCGUUGAAAGCACGUUCUUUGUCGUAAGCUAGCCAACACAAAAAGUCUCACAAGAAACGUAACCUAAGUACGAUAACAUACUAGAAAGACAUAAAACACGAUUCAAAUCCAUUUGUACGUACGUACUUCAGCGACAAUUUAAAUUCAAUUAUAAAGGUAAUAUCAUUAUUUUCUAUUUAUAACUACCGACUAUUCCAUAUUAUACUCAUAUUUUUUAUCCAAAUAUGAUUUUUUUAGUUCCACUUUAUACUCAUAUUUUCAUCCAAAUAAAGAAAUACACUUAUUUCUACGAAAAUUCAUACUUGUAACUAUUCUCGGUAUAACUAGUUCUUACUUAUACCCGAACCAAACGAAGCUUUAGAGUGUAUGUAUAGUAUUUCUUUUUUAAAAAUCUUAAGGGAGCUAUUUCAGAAUAUACAAUUGGUGAGCGGUCUCCUUACAUUUUUAUUGUAAAAAAUUAGCAUCCAAUAAUUCGACCUGUUUCGUGGACUGGUCUCCUCGUUUACUCCAGUCACCUCUACAAACGUCAAUCCACUAAUUGUCCACCAAUUUCCACCAAUUUCUUUAUAACACAACAAAUUUUGGUUGUAUUGAAAUAGCGAUGCGUUGCACGAAUAUACUGUUAGUGGGUGCCUUUAGUUAGCCACUUGGUUCAUUUUUUACAAUACGCAAAUGUGCAGUUACAAUUAAAUGGCACUAUAAAAAUCUUUCGAUAUAAGGAUGUUUUUUAAAUAACACUNUUUUUUUUUUUUUUUUUUUUUUUUUUUGUUGUGAAAGUUUGCAAGAUUAGAUAUGCAAAACAUACUACCAGAAUGACUUUUUAAUUAGUAGCUUUUCUUGUGAAAAUUGACCGAUUAAACUAUUUGAUUAUUUUAGUUAAUUUGAUUAUUUUAGAAGAUCUAGUCUCUACGUAAAACGUAUGUUGAUUAUGUUCUAUAGGCAAAUUCGAAAUUUGCUCCCUCCAGUUUUAUUUUAUGUGGAUUGAGAGUUUGGGACAGCCCUUCACUACUGAUUUUUUAAAAAGUGAUAUUUCUGUUCUUCUAAGGCCAUCUGUGUAAAUACAUGCCUUUUACAAAGGCAAUGAGGAAAUUCUCCUUUCAAAAAACUUAAGAGGGCUAUUUCAGAACCACCUAUAGUUGAGGGGGUCUCCAUACAUUUUUAUAUAUAAAUAACAAAAAACUUCAAAGACCAUCCCUAUAGUUUCACACUCUCUCACUUUAGUACCAUGUGAUUUAAAGUAUAUUAAUUUAGUGCCCUAUGAUUUAUUUUUCUUUUUUUAUUAUCAAUUUCACUAAUUUUCUUAAAUCAGUGACAAAGUUAAAACUAAAGGGUUCACUUCUGCUGUUUGUUUCUAACUGUGGAAGUGCAGUUCUGCGAGUUCUAUUAUUAAUUUGUUUGGUAGGAAGUAGAUGACGUAAAAAGUAUAGCUUUCCACCCCCGGUAUACUUACCUCCAAAGUGAUAUCAUUGUCUAUUUUGUAACUUAUAGUAAAUAAUAAAUUAUAAUAAAUAAAAAUUAAUAUAAUUAUAUAUGUAUAUAAUUAUAUAUAUGUAUAAUUAUAAAAUAAAAUUUUAAAAAAUUAUAUUUUUUGUUUGCAUAUAAAUUAUAAUAAUGCAACAAAUAAAAUUCUAAAGUUAAAAAAUUAUUAAUAUUUAACAAAUUCAUUUUUCUUCAUUUUCUAAAUAUACAAAUUAAACAAAAAAUAUAUUAAAGCUUACCUUAUCAAAUUUCAUCAUAUUUUAGAAGAGGUAACCCUAACACAUUAAUCCAUUGUUAUCUUCUUUCACUUUACCGGAAUUGACUUCGUCCCAUGGGAGGGCGAAGUCAAGUUCAUUAUUUUAGGGCAUGCUUGUUUCAACGUAAGUAGACUUAGAGUGGAAGUGGACUUUGAGUUGAAGUGGAGUUGGGGUGAAAAUUAGUUCACUUCUGCUGUUUGUUUCUAACUGUGGAAGUGCAGUUUUACGAGUUCUGUUGUUUGUUUGGUAGGAAGUAGAUGACGUAAAAAAUGUAGCUCUCCAUCCCAGAUAUACUUACCUCCAAAGUGAUAUCAUUGUCUAUUUUGUAACUUAUAGUCAAUAAUAAAUUAUAAUAAAUAAAAAUUAAUAUAAUUAUAUAUGUAUAUAACAAUUAUAUAUAUGUAUAAUUAUAAAAUAAAAUUUUAAAAAAUUAUAUUAUUUGUUUGCAUAUAAAUUAUAAUAAUGCAACAAAUAAAAUUCUAAAGUUAAAAAAUUAUUAACAUUUAACAAAUUCAUUUUUCAUCAUUUUCUAAAUAUAUAAAUUAAACAAAAAAUAUAUUAAAGCUUACAUAAUCAAAUUUGAUCAUAUUUUAGAGAGGUAAUCCUAACACAUUAAUCCAUUCUUGCCUUUUUUUACUUCACCGGAAUUGACUUUGCUUCAUGAGAGGGCGAAGUCAAGUUCAUUAUUUUAGGUGAACUGGACUUUCGGACGUAAUAAAAUUACGAUGAACCAAACAGCGGAAGUGGUCAGUUUUCACCGAAAAUCACUUUCCCCGUCCCACUUCCACCCUACUUCCCUCGAAACAAACAGGCCCUAAAGUGAAUAUUCGAUAAACGUAGGUAGGUAUCUGAAGGAUUUUGCAUAUAAUUUAACGAAAUAUUUACGAAGAAACUGACAAAAAUAGAAAAAUAAAACCACGGGGCACUAAAUUGAUAUACUUUAAAUCACAGGAUACUGUAGUGAGAAAGUGCGAAACCAAGGGUGGUUUUUGAAGUUUAUCCUAUAAAUAAUUAACCUCCGAUAAUUCGUUCUUUUUCGUCCACUAGUCUCCUUGUUUAUUCCAGUCAACUGUGCAAAACGUCAACUCACUAAUUGUGUCAGGUUAUAUCUUCUAAAAUAUGACCAAAUUUUAUUAUGUAAGCUUUAAUAUAUUUUUUGUUUAAUUUGUAUAUUUAAAAAAUAAUGAAAAAUAAAUUUGAUGAAAUAAAAUUUAAAAAAAUUAUAUUAUUUGUUUGCAUAUAAAUUAUAAUAAUACAACAAAGAAAAUUUUAAAGUUAAAAAAUUAUUAAAUGUGUUAGGGUUAUCUCUUCUAAAAUAUGAUCAAAUUUGAUUAGGUAAGCUUUAAUAUAUUUUUUGCUUUAUUUGUAUAUUUAAAAAAUGAUGAAAAAUGAAUUUGAUAAAAUAAAAUUUUAAAAAAUUAUAUUAUUUAUUUGCAUAUAAAUUAUAAUAAUGCAACAAAUAAAAUUCUAAUAAUUAAAAAAUUAUUAACAUUUAACAAUUUAUUUUUCAUCAUUUUCUAAAUAUACAAAUUAAACAAAAAAUAUAUUAAAGCUUACCUAAUCAAAUUUGAUCAUAUUUUAAAAGAGAUAACCCUAACACAUUAAUCAAAUAUAUUAAAACUUACCUAAUUAAAUUUCGAACUUAAAAAACUUUAACCAAUUUCGAACUUAAAAACUCGGAUACUAAUUAUUAAGCUUUUAACCAAUUACCGUUAGUGACAUUUUGCAGAAAUAUUGCGGUACAAGGUACAUCAGUAUUCUCACACCAUGGUAUUACUACCUUCCGACAACGAAAUAGGAUUUUGACUAAGCGUCGAAGUUAGUUUGUUAUCUAUCCAGUUCCCAAGAUUAAAUACCAACCAAGAGCUACUGCAGGAUAACUGUGGCUUUAGCUUCUCUUGUCUUAGUUCGUAGAAAGGAAGGCUUUUUCCAUGCACUAUUUUUUCUCAUCAUUCUACUAUAUGUGAUAUCCGCCACCUGGUGCACUGCCACUGCCGCCGCCGGGAUCAAAGAAGCUGCAUCCGACCGCGCCGCCCUCCUCUCCUUCAAGUCCCUCGUCGACGAUGAUCCGUUCGGAGCGCUCUCCUCGUGGAAUAACGGCUCUCUUCACUACUGCAGGUGGCGUGGUGUCUCCUGCGGCCGCCGCCAUCCCAACCGGGUCACGGCCCUCGACCUCAAGUCUCUCCGCCUAGCCGGUCUCAUAUCGCCCUCCGUAGCCAACCUCACAUUCAUCCAGAGGAUCGACCUGUCCGACAACAAGCUAGACGGAAGCAUCCCGGAGGAGCUAGGAAGCCUACGCCAGCUGCGAUUUCUCAACCUGAGUGUGAAUUCUCUUCGUGGAACGAUCCCGUCUUCGCUUGGCAAUUGCUCUAAUCUUCAACUACUCAACUUGAGAGAUAAUAAGCUCAACGGUGAGAUCUCGCCAACUCUAUCGCGUCUUUCCGGUCUUAGAGAGCUUAUCCUGAAUCAAAACAUGUUACAAGGGACGAUCCCAGAUUCAAUUGGGAAUCUUUCUUCUCUACUCUCUCUUUCUUUAGGUAACAAUAGCUUGUCAGGAGCCAUGCCUCCAUCCUUUGGUGGCCUUCUGUCCUUGAAGAUGCUUGAAAUCCAAUCAACUAGUCUCACGGGAACCAUUCCCCCCACUCUCGCGAACCUCUCCUCUCUGAACGUGCUUGCAUUAGGAGGAAACAACCUUCAUGGUGAAAUUCCUCACUUUGCACAACUUCCAUUCCUCUCUUACUUGGCAUGCAGUUAUAAUCAUCUCUCGGGGACGAUCCCAAUCUCGCUCGGACGACUUUCAUCUCUAGAACAUCUCGAUCUCGGGGUGAACAACUUAAUAGGAGAAAUACCGUCAUCCCUUUACAAUCUAUCAUCCCUGAACACCUUAGCACUCUCUUAUAACCAACUCAAGGGAACUCUACCCUCCGAUAUCGGAAAUGCUUUUCCGAACCUUCAAGUCCUUCUUAUGGAGGGAAAUCAGCUCGGGGCGCAAAUUCCAGCAUCCUUGUCCAAUGCUUCUGAGCUAUAUGAGCUUGAGCUAUCAUUCAAUGCAUUCCAUGGCACGAUACCGCAGAGCCUUGGAGCCUUGCAGAGCCUCUUUCGGCUCACACUGGCCGUCAAUCGACUAGAAGCCAGGAAUCCUAGUGAUUGGAGCUUCUUUACGGCACUCACUAACUGCACCAGUCUCCAAGUAUUGGAUUUAGGAUACAAUCUACUUCAAGGCAUGAUGCCCAAAUCAAUAGUCAAUCUUUCCACUAGUCUUAAUUUUUUGUCACUCAGUAACAACCAAAUAUCAGGAAUUAUACCUACUGAGAUUGAGAAGCUCAUCAAUCUAACUGUUCUUGACAUGAGUGUUAACGAUCUUCGAGGCACCAUUCCGGUAGAAAUCAGUCAUCUUUGGCAGUUACAGUACUUGGAUCUGUCGAACAACAUGCUCUCGGGCAAAAUUCCACCCACUUUAGGCAAACUAACACGAAUGGACCAGCUCUAUCUCGGCAGCAAUGAAUUUGAAGGAGCCAUUCCGCCGACAUUAAGCAACAUGUUAAUGCUAGAGUCGUUAAAUCUAUCAAAUAAUAGGCUAAGCGGUAGCAUUCCGCAAGAAGUUUUGACCCUUUCAUCGCUCACAAACUUCCUUGACUUGUCGCAUAAUUUACUGAACGGUUCAUUACCGUUGGAAGUGGGCAACUUGAUAAUUAUCGGGGCGCUUGAUCUCUCAAAUAACAGGCUCUCUGGUGAGACUCCAGACACCAUCGGCAAAUGCACCGUCUUGGAAAUUCUUCAUUUAGAGAAUAACUUAUUUCAAGGGUCCAUUCCUUCCUCCAUAAGCAAUUUAAGAGGACUUCAGGAGCUUGAUCUCUCAAAAAACUUCUACUCGGGCCCAAUACCCGCAUUCCUUGAUGAGCUCCCAGAUCUACAAUACUUGAAUCUCUCCUUCAACAGUUUUGAGGGUCGAGUGCCGAUGAAAGGGGUCUUUAAGAAUGCGAGCGAAGUCUCACUUAUCGGAAACCCUAAACUCUGUGGGGGAAUUCCAGAAUUUCACUUGCCGGAAUGCACUUCGGUCGCCUUUGCAGCAAAACAUAACUCUGAUUAUAAACUCAAGGUAAUACUCAUUCCUAUAGCUGGAGCAAUUUUGUGUUUGAUUAUAAUCAUGUGCUUGCUUCGGAUACAUCACUUGAUAAAAAACUCUCGAAGAAAGCCGCUGUUGAGGUUUUCCUUAAGAAACCGACACACGAAAGUAUCUUACGAUGAGCUCUACAGGGCUACAAAUGGGUUCUCCUCAGAUAAUCUGAUGGGCACGGGAAGUUUUGGGUCGGUUUAUAAAGCCGCCAUGAACUAUGAAAAUGCCGACAUCGUUGCGGUGAAAGUGCUUAACCUUCAACAGCAUGGGGCUUUCAGGAGUUUUAUGUCUGAAUGUGAAGCCCUGAGAAGCAUUCGACAUCGAAAUCUUGUCAAAAUUCUUACAUCGUGCUCUAGUUUGGAUCACCGCGGUAACGAUUUCAAGGCCUUGGUUUUUGAGUACAUGCCUAAUGGUAGCUUAGAAGAGUGGCUACAUCCUAAUGCAUGCCAAAAUAGGCCAUUCAGAAGCCUAAGCCUAAUCCAGAGGUUGAACAUAGCUGUCGACGUAGCCUCCGCAUUAGAGUAUCUUCAUCACGGAGGGUCCGUGCCGAUUGUUCACUGUGAUCUUAAACCCAGCAACAUCCUUCUUAACAAUGAAAUGACGGCGCACGUGGGCGAUUUCGGGUUAGCAAAGUUUCUGCGGCAACCGCCUGACGAAUCAUCAGAGCGUUCAUCUACCAGCACUGUGGGAAUCAAAGGAUCUAUUGGUUAUGUUCCUCCAGGUGAGAAAUAUGCAAUAAAAUGAUUACUUUUCCCUGCUUUACAGCAUUUCAGAAAAGAAUAUAACACGUCUUUAUUUGAUUCCCAUCUAUACUGCAUCUAACACUUUUUGCUGCAAAAACAAGUGAAUGGCACAAGUUUAAUAAAUAAAAUUAGAGAUUUAGUCUAAUAAAAAUUAGUAGAAAAGGGAAGAAAAUAUUAUGGGAAAUAAAAAGGAUGCUAGAUAUUAGCUACGAAAACCGACAAACUGGAGUUAGAAUAAACUGCUUGAUGCUUACUACUAAAAACAGAUUAAUUAUGAUUAGUAAACACGCAAGAGCAGAAACUUUAUUUCUAAGUAUCUGAUUCUGUUUUAGAGUCAAUUUAUAAACUAAAAGAUCAAAUUCAGUUUUUGUAACUAUGGCUUGGAAACAGUGGGAACCAAAUCCAAAUCCAAAUGAAUUCACCUGACAAUCUCGUAUUGUCUGUUUCCAAUUAACUAAUGUUGUGCAGAGUAUGGAAUGGGCUGUAAACCAUCUAGGCUCGGCGAUGUGUACAGCUACGGAAUUCUUCUGCUGGAGAUGUUCACUGGAAUGAGGCCCGUCGACGACAUGUUCAAAGACGGACUAAGCCUUCGUGGAUAUGUUCGUGCUGCUGCUGCUUCUCCGGAACAUCUCAUGGACAUCAUAGACAGAAACCUGCACUCAGCUGAUAAUGAUAUAGCUUAUCAAGAAGAGUGUGUGCGAGAUUGCAUGGUUUUGGUGUUCGACUGCGGUCUCUCAUGCUCGAACGAAUCGCCAUAUGAACGAUCCGACGUGACGAAAGUCUUAAAGGAGUUGAGUGCAGCAAGAGAGAGGCUUCUUAGCUAAAAGCAGUUUUUCUCCCUAUGAUGCAGUUCUCACUAGAGGCAAAUGACUGUAGGUUUGAACAUCCUCUGUUUUUCCUUAUUUACAUAUAAAAAAAAAAAACUUGUGUAAUGAAAAUGCCUAGUCCUUAAACAUCCUCUGUUUUUCCUUAUUUACAUAUAGAAAAAAAAAACUUGUGUAAUGAAAAUGCCUAGUCCUUAUGCUUUUGAUCACUCCUUUCUAAAAUGAAUACAACGAAAAGGAGAUAAGCACUUCAAAUUUUGCAUCUGUAUACAUUAAUAGCUUCAAAUUCCUAAUUUCUGGCUCAAGUUUAUAACUGAAGUCUAAUAUAACCCAUCAUUGCCAAAUCUCUGUUGAAUACAUUUUUCAACAGAAAAGCUCCAAGCCUAUUUAGAAUGGUAUAUAUACAAAUUUUGGAUUUUUUUUUUCUCCUUUUUUAUUAUAGAUAGCAUAGGUGUAUAAACCUGCUACUAUCUUAGUUCUUUAUCCUAUUAAGUUGUUUCUUUAUGAUAAUAGGACAUCUGGAUCGACAAUCUGCAGUGAUACAUAUGAUUUUGGGUAUUGAAAGUGAACUAAAUUUUCUGAUUUGAAAGAUUAUUUUAUGGUUCAUCAUGCAGCCGCAGAAUGAACUUCAACAACAUUCUAAAAAUGAAUUAUAGGAUUCAUUCAUCAAUUUAAGGUCAAAGGUAUGAACCUCGAUCUAGAUAUCUUAAAUUGUUUUCAAACAAAAAUUCAAGCAAUGUAGACUAAAGUUGUCAAUUUUGAGAUUCUUCAAUCAGUACUCAAAUGUCAGGAAAUAGUAGAAUUUAGUUCCCAGAGAGUUUAAUUUUAGCGAAAUCCCAACAAUUGAAUAAGCUAAAAUGACUCGAACAAAAUAAAUAAAGUUUAGAAGGCGUAUGUCGAAAAAGAAAAAUGAAGUUGAGGGACCUAUUUUUACAAUGGCCUGUAGUUGCAGCGACUUCAUGCAUGCAUGUUUACCUAAACUUAGCACAAAAUACAGAAAGAUCAUACAAUAGCAUGAAUCCAAUGCAAAGAACACUCAGAAAAACGCAACAGAAUGCUGUUUCUUGCACCAGAGUUGCCGUGAAUGAGAGGAUUCAGUGGCGAUCGCCCGACGUGUAUUUGACGCAAUGAAAAAAGAACACCAGAUACAUACAUACACACGCCACCCACUCUGAAUUUCUUGUACUUUCUGAGGUAUAAGCAAAUCGCUUUUUCUUUCUCGUCACAGGAUCGUCGGCCAACUGCUUGGUUAUGAAAAAUUUUCUUGAUCCAAAACUCGUCAACCGAAUAUCCGAAAGAUAAUCAAACAUCAAUCUUGGAGGUUGUAAACAUAAAUCUUGCAAGCCUCUUUGCUUCUGCUGCAGCUUCUGUGCUAGCUGGUGCUAUCUCAGCCGAGCUUGUGCGGGAGCUAGCAUGCACUAACAGCUUUUUCAAUAAACAUCCAAAAUAUUAAGAUAAAUUAAAUGGUAUUUCCGAUCAUUGUACACAAGUCAUAAUUAACUAGAUUUUAACAGACUAAACAUUAUAUCCAGAUUAGGCGUGUCAACGAGCCAUACAAGAGCGAGCUAGGGCAGGCUCGUGUUUGGCUCGUUUCAACAUGAGCUGGUUUGUUGAAGUCUCGAGUCGAAAAAUUUAACUUGUGUGCAGCUUAUUUUUUGACGAGUUGAACACGAGCUGGCUCACGAAUAAUAAGUUAGAAGGAUUAAAAAGAAUGUAUACAAAAAUCAAAUUUAUAAGAUUUUAUCUAUUAGAUUUUAAUUUAAUCGUAGAAACUUUACAUAUAAAUGAGUUUUUUUAUAAUUAAGUUGGGUAUUAUAUUUAGAUUGAGCUAAAAAAUUAAAUAAUAAAAAUCUAUAUUAUAUAUAUAAUUAUUUAUUUAUAUAUAUAAAUAUAAAAUAUAUAAAAUAUAUAAAUAUAAAAUAUAUGUAUUAGGGCCGAACUUGAGCAAGCUGAUCCCAAUUCCUGUUUGGCUAGUUUAUUAAACUAGCUGAAAAAUUCAGCUCGUUUAGUAAACAAGCAAUUCGAUUCAAACACGAGCUUAUUUCGAUCCGAACACAAACUGUCUCACAAACAACGAGCCGGAUUGCCAUUUCUAAUCUAGAUCAACUAUAAACACUACAACAGAAUUAGGUUAUAGAAACACAUGUUUGGGACACUUUUGAGUAAGUAUCCCAUUUAUCCUAAAACUUAAAAAAAUAUCUAUUAAUGCCUAAAUAUAAAGUCCAAUCCAACCAAAAAUAAAAGAUCACUCUACUCAACCCACCACACCCAGUCCAUUUGGCCCGAUUACAAACAGAAAAGAAAAAAAAAAGANNNNNNNNNNNNNNNNNNNNNNNNNNNNNNNNNNNNNNNNNNNNNNNNNNNNNNNNNNNNNNNNNNNNNNNNNNNNNNNNNNNNNNNNNNNNNNNNNNNNNNNNNNNNNNNNNNNNNNNNNNNNNNNNNNNNNNNNNNNNNNNNNNNNNNNNNNNNNNNNNNNNNNNNNNNNNNNNNNNNNNNNNNNNNNNNNNNNNNNNNNNNNNNNNNNNNNNNNNNNNNNNNNNNNNNNNNNNNNNNNNNNNNNNNNNNNNNNNNNNNNNNNNNNNNNNNNNNNNNNNNNNNNNNNNNNNNNNNNNNNNNNNNNNNNNNNNNNNNNNNNNNNNNNNNNNNNNNNNNNNNNNNNNNNNNNNNNNNNNNNNNNNNNNNNNNNNNNNNNNNNNNNNNNNNNNNNNNNNNNNNNNNNNNNNNNNNNNNNNNNNNNNNNNNNNNNNNNNNNNNNNNNNNNNNNNNNNNNNNNNNNNNNNNNNNNNNNNNNNNNNNNNNNNNNNNNNNNNNNNNNNNNNNNNNNNNNNNNNNNNNNNNNNNNNNNNNNNNNNNNNNNNNNNNNNNNNNNNNNNNNNNNNNNNNNNNNNNNNNNNNNNNNNNNNNNNNNNNNNNNNNNNNNNNNNNNNNNNNNNNNNNNNNNNNNNNNNNNNNNNNNNNNNNNNNNNNNNNNNNNNNNNNNNNNNNNNNNNNNNNNNNNNNNNNNNNNNNNNNNNNNNNNNNNNNNNNNNNNNNNNNNNNNNNNNNNNNNNNNNNNNNNNNNNNNNNNNNNNNNNNNNNNNNNNNNNNNNNNNNNNNNNNNNNNNNNNNNNNNNNNNNNNNNNNNNNNNNNNNNNNNNNNNNNNNNNNNNNNNNNNNNNNNNNNNNNNNNNNNNNNNNNNNNNNNNNNNNNNNNNNNNNNNNNNNNNNNNNNNNNNNNNNNNNNNNNNNNNNNNNNNNNNNNNNNNNNNNNNNNNNNNNNNNNNNNNNNNNNNNNNNNNNNNNNNNNNNNNNNNNNNNNNNNNNNNNNNNNNNNNNNNNNNNNNNNNNNNNNNNNNNNNNNNNNNNNNNNNNNNNNNNNNNNNNNNNNNNNNNNNNNNNNNNNNNNNNNNNNNNNNNNNNAAACAAAAAAAAAAAAAAAAAAAAAAAAGGUCAAAGGAGGUCAUUCCAAGAAGCGAUGAGAACGCAGAAAUAUAUUCCUAUAUGCUUUUUCCACAACUCUAUUUUAUCUAAUAGCGUUAGAUAGGCCUCAAUACCAAACUAAGCCUUAGUUGUUGGUAUCCGAAAUUGGAAGGUUGAAAUAUAAUUGCUUCAUAUUUUUAGCUAAGUUUAUUUUUUUUAAAAAAAUAAACGAAGCGGAUAUUAUGUUAUCUUUUUUUUCUUAAAAUAAAACACAUAUAGAUAUAUGUAACGCCCCACUUCCUAAGAAGUCAUCUAUUCUAAAACUACUCUAACUGUAUUAUGCUUAACUUUCUUAAUCUGGAUGAAAAGAUAAAAUGGUGGAUGAAAAAUAUUUAAUACCAUCAGAGUGUAAAACUAAAUUUUGCUGUCUAUAUUUCUAAAAUAUUAUUGUAUAAAUUUAAAUUAUGUAAUUUUUUAUCCAUAAUUUUUUAUAUGAUUUAUAUUGUAUAUAUUAAAGAUAAAUUUUAAUUUUAUAAUAUUGAUUAAUUAAUACUAUGUUGAUAGUAAAAGAUCAGAGAGAGAGAGAGAGAGAGAGAGAGAGAGAGAGAGAGAGGAGGAGGAGGAGGAGAAUCUAGAUGGUUAAAAAACAAAAGAAAGGCCCCACACCACUCCCGACGUGGAGAAUGGGAGAGAAACUGGAGAAUUGGGAUGGAAAAGCCUACUCUAAUUCCCUGUGGCUAAAUUAGCGUGAGAGAAGAGAACACCAUAUUGAAUUUCAACUGAAAAAAAGUGGACCCUACCCCCUUAUCCCUUUAUUCGGCUCAAAUCAACGUGGAGAAUGGGGAAGAGAGAAGAAUUGGGAUGGAAAAAAAAAAAGAAAAAAAGUGGGCUCUAUUCCAAGUAGGGAUGUCAAUGAGUAUGGAUAUCCGAAAUAUUAUCCGAAUCCUAAUCCAAACGGGGCGGGUUUAUCCGAGCUAAACGGGUAUGGAUUCGGUUAUAGGUAUAGAAAAUAAAAAUUCGACGGAUAUCGAUACGUGUAUGGAUUUUGUAUUUACCCGACCCGAAUCGGACCCCGACCCGAACCCGAAGCCAAACCCGAAUAAAUUAUAUAUAUACAUACUUUAUUUUUAUUUAUUUAUAUAGGCCAAUUUGCAUAAAAAAUUCACUUAUUUUGGGCUUUUGCAAAAUCGGACCACCUUUUUCGUUUUUGCAGAUUCGGUCUGCUUUUUCAGCAUACUGACCAAAAUACCCUUAUUACUUUUUCUCUUUCCUCUUUCUCUCUCCUCUUCGUUUUUCUCGUUCUUUUUUUUUCUCACCGAAAAAAAUAGCGAAGACGGAGGCGGAAACGGUCCGCCUCGCCUCUCACCAUGCUCUCGCCCUCGCCCUUGCCCUCGCCCACACACCCCCCACCUUCCUCCCCUCCGACCUCGCCAAGGCCGCGCCGCGACUUUUUUUUUUAUUUUUCUCUUUUCUUUUCUUCCCCGACUCUCCUCCACCGUUUCCGACGACGACGCCUCUCUCGCUCUUCCCCGNGCCGCCUCCAACGACGAUGCAUAUUCGCCGACGCCGACGCCGACACCGUAGAAGUCACUGCGGCACUGCAAUCUCGGAGUGGGGGGUCCUUAGCGGUGUUGUCGCCGGCACCGUGGCUGUUGGCAGAAAGGGUGACAAAAAAAAAUUAUAAAAGAAAUAGAAAAAAAAUAAAUAUAAAAAAUUAUAUAAAAAGAAGGAUAAAGAUGAAAUUGUAUCGUUAACUGAAAAAAAAUUUAUAAGUUACACUACUUAAGAUGUAAACUGCGGCUUUAAGAUAAAAAAUAUACUCUUUAAACGAAAAUUACACUCUUUGAGAAAUAUUUACACUGUUUCUCUUCUUAUUGCACUCUUUCAGAUGUAAAAUUACACUAUUUCUCCUUUUGUAAGAGGAGAAACAGUGCAACAAGAGGAGAAACAGUAUAAAUAUCUCUUAAAGGGGUGCAGUUUAAGAUAAAAAACAGUGUAACAAGAGGAGAAAUGAUGCAACAAGAGGAGAAAUUGCACCUAUUUAUCUUAAACUGCACCCAUUUAAGAGAUAUUUAUACUGUUUCUCCUCUUGUUGCACUGUUUCUUCUUUUGUUGCACUAUUUCUCCUCUUGCUACACUGUUUCUCCUCUUAAACGGUGCAGUUUAAGAUAAAAAUAGUGUAACAGGAGAAGAAAUAGUGUAAGAAGAGAAGAAAAAUGUAACAAGAAAAAAAACAGUAUAAAUAUCUCUUAAAAAUGUGCAGUUUAAAAUAAAAAAUAGUUUAACAAGAGAAAAAUGGUGCAACAAGAGGAGAAACAGUGCAAUUUUUAUCUUAAUGUAUAUAGUUUACAUCUGAAAGAGUGCAAUAAGAGGAGAAACAAUAUAAAUAUUUUUUAAAGAAUGUAAAUUUCGUUUAAAUAGUGUAAUUUCUAUCUUAAAACUGCAGUUUACAUCUUAAGUAGCGCAACUUAUAAUUUUUUUUUUUACAGUUAACGAUGCAAUUUCAUUUUCAUCCUUCUUUUUCUAUAAUUUUUUAUCUUUAUUUUUUUUUUCUUACUUCUUAUAUAUAUUUUUUUGUCGCCCCUCUCUGCCAACGGCCACGGCGUCGGCGACGACGUCGCUAAGGACCCCCGGCUCUGAGGCUGCAGCACCGCAGCGACCUCCACGGUGUCGACGUCGGCGCCUGCGAAGAUGCAUCGUUGUCGGAUACGGGGAGGACGGAAAGGGAGAGACAAGAAGGACGGGGAAGAGCGAGAGAGACGUUGUCGUCGGAGACGGUGGAGGAGAGCCGGAGAAGAAAAAAAAAGGAAAAAGCGAAAAAAAAAAAAAGUCGCGGCGCUGCCUCGCUGGGGUCGGAGGCCAGGAAGGUGGGUGGUGCGUGGGCGAGGGCAAGGGCGCGGACGAGAACAUGAGGGUGAGAGGCAAGGAGGACCGUUUUCCCCUCCGCCUCCGCCUUCGCUACUUUUUUCGGCGAGAAAAAAAAGAAGAAGAGAGAAACGAAGAGGAGAGAGAAAGAGGAAAGAGAAAAAAUAAUAAGGGUAUUUUAGUCAGUUUGCUGAAAAAGCGGAUCGAAUCUGUAAGAACGAAAAAGAUGGCCCGAUUUUGCAAAAGCCCAAAAUAAGUGAAUUUUUUAUGCAAAUUGGCCAUUUAUAUAAUAUGUAAAAUAUUUAAUAAUUUUUUAUCACUUAGAUCUUUAUUUAACGGUAUAGAUUUUUAAAACCCGCCGAGUCCGGAUCCGGGUACGGGUUUCAGGCUUUUGAUCGGGUACGGAUGUGGGUAUGAAUUUUUAAAACUCGCCGGGUUCGGAUCCGGAUACGAAUUUUACUUUAGUUUUCGGGUUCGGGUUCGGGUUUUUAAAAACCCGACCCGUCGACAUCCCUAAUUCCAAGUCGCCAAACCUCAUUUGUCCAAAUCAACCCAGAAGCGGCGACGUUGGAUUUCAGCUAGAAUUUCUAUAUAGAUUAUAUAGUGUAAAUUGAUGCAAUGUACCAAAAAAUUGGGUGCUGGCAAUAAUUUGUUAUAGUUGAGACAGAAAAGAGAGAGUAUUAGAGAAGAAAUAUUUCGUACAUUGGGUGUAACAACAAAUUUUAUAUAGUACAUUUCUAAAAUCUCAUUUUAAAAAUUUAAAUUAUAUAACUUUUUCCACAUAGCUUUUUAUAUUACUUAUAUUCUAUGUAUUAAAUAUAAAAUUUAAUUUUAUAAUAUUCAUAAGUUAAAAAUAAAUUGUACAGUACAAGAUGAGAAAGAGAUUGACAGAGGAUAAAAGCAAGACAAGAAUUGGGUAGUAAAAAAAAAGAGUGAGUCUAACCCCACCAUCUCCCGGAUCAAUGGAGAGAAUGGGAUAGAAAGAAGAAUUGAAAUGAAAAAAAAAGAAGUGGGCCCCAUCCUAACUUGUUUUGCACAAAUUAACAUAGAGCGCUGCGUUGGAUUUCCACUGAAGUUUUAUAUAUAGAAGAUAUAGAAAAUAUGUAGAUUUUUCUUAGGAGAAAUACUAAAUCUACAACUUCAAAGAAUUAUAGUCUCUACAAUUUCUUAUCUAACGGUCCUUCGAUGAUUUGUAGGAAAAGGAUGUCUUUUGUAUUAGUAAAGUGGUAAAAUUACAACUAAAAGCGGGUUGAAUGUAUGAAGAUACCCUGAUUUACAAGUAAUUCUAAAAUUACUUCUAAAUUUUUGUUAUUUUGUGUUAAGAAUCAUUCCGCUUUUGGUUUACUCUAAAAUUAAGUGAUUUUAGUCAAAAAAAUAAAAGAUUUUGCCAAAUUAACUGAUGAUUUUAUUAAAUUUAACAAAAAUAGACUAAUUAACAGUUAAUAAGAAAUAGAGUUAUUAAAUUUGAUAAAAUUUUAGCUAAACUAAGUAUGAAAACUUCAAAAAAAAAAAAAAAUACAUGGAGGGGCUCUCAAUCCAAAAAAAAUAAAUAUAAUUGAGUUAUUUCAAAAUGCGUAGAAAAAUGUUCAUAUAUUNCUCACUCUCUCUCUCUCUAUAUAUAUAUAUAUAUAUAUAUAUAUAUUGAGUUAUUUAAAAAUGCCCAGAAAAAUGUUCAUUUAUUUUUUUCUAUUAAAAAAUCCACCUCUCAAUGAGUGUUUCUAAUGCAAAUGGUAAAGUGAUGAUUGAUACUCAAGAUCAUAAAUUUGAAAGUUAAUUAUUUUAUAUUUCUAGCUAAAUUUAACAAUUUUCUUUUAUCCAAAAUUAUUUCGUUUAUCAAAAUACGUACCUUGCGGCAUUCAUUUCUAAUAGAAAAAAAAAUAUUCAAACACUUUCUAAACUUUAGAGCGUAGGCAAAUAGAUCCUUGAAUUUUUAAUUUUGACAACUAGACACCCUAAACAUUAUCAAAUAAUUCAAUCAACCUUCCUCCAUAAGAAAGUUUCGUAUCGCCGGCCGUAGCCAACCUCACAUUCGUCCGGAGGAUCGACCUGUCCGACAACAUGCUAGGCGGGAACAUCCCGGAGGAGCUAGGAAGCCUACACCGGCUGCGAUAUCUCAACCUGAGUGUGAAUUCUCUUCGCGGAACGAUACCGUCUACGCUCGGCAAUUGCUCUAAUCUUCAACAACUCAUCUUGGGAGAUAAUAAGCUCAACGGUGAGAUCCCGCCAACUCUAUCGCGUCUUUCCGGUCUUAGAGAGCUUCGCCUGACUCAAAACAUGUUACAAGGGACGAUCCCAGAUUCAAUUGGGAAUCUUUCUUCUCUACUCGCUCUUUCUUUAGGUAACAAUAGCUUGUCAGGAGCCAUACCUCCAUCCUUUGGUGGCCUUCUGUCCUUGGAGAUGCUUGACAUCCAAAAGAAUAGUCUCACGGGAACCAUUCCCCCCACUCUCGCGAACCUCUCCUCUCUGAACGCGCUUGGCUUAGGAGGAAACAACCUUCAUGGUGAAAUUCCUCACUUUGCAGAACUUCCAUUCCUCUCUUACCUGGGAUGCACUUUUAAUCAUCUCUCCGGGACGAUCCCAGUCUCGCUCGGACGACUUUCAUCUCUCGAAUAUCUCCUUCUCGGGAUGAACAACUUAACAGGGGAAGUACCGUCAUCCCUUUACAAUCUAUCAUCCCUGAACACCUUAGAACUCUCUUAUAACCAACUUGAGGGAACUCUACCAUCCGAUAUCGGAAAUGCUCUUCCGAACCUUCAAGGCCUUUACAUAUAUGAAAAUCAGCUCGGGGGAAAAAUUCCGGCAUCCUUGUCCAAUGCUUCUGAGCUUUACGACCUUGAGCUAUCAUCCAAUGCAUUCCAUGGCACGAUACCGCAGAGCCUUGGAGCCUUGCAGAGCCUCUUGCGGCUCAUACUGGCCCUCAAUCAACUCGAAGCCAGGAAGCCUAGUGAUUGGAGCUUCGUUACAGCACUGAACAACUGCACAAGUCUCCAAGUGUUGGAUCUAGGAGGCAAUCUACUUCAAGGCAUGAUGCCCAAAUCAGUAGUCAAUCUUUCCACUAGUCUUCAAUUUUUUGCACUCGCUGACAACCAAAUAUCAGGAAUCAUACCUAGUGAGAUUGAGAAUUUAAUCAAUCUUACUGUUCUUGAAAUGAGUGUUAACGACCUUCGAGGCACCAUUCCGGUAGAAAUCAGUCAUCUUUGGCAAUUACAGAUUUUAGGUCUGUCAAAUAACAUGCUUUCGGGUGAAAUUCCUCCCACUUUGGGCAACCUAACACGAAUGGGCGAAAUCAAUCUCGGCAGCAACGAAUUUGAAGGAGCCAUUCCGCCGACAUUAAGCAAACUGUCAAUGCUAGAGUUGUUAGAACUAUCAAAUAAUAGGCUAAGCGGUAGUAUUCCUAAAGAAGUUUUGACCCUUUUAUCACUCACAAUCUUCCUUGACUUGUCGCAUAAUUUACUGAACGGUUCAUUACCGUUGGAAGUGGGCAACUUGAUAAAUAUCGGGGGGCUUAAUCUCUCAAAUAACAGGCUCUCUGGUGAGAUUCCAGACACCAUCGGCAAAUGCGCCAUCUUGGAAAUUCUUCAUUUAGAGAAUAACUUAUUUCAAGGGUCCAUUCCUCCCUCCAUCAGCAAUUUAAGAGGGUUUAAGGAGCUUGAUCUCUCAAAAAACUUCUACUCAGGCCAAAUACCAGCAUUCCUUGAUGAGCUCCCGGAUCUACACUACUUGAAUCUCUCCUUCAACAGUUUUGAGGGUCGAGUGCCGAUGAAAGGGGUUUUUAAGAAUGCGAUCGAAGUCUCACUUAUCGGAAACCCUAAACUCUGUGGUGGAAUUCCAGAACUAGAAAUGCCUUUGUAUCAAAACAUUACUCUGAUUAUAAACUCAAGGUAAUACUCAUUCCUAUAUGUGGGGCAAUUUUGUGUUUGAUUAUAAUCAUGUGCUUGCUUGGGAUACAUCACUUGAUGAAAAACUCUCGAAGAAAGACGCUGUCGAGGAUUUCCUUAAAAGACCGACACAUGAAAGUAUCUUACGAUGAGCUCUACAGGGCUACAGAUGGGUUCUCCUCAGAUAAUCUAAUCGGCACGGGAAGUUUUGGGUCGGUUUAUAAAGCCGCCAUGAACUAUGAAAAUGCCGACAUCGUCGCGGUGAAAGUGCUUAACCUUCAACAGCAUGGGGCUUUCAGAAGUUUCAUGUCUGAAUGUGAGGCCCUGAGAAGCAUUCGGCACCGAAAUCUUGUCAAAAUUCUUACAUCCUGCUCUAGUUUGGAUCACCGCGGUAACGAUUUCAAGGCCUUGAUUUUUGAGUACAUGCCCAAUGGUAGCUUAGAAGAGUGGCUACAUCCGAAUGCAUGCCAGAAUAGGUCAUUCAGAAGCCUAUGCCUAAUCCAGAGGUUGAACAUAGCUGUGGACGUUGCCUCCGCAUUAGAGUGUCUUCAUCACGGAGGGUCCGUGCCGAUUGUUCACUGUGAUCUUAAGCCGAGCAACGUCCUUCUCGACAAUGAAAUGACGGCGCACGUGGGCAAUUUCGGGUUAGCAAAGUUUCUGCGGCAACCGCCUGACGAAUCAUCUGAGCGUUCAUCUACCAACACUGUGGGAAUCAAAGGAUCUAUUGGUUAUGUUCCUCCAGGUGAGAAAUAAGCAAUAAAAUGGUUACUUUUUCCUAAUUUACAGCAUUUCAGAAAAAAAUAUAACAUUUCUUUAUUUGAUUCCUAACUGUACUAUCUCUAAUAUUUUUUUUGCCGCUCACUGUCUUUUAAAGCAAAAACAAGUGAAUAGCAUGAAGUUUAGUAAAUAAAAUUAGAAAUUUAGUGUAAACAUUAGUAUAAAAGGAGAAUAAAAAAAUAUUGUAGGAAAUAAAAAGGAUACUACAUAUUAGCUACAAAAACCAACAUACUAGAUUUAGAAUUAACUGCUUGAUGCUUACUACUAAAAACUGAUUAAUUAUAAUCACUAAACUCACAAGAGCUGGAACUUCAUUUCUUCAUAUCUAAUGCUAUUUUUGAAUCAAUAUAAAUAAUCUAAAAGAUCAAAUUUAGUUUUUGCAACUAUGGCUUGGAAGCAGUAGGAACCACAUCCAAAUCCAAAUGAAUUCACUUGAGAAUCUUGUAUCGUCGGUUUCCAAUUUACUAAUGUUGUGCAGAGUAUCGAAUGGGCUGUAAACCCUCUAGGCUCGGCGAUGUGUACAGCUUUGGAAUUCUUCUGCUGGAGAUGUUCACUGGAACAAGCCCCGUCGACGACAUGUUCAAAGAUGGACUGAGCCUUCGUGGAUAUGUUGGUGCUGCUGCUGCUUCUCCUGAACAUCUCAUGGACAUCAUGGACAGAAACCUGCACUCAGCUGAUAAUGAUAUAGCUUAUCGAGAAGAGUGUGUGCGAGAUUGCGUAGUUUCGGUGUUUGACUGCGGUCUCUCGUGCUCGAACGAAUACCUGCACUCAGCUGAUAAUGAUAUAGCUUAUCGAGAAGAGUGUGUGCGAGAUUGCGUAGUUUCGGUGUUUGACUGCGGUCUCUCGUGCCCGAACGAAUCGCCGUACGAACGAUGCGACAUGACGAAAGUCUCAAAGGAACUGAGUGCAGCAAGAGAGAGGCUUCUUAGCUAAAUGCAGUUUUGCUCUCUAUGCUACAGUUCUCACCGGAGGCAAAUGAAUAUAUGUUUGAACCAUAGUCAGUUAAUUCGGAUUCGGCAAAAAUUCGGUACGGGUAUAAUUCGGAUAAAAUUCGUCUUCUAAUUUUUAAAUUCGUUGAAAAAAACGGUUAAAAAACGGAUUCGCCAAUUAUUCGGAUACGUGAUUUAUACGGAUAUUAUACGUUCACUAAUUAAAAAUUCGGGAUAAAAAAUUCGGCUAUUAAAUUAAAUUUUUUUCCUCUCAAGAUUUAUGCUAUUAGCAUAAAUACUCAUAUUUUUUAAAAAUAUAAGAAUAAAAAGCUACAAAAUUAAACUAAUUAAGUAAAAAAAAAUAGUAAAGUAUAUUAUACCUCAAAAUAAAGAAAUAAUUAAGCAAAUAAGAGGCCAAGAUAGUCCAUAUUUAAAUGUAAAAGCUUCCAACUUUUGCUUUGAAGAAUGAAAACUCAAUUAGUACCUGGUCCCAAAGUUAUGCUUUAAAAAUUAAGUAGAAACCCCAGUGAGUCAAUGGUCCAUGAAAGACCACAACAAAAUUUUCCUUUUGCAAGUGUCGACAAAGAUCAUGAAAUUGAUUAGGUAUAAUACAAGAGUUCCUGGUCCCAAAGUUAAUUAAGAUUAUUUAUUUAGCACUAUGUUUGGGUCUUCUUUGUGCAUAACAGAGAAUGGACACAUUCAAUUAAGCACUCAGCCACUUGUGUAUAAAACAAUCCAUCAGAUGACUAAAAGCUUCCAACUUUUUCUUUGAAGAAUGAAAAAAACUCAAAUCGUACCUAACCGAGUUUGUAAAGAACCACCCGAUUACUGAUCUAUCGUUGGAUAGCGGAAGGGGGAGAGGAAGAGGAAGCGGAAGCGGAAGAGGAAGAGGCGACGAGGAGGGUUUCGAUUUCUGAAGAGUGAAGAACCCGAUCUUCGAUCUUCGAUUUCUGAAGAGGAGGGCUUCCGAUGGCGUUCGGCGAGCGGCCGGAAGGGAAGAGGGAGACCGCCGCAGGGGUCGAUGGCAGGGCCGCACCGCCGCAGGAGUGAGAAGUUAGGGCAAACCCUUUUUUCGGGAGGGGUGGGGGUGGGAGCGUGGAGUCCCGUCGCCUCGUGGAGGGGGGAGGGGCGCGCGGCUUCCGAUUCUAGUCCACACAGACAGCGGUCCGAAGGAAAGGAGACCGCCGCAGGUCGAUGAGGGCGCGCAACCGAGCGCCGCAAGAGUGCAAAAUUAGGCAAACGGUUUUGGUCGCCGGCGUCCCCUUUUCGGAGGGGUGGUGGGUGGACGUGGGAGUCGCGCCUCGUGAGGGGGGGUCCCGGGGGGGGGGGCGCCGGGGGCGAGGGUCGGCGAUGUUUCAGAAAUCCCUUUCUUUUCUUUUUUUUUCUUUUUUUUUUUUUGGCAAGCUAGUUCUUUUCCUGUUCUGACGCCACGCGCGCAUGCCGCGCACGAGUCCGCUCACAGUCGCAAGCAAGAGGGCCGUUUUUUUGGGCCGAAUUAUUCACGAAUCCCAUUUUAUUCGCGAAUAAUUAUUUUUGAUCAAAAAACCGCAAAUUAUUCCGAAUUUUUGGCAAAAAUUCGAAAACGGGUGUUUAAUUCGGCAUUUCAAAAAUUCGCGAAUAAUUCGCAAAUAAUUCGCGAAUUAACUAACUAUGGUUUGAACAUCCUCUGCUUUUCCUUAUUUGCAUUAAAAAAAAAAAAACUUGUGCAAAGAAAAUGCCUAGUCCUUAUGAUUUUGACCACUCAUUUCUAAAAUGAAUGAUUUUGACCACUCAUUUCUAAAAUGAAUACAACCAGAAGGAGAUAAGCACUUCAAAAUUUGUAUCCGUAUACAUUAAUAGCUUCAAAUUCCUAACUUCUGGCUCAAGUGUAUUAAUGAAGCCUAAUAUUACCCAUCAUUGCCAAAUGUGAUUGAAUACACUUUUCAGCAGAAAGCUCCGACCCUGUUUAGAACGAUGUAUAAAACAAAUUUUGGAUUUUUGCUUUUUUGAUAGAUAGGUAACUUUUAGGGUGUAUUUAUAUUCUACUAUCCUUCUAAGACAAAACAGUUCUUUAUCCUAUUGAGUUGUUUCUUUCCGGUGAUAGUGUUGGCUUAAAUAGGCCAGCAUUCUGCCCUAUGGCGGGAGGUCAUAUUGGGCCGAGUCAUGUUCAAAAUGGCUUGAGGCUGCAUGGACCAAAUUAUGCUCAAAGUAGCGUGAGGCUGAUUGGGCCGAGUCAUAAUCAAAAUUCGUGGGUACUGUAUCUGUAUGCUUUAAGUGAAUUAGUUAUAUUUUUCUAUCAGUUCAAGUUUUUGGAAUUAAUUGUUAGCACCAACGAUCAGACAAAUAGGACAUCUGGAUCAACAAUCUGCAGUGAUAAAUAUAAUUUUGGGUAUUGGAUGUGAACCAAAUUUUUUGAUUUUAAGGGUGCGUUUGGUUCGCGCUGUCUUUUUAAGAUUCCUAGUAAUGCAAUGGGAAUAAAAAAAUAUGACGGUGUUUGGCUAAAGGCACUAAGUAAUCUAGUUGGUAAUAUUAGAUUCACUUAGGAAUGAGAUUCAUCCCAAAGUACUAAUCUCAUUCCCUUGCGGUAGAGUGGGUAUCCUCAUAUUAAUGAAUUGGGUAAUCAUAAUAUGCCUAAUCUCUUUCUUUCUCCCUACCCGCCGGCUAGUUAGUAUUAUUAUCCUUUACACUCUAACCUCAUAUCUUUCUCUAAACUGAUCUUUUUCUCUCUAAACUUCAACUCUUUUUCUCUCUCUAAACUAAGCUCUCUCUCCCCCUCUUUUUCUAAAAUUUCAACUCCCUCACUCCCUCUAAUCUCAACUCUAUUUCUCUUCCUAUUAUUUAAUUAUGCUCUCUCUCUCCAACCUAUAUUUUCUCUCCAUUUUUUCUAAAAAGAUGUUGAAAUUUUUGGUAGCAUUAUCUAAAAUUAAUUAAAGAAAUAAAUAAAUAAAUUGUAUAUUUUCUGUAAACUUAAAUAACAUGACUAACUAACAUGACUAAAUAAUAUGACCGUGCGAACCAAACACAUGAAUGCCACAUUCUUAGUAAUACGAUGAAUAGGAAUAAGAUUCUCGGAUAUCUUUUUACUCCUAGUAAUCUUUCAUAGUGCGAACCAAACAUGCCCUAAAGAUUAUUUUAUGGUUCAUCAUGCAGCUGCAGAAUGAACUUCAACAACAUUCUAAAAAUGAAUUAUAGGAUUCAUCAAUUUAAGGUCAAAGGUAUGAACCUCGAUCUAGAUAGCUUAAAUCAUUUUCAAACAAAAAUUCAAGCAAUGUAGACUAAAGUUGUCGAAUUUGAGAUGCUUCAAUCAGUACUCAAUGUCAGGAAAUAGUAGAAUUUAGUUCCCAGAGAGUUUAAUUUUAGUGAAAUCCCAACAAUUGAAUAAGCUAAAAUGACUCGAACAAAAUAAAUAAAGUUUAGAAGGCGUAUGUCGAAAAAGAAAAAUGAAGUUGAGGGACCUAUUUUUACAAUGGCCUGUAGUUGCAGCGACUUCAUGCAUGCAUGUUUACCUAAACUUAGCACAAAAUACAGAAAGAUCAUACAAUAGCAUGAAUCCAAUGCAAAGAACACUCUGAAAAGCACAAACCGAAUGCUGUUUCUUGCACCAAAGUUGCCGUGAAUGAGAGGAAUCAGUUGCGAUCGCCCAACGUGCAUUUGACGCAACGAAAAAAGAACACCAGAUACAUACACACACACACCGCCCACUCUGAAUUUCUUGUACUUUCUGAGGUGCAAGCAAAUCGCUUUUUCUUUCUCGACACAGGAUCGUCGGCCAACUGCUUGGUUAUGAAAAAUUUUCUUGAUCCAAAACUCGUCAACCGAAUAUCCGAAAGAUAAUCAAACAUCAAUCUUGGAGGUUGUAAACAUAAAUCUUGCAAGCCUCUUUGCUUCUGCUGCAGCUUCUGUGCUAGCUGGUGCUAUCUCAGCCGAGCUUGUGCGGGAGCUAGCAUGCACUAACAGCUUUUUCAAUAAACAUCCAAAAUAUUAAGAUAAAUUAAAUGGUAUUUCCGAUCAUUGUACACAAGUCAUAAUUAACUAGAUUUUAACAGACUAAACAUUAUAUCCAGAUUAGGCGUGUCAACGAGCCAUACAAGAGCGAGCUAGGGCAGGCUCGUGUUCGGCUCGUUUCAACAUGAGCCGGUUCGUUAAAAUAUUAAAAAUUUAGCUCGUGUUCAGCUUAUUUUUUGACGAGUUGAACACGAGCUGCCUCACGAAUAACAAGUUAGAAAGAUUAAAAAGAAUACAUAUAGAAAAUAAAUUUAUGAGAUUUUAUCUAUUAGUUUUUAAUUUAAUAGUAAAAACUUUACAUAUAAAUGAAUUUUUUUAUAAUUGAGUUGGGCUUUAUAUUUAGGUUGAGUUAAAAAAUUAAAUAAUAAAAAUCUAUAUUAUAUAUACAAUUAUUUAUUUAUAAAUAUAAAUAUAAAAUAUAUAAAAUAUAUGUAUUUGGAAAUAUAUAAAAUAUAUGUAUUUGGCCGAACACGAGCAAGAUCCUAGCUACUGCUCGGCUUGUUUAUUAAACGAGUUGAAAAAUUCAGCUCGUAUUCGGCUCGUUUAUUAAAUGAACAAUUCGUUUCGAAUACAAGCUCAUUUCGAGCCGAACACGAACUGCCUCGCAAACAACGAGGUGGAUUGCCAUAUCUAAUCCACAUUGACUAUAAAUUACAUAAACAGUAAACUCUUGAAGGAGAAUAUUAUUAUGACCGGCAAAAUUUUUUCGUGCAAAUUUUUUUUCCUUUUUCAACAAUCCAAACAUAAUUUACUCGUACCAUUUUCUUUUUCCUCUUUAGCUCAAGUAAGAAUUUUAUAUGUGUAUCCGAGAUAGCUUCCAACCUGUAACAAGAGAUUAAAGAAAGAAUUUUGUUAGAGAGGUAACAAUUCAAUGCAAGAAACUUUAGGUAAGAAAAGACGGUACAUAUGCAUGUGUAUCUCUUUAUACUAGUAGCUGGUUGACAUGGCAUGUACCAAAGGGACUAUUUAAGGUGUAUCAACACACAUAUAGAUAUGCCAACUGUUCCUAGCACAAAUGGCAAACGGUUUAAUGGUUGGUAUUCAAAAUUUUAAGUUUAAAAUCUAGUUGCUUAACAUUUUUAGCUAAAUUUAUUUUUUAAAAAAUAAACGAAAUGGAUAGAAUGCUAACUUUCUUUUUUUAAAAAAAAACAUACAUAGAUAUAUGUGACACCCUACUUCCUAAGAAGUCAUCCAUCCUAAAACUAUUAUAACUCUAGUAAUCUAUAACCCCUAUGAAAGUCCGUUCUCCUUGUCUACGUGGCAAUAUUAGCUUAAUUUAAUCUUCUGUGGGCCCUACCUGUCAUCUUAAAAUAUUCUGUUAAUUAAUUAGUGGAUGGGGCCACCCAACCAAAUUAUUUUUUCUCCCUACUCCGCUUCCCAUUUAAUUUUCUAAUUAACUUCGUCUUCUACCUCCGGCUCCUUCGCUCGCCACUCUAGACGCCGCUCCGACUCCUGUUCCUUCUCUGGAUGGAAUGUUGUGCCGAGUUCAUGGUCAGACCUUCUUCCCAUCAUGCCCGUUCCCGUGAAUGUUGUGCCGAGUUCAUGGUCAGACCUUCUUCCCAUCAUGCCCGUUCCCGUUAGCGACGCUUCGUUUCGUUCGCCCCCUAGAUGCCGCUCCGACUCCUGUUUCCUCUUUAUCUUGAGAUUCCGUUGAUUUCAUCACGAUUGUGCGAUUUGGGCGUUGAUCUUGAUGGAUCUUAGAUAUAAAUGAGAAAUUUUUUUAAAUUUUGUAGAAUUGAGAAGAGAGCAUGGAAAGUCGGCAAUUAACUUUGUUCUUAAUUUGACCAUUUAACUAGGGUUUUUUGUAUUAUGGCAAUGCUUUUAGUAUUUAAUUCGAGAGAUCUUUCAGUAUCUACUUGAGAUUUAAGGUCUUAUAAUUUUGGUCUUAUUCACCCAAAUUAUCUUCGUAGCACCUGAUGACAUUGGAAAAUUGAGUCUUAUUGCAAAAAGUUUUAAAUUUGGGUACAAAAAAAUGUAAUGCAAUGUUUGGUUUUGGUAUGUUAUUUGAUCACAGAGCUCGGGAAAAUCUUCGGUGCUCGAAAGCAUAGUUGGGAAGGAUUUCCUACCUAGAGGUUCAGGUAAUCUUGAAGGAUCAAAAUAAAUCUGAAACAUCUCAUUAAAACCUUUAUUAUUCAGCUUCUUUGUUUUUUUUUUUUUUUUUUUUUGUUUUUUUUUUAGAGACUAAAUUAUGAUAGUUGAUGAGCUUUCACAGGAAUUGUCACUCGACGACCCCUUGUCUUGCAACUUCCUAAGAUUGAUGAGGGGAGAGAAUAUGCAGAGUUUAUGCAUCUUCCAAGGAAGAGAUUUACAGAUUUUGGUAAUUUUAUCUGCAUAGAAAUUACAGUUGAUCAAUUUUUUUUUAAUGUUAGAUCUAAACAACAUAGAUGCUAUUGGGUAUGAAUAGAUAAGAGAAGAGGAAAUGCAUUAUGAUAUGAAUUUUGAUGAGUAUUGCUAAUACAGUAGUAUACAUCAUAAGGGUGUAGUUUGGUGGAUUGGAGUAAUGGGUGCUUUAAUGUAAGGUUUUGAUCUAUUUAGAGGUUACGAUGUUGGAUUCUGAUGCUGAUUUUUGGCAUUUGUUUCUGUAAUGAUGCUAUGUUUUGUUACUAUGAUGAUAAGUUUUGAUGUAGUUUAGGUUUGGUAUGUUGGAUUCUGAUGCCGAUUUUGUCAUAUGUUUCUGUAAUCAUGCUAAAAUUGGUCAUUGUGAUGCUAACUUUUGAUGCGAUCUAGAUUUAGUAUGUUGGAUUCUGAUGCUGAUAUUUCUCAUUUUGUUUCUAUUAUCCAUGCCAGAAUCGAAGAUCAUGGGCCAUGAAUUCAGAGACUACUCAGAGGUUGGUCGAUUUGAACUUUUUGCAUAUAUUUUUUUCUGCUUCCUCUAAUUGUAUAUUUCUCUAGAAUUCUGAUGCUUGGUUCCUUGGAUUUCACUUCUUAGGCUAAAAUGUAUGGAGACUACCUCAAUCAUAGGUCAUUUUGAAAGUGGCCUUCCAACUUUUUUUUUUUUUUGAUUGACACCCCUUCACCUUUUAAUUUCUUGGAUCUGAGUCAUUUUCCUAAGUAGUAUAGGGGAUUCGGUAAAAUUAGUGGUUUCAUUUUUUAUCAGCCUGAAAUCUAAGCUCCAUCAGCAGGAAAAAACAUUCAAAACAGUUAAAUUUAACUGAAUCAGUAUUGGAUUUAAAAACAAUCUCCAAUUUAUUUUUUGAAAUAACUUAAUUCAAUAAAUAACAAGUAAGAGUGUGUCAAUCAAAAGGAAAAUAAUUGAGAGAUCGAAUUCAAAAUGCCAAUUGUUAAGGCUGUGGAUUCCUGUACAUUCUUAUCUACUUCUCAUAGAACUGAAGUGUAUAAAUUACCAAACUGGGAUACAGGUUUAUACAGGACUAAGUGAGGAAACUAGCUAUAGCAAUUGAUUUGACAAUUCUAUCCGCUAGAACAUUCCCAGAUGUAUGGGAUAUUAAGGGCUUUAAUAUCAGAGACUUUGUGCUUUAUAAGAUGUAAUUUGUCACUCUGCUAGAAUGUAGGACUUAUUUCUAUGUUGGUUGCAGAGAUAGUUAUUUAUUCUGUCACAUUACUUCGUAACCCUGUUAAUAUUUUUCCUUUUGAGUCGUUGUAAUAAAUCUUAUAGGCGGCACCUUUUCUCGAAGACUUCUGAAAUGAGAAAAAUACUAUUGUUGACUAUUGAUAAUACUCAUUACAUGUCUAAGCCUAUAGUAAAAAUAAAAUUUUACUAUCUGUUGAUCUUUUUCGAUUUGCUCAAUUUUCUACUACUACUGCUUAUACUCUUUAUGAUGUAUAUUUUACUAUUAGUUUAGGUUUGUAUUUUUUUCUUUCCCUUUUUUUUCUAUAUCGUUUCUUACUACAAGUUUUUGCUGAUAUUUCUCUAGCUUCUACUUAAUCUUAGGUGCUGCUUCUUCAUUUUAUUUCGCUUUAUAUCUUUUCGAUUGUUGUGAUGAUGUUUUUUUUUACUUUUAUAAUCAAUUUUCGAAGUUACUGCUUCACUUGAUCUUUUGCUACUAUUGUUUCAUCUACUGUAUAUGUGGAUUGGAAAAAGAUAUUGCAGUUUUACUUAUUAGUUCUAAUUCAUUAUUUCCUUCUUUUGUAUAUCGAAUACUUUUCAUUACCUUCCAUUUAUUUACAUAAAAUUUCUGACGAAAUCAGAUUUUCUUUAAUCCACGUGGAGGUAUUUCCUUAAUUUAGGCAGGUAUACUUUCUGAUUAAAUUCUAUUUCCUUUUGUUGACAUGUCAGUAUUUCCUUAUAUUUAGACUUUUGUACAAAAUACCUGUCGGUUUAACUAUCUUGCUUAAUUGUGUGUUUGUAUGAAAUUUGUGUCCAUCCUAUCUGUCAGCUUAACUUAUCUAUCGGCUUAACUCAUAUUUUACAAAAUAAAUUAACUAGAAUGGAAAUUGCGAAAUAAUUGCAACCAGUGUGUUCUGUAUAUUAUUUUUUUUAUUGUUGUGAUGGUGUUUUCUUACUAUUCCUGUUUAAAAUUAUUUGACUAUAAGUUCUGCAACUUAUAUAUUCUAAUGAAUUUUGUAAGUUGCUGCUUCACUUGAUUUUUGUAUUACUACAAUCGCAGAUUUUUGGGACAGCAGGUUAGUAACAUUUCUUAACCAACUUUUCCUAUUAGUCAUAUUUCAUUCUUUCUUUAAUUUUUUACUGACUCUUGCCUUUUCUUUCAACCAACUCUUGCACUCUUUUCUCGGCUUCUACAACUCUCGAUUUUAUUGUAUCUAUGGUCAUUCCUGUUGUUGUUGAAUUAACUGCUUAUAUUUUUAUUUUUUUGUUACUCAAAAUUUUUUAGUUUUUUUAUGUAUUUACUAUUUCGUCUUUAACUGUAUAGUAUAUUUUAUACUUAAAAUAGUUGCUAUUUUUAUUAUUGUGGUGAUAGCUUUUAUGUUACGAGGAAUGAGAAAAAUAUGUUACACUACUAUUUCUACUACUUUUUACUUCUAAAUCUUAUCCGAGUUCAUUAUAUUUUAUAUUUUGAAGUUUUUCAAGUAUGCCAGACUUUUUGUUGUUUAAAGCUGCUGAAUUACAACUGCUUUUGUCUUCAAGUACUUCUUCCUUCUUUUGCCUAUUGUAUGUAAGCUGAUUAAAUUGUUUUAAGCCCUCUUUAUUUAGGAAUUUGUGCACUGUUAGGAUAUGUUGCCUUUUUUUUUUCACAAACUUGUGAGGCAUUUUUUAGAUUUUUUUUUUAAUCAUUAUAUGUCUUCAAGUCUUAACGAAGAAAAAAUUUUGCUACAACAAUAUUUGCCCGCUGCAUCGCGCGGGGUCACUACACUAGUAUGGAUGAAAAGAUAAAGUGGGGUAUGAAAAAUAUUUCGUACCAUCGGGGUGUAAAACUAAAUUUUGCUAUCUAUAUUUCUAAUAUAUUAUUAUAGAAAUUUAAAGGCCAAUUUGCAUAAAAAAUCCACUUAUUUUGGACUUUUGCAAAAUCGGGCCACCUUUUUCGUUUUUGCAGAUUCGGUCCGCUUUUUCAGCAAACUGACCAAAAUACCCUUUUUACUUUUUCUCUUUCCUCUUUCUCUCUCCUCUUCAUUUCUUUCGUUCUUUUUUUUUUUUCUCGCCGGCAGAGCGAAGGCGGAAACGGUCCGUCUCGCCUCUCAUCCUCAUUCUCUCGCCCUCGCCCUCGCCCUCGUCCACGCACCCCCCACCUUCCUCGCCUCCAACCCCGCCAAGGCCGCGCCGCGACUUUUUUUUUUUUUUUUCUUUUUUCUUUUCUUUUCUUCUCCGACUCUUCUCCACCGUCUCCGACGACGACGCCUCUCUCGUCCUUCCCCGCCCUUCUUAUCUCUCCCUCUCCCUCAUUCUCUGCCGCAUCCGACGACGAUGCAUCUUCGCCGGCGCCGACGUCGACACCGUGGAGGUUAUUGCGGCGCUACAGACUCGGAGCGGGGGUCCUUAGCGGUGUCGUCGCCGGCAUCGUGACUGUUGGCAGAGAGGGCGACAAAAAAAAAAUUAUAGAAAAAACAGAAAAAAAAAUAAAGAUAAAAAAUUAUAUAAAAAGAAUGAUGAACAUGAAAUUGCAUCGUUAACUGUAAAAAAAAUUAUAAGUUGCACUACUUAAGAUGUAAACUGCAGCUUUAAGAUGAAAACUACACUCUUUAAACGAAAAUUACACUCUUUGAGAGAUAUUUACACUGUUUCUCUUCUUAUUACACUCUUUCAGAUGUAAACUGCAUCCAUUAAGAUGAAAGUUACUCUUUAAACAAAAGUUGCACUGUUUCUUCUCUUGUUGCACCAUUUCUCCUCUUGUUACACUGUUUUUUAUUUUAAACUGCACCCUUUUAAGAGAUAUUUGUACUGUUUCUCCUUUUGUUGCACUGUUUCUCCUCUUGUUGCACCAUUUCUGUAUAAACAAGAGGAGAAAUAGUGUAACAAGAGGAGAAACAGUGCAACAAGAGGAGAAACUGCACUGUUUUAAAAUAUAUAUAUACUGUUUUUCCUUUUGUUGUACCAUUUUUGUGUAAACAAGAGAAGAAAUAGUGCAACAAGAGGAAAAACUGCACUGUUUUAAGAGAUAUGUCUACUGUUUCUUCUCUUGUUGCACUGUUUCUCCUCUUGUUACACCAUUUCUGUAUAAAUAAUAGGAGAAAUAGUGUAACAAGAGGAGAAACAAUGCAAUAAGAGAAGAAACUGCACCCUUUUAAGAGAUAUUUAUACUGUUUCUUCUCUUGUUACACUGUUUCUCUUUUUGUUGCACCAUUUCUGUGUAAACAAGAGGAGAAACAAUGCAACAAGAGGAGAAACAGUAUAAAUAUCACUCAAAAGGAUGCAGUUUAAGAUAAAAAUUAGUAUAAUUUUCGUUCAAAGAGUAUAAUUUUUAUCUUAAAGCAGCAGUUUACAUCUUAAAUAGUGUAACUUAUAAUUUUUUUUGUAAUUAACGAUGCAAUUUCAUCUUCAUCCUUCUUUUUAUAUAAUUUUUUAUCUUUAUUUUUUUUUUUUCUGUUUUUUCUAUAAUUUUUUUUGUCAACUUCUCUGCCAACAGCUACGGCGCCGGUGACGACGCCGCUAAGAACCCCCGCUCUGAGGCUAUAGCGCCGCAGUGACCUCUACGGUGUCGACGUCGGCGCCGGCGAAGAUAAAUCGUCGUCGGAGGCGGCAGAAAAUGAGGGAAAGGGAGAGAUGAGAAGGGCGGGGAAGGGCGAGAGGCGUCGUUGUCGGAGACGGUGGAGAAUAGUCGGAGAAGAAAAGAAAAGAAAAAAACAAAAAAAAAAAAGUCGCGACGCGGCCUUGGCGGGGUCGGAGGCGAGGAAGAUGGGGGGUGCAUGGACGAGGGCGAGGGCGAGGGCGCAAGCAUGAGGGUGAGAAGCGAGACGGACCGUUUCCGCCUCCGCUCUGCCGGCGAGAAAAAGAAAAAAAAGAACGAGAGAAACGAAGAAGAGAGAGAAAGAGGAAAGAGCAAAAGUAAUAAGGGUAUUUUGGUCAGUUUGCUGAAAAAGCGGACCGAAUCUGCAAAAACGAAAAAGGUGGCCCAGUUUUGUAAAAGUCCAAAAUAAGUGGAUUUUUUAUGCAAAUUGGCCAAAUUUAAAUUAUGUAAUUUUUUAUCGAUAAUUUUUUAUAUAAUUUAUAUUGUAUAUAUUAAAUAUAAAUUUUAAUUUUAUAAUAUUGAUUAGUUAAAAAUAUAUAUUGUAUAGUAAAAAGAUCAGAGAGAGAGAGAGAGAGAGAGAGAAUUUAGUUGGUAAAAAAGGGCACCACCCAACUCCGACGUGGAGAAUGGGAGAGGGGGGAGAAUGAUCCUACCCUAAUUCCCUCUGGCCAAAUUAGCGUGAGAGAAAAAAAAAAAAAAGUGGACCCUACACCCUUACCCCUUUCUUCCGCUCAAAUCAACGUGGAGAAUGGGGUCUGUGUCUUCGCCCGUUUUCUUCUUCGACGACUAGCGGGGGCACACAACUUGGCUCCGGGUGGGGACGUACGAGAACUUUGGAAUCUAAUUUCACAGACUCCCGACGCCUCUUAAGAUCUAAAGGUCUAACCAAGCUAGCGGCCACUUGGUGGGUCUUCUGUACUGAGCGAAACAACUUCGUCUUCCGUUCAAGCCUUCCCAACGUCGAGAGAGCUUCGGACAGAGCUUCAACCCUGCUUAGUGACUGGAGCUCACUCAUGUAACUCAUUUCCUCUUCCCCACUUUCUUUUUUUAUUACUUCUUCCUUCUCUCUUUCGCCACUUUUAUUUUGUUUUUCUAUUUUCCCGGUUCGGUUUUUGCCAAGGAAGCCUAAGCUGCUUCCACCUUGUAAGCUUAGUUCACUUAUCUUAUUGAAUGAAGCAGGUAGCAUGCUAUCUUUCUCUCAAAAAAAANGGAAGAGAGAAGAAUUGGGAUGAAACAAAAAAAAAAAAAGUGGGCUCCACUCCAACCCUCACUAAUCCAAAUCAACAUGGAAGCACCACGUUCGAUUUCAACUAGAGUUUCUAUAUACACUAGUGAAGGAUUCGCGCGUUGCGGUGGAUCGAUUUCGUAAAAAUAAAUAGUAAAUAAAAUUUUAAAAAACGUCACAAAAUAAAAAAAUAUAAUAAAAAAACCGAAGCAGAAGCAGCAAUAGCUACAGUAAAAGCAUAAGAAUAAAAAUAUAAGAAAAAUAAAAAAACAUAAGAAAAAAUAUAAAAAUAAUAAACGUCAUAUGGCUUAUAGUAUGAACCAAAAAUUACAACUGAUUAAAGUUUGAGGACUAAAAUAUCAUGUGCCUCAUAGUUUGAGUAAGAAAAUAUAAUGCAUUAAAAUUGGAGGACUAAAAUGUCACGCAUCUUAUAAUUUGGAACAAAAUAAAAAUUUAUCUUUUUUAUAUUUUAUUUUUAUUUUAGACGACAAAGUUUAGCGUCGAUCGAUUUUGUUUAAUUAAUAAUUUUAUUUGAGGAAAGAAUAUGUUAAAUGAUUUAAUAAAUUUUAGAAUGCCUAAUUGUUAAAAGUAAAAGUCGACCAAAAAUAUUUUAGAUAUUUUAAAAAAUUUUAAAUAUGAAAUUGAUCAUUCUUCAGAAUAUAAAUAUGGCAUUGAAGUUUGAAAUUAAAAUCAAAAUAAAAACGUAUAAGUUUUUUUUGAAUUAUAAAUCAUUUUGAAUCUGCUAUCUAAUCUUUCAAAAUUUUAUUUUUAUUAUCCAACCUUUCUACAUGUUAAAUUUCAGUCAAUCAAUAAUAUUUUGACUUCAAAAUAAAUUUGAAUAUAUGUUUAUUUUACAAAUUUAGUUAAUAUAUUUCAUGUAAUUCUCGUAACUAAAUUUAUUAAAAUAAAUAUUAAUUUAAAUUCCAUUAAUCUUUCUUUUUAUUUUUAAUUGUAUGAUUUAUAUCUAAGUUAUCAAUAUUUUUAUAUUUAAUACAUGUAAUUUAAUUAUUUAAAAGUUUAAAUUAUUGAAGAGAAAACGAUUAAAAAAAUAAAAAAUAAAAAAUUAAAAUAUAUAACUUUUCACAUAUAACUUUUUAUAUUAUUUAUAUUCUAUGUAUUAAAUAUAAAUUUUUUAAAUAAAUAUUAAUUUAAACUCCAUUAAUCUCUCCUUUUAUUUUUAAUUGUAUGAUUUAUAUCUAAGUUAUCAAUAUUUUUAUAUUUAAUACAUGUAAUUUAAUUAUUUAAAAGUUUAAAUUAUUGAAGAGAAAACGAUUAAAAAAAUAAAAAAUAAAAAAUUAAAAUAUAUAACUUUUCACAUAUAACUUUUUAUAUUAUUUAUAUUCUAUGUAUUAAAUAUAAAUUUUAAUUUUAUAAUAUUUAUAUAUUGAAAAUAAAUUAUACAAUAAAAGAUGAGAAAGAGAUUGACGGAGAAUAAAAGUGAGAGAAGAAUUGGGUAGGAAAAAGAAAGUGGGUCUCACCCCACCCUCUCCACCCGGAUCAACGUAGAGAAUGGGGGAGAGAGAAGAAUUGAAACAAAAAAAAAAAGUAGGCCUCAUCCUAACCUGUUUUGCACAAAUUAACAUGGGAGCGCCAUGUUGGAAAUAUCCACUGAAUUAUAUAUAGAAGAUAUAUAAAAUAUGUAGAUUUUUUGAGAUAUUAAUACUAAAUUUACAAAAAAGAAUUAUAGUCUCUACAAUCUCUUAUCUAAUGGUCUUUCGAUCUUAUCCCACAUUUUCUAAUCCUUAGUGGCAAGAUUUGUAGAGAAAAGAUGUCUUUUAUAUUAGUAAAGUGGUAAGAUUACAACUGAGAAUGUAUGUGUAACAUUUUUCUUUUAAAAAGCUUAAGGGGGCUUUUUCAGAAUAUAUAUACAAUCGGAGGGGUCUCCAUACAUUUUUAUCGUAAAAAAUUAUACAAUAAUUCGACCUGUUUCGUCGACUGGUCUCCUCGUUUACUUCAGUCACCUCUACUAAUGUCAAUCCACUAAUUUGUCCACCAAUUUCCACAAAUUUCUUUAUCACAACAAAUUUGAUGGUUGUAUUGAAAUAGCAAUACAUUGUAUGAAUCUACUGUUAGUAGGUGCUUUUAAUUAGUCACUUGGUUCAUUUUUUAGGAUACACUAAUGUGCUGUUACAAUUACAUGGCACUACAAGAAAAUUUCAAUAUAAGGAUGCUUUUUAAAUAACACUUGAAAAAGCAUCUCCAAGCUCCCUACAAUAUAGCAAAUAUCGACAUUCAAAAAAUAUCGUCAUAUGAACCCUCUAUUAUAGCAAAAAUAUUUAUUAGAUGAUAAACUUCAUUGUUAUUUUUAAUUUUUCGACGUUUUAAAGUAUUAGGAUUUCAAAAAAUUCUUAAAAUUCCUGACGCUUUAAAGCGUCGAAUAAAUUUUACCGACGCUUGGCAUAAGCGUCGGUAUAUACUUGGCGAUGUUUUAACAGGUGCUUUUAAAUGUCAUGCUAGACUAUAUUAGGACGAUUUUAAAUAUCGUUAAAUAUAUAAAAAAAAUACUUAAAUGUUACUUUUCUUCUACUGUGGUCUUAGUUAUCUACUUUAUUUAUUUUCUACAGUGCAUGGAUAUACUGCUACAAAUAGGAGUAGAUGCAUUUAGCUACCUGCUUAGCUAAAAUAUAAAGUAAUUACAUCUCGAACUUAAAGUUCGGAUACUAAUUAUUAAGCUUUUAACCAAUUACCGCUAGUGACAUUUUGCAGAAGCAUUGCGGUACUAGGUACACAAGUAUUGUCACACUACGGUAUUACUUCCUUUCGACAACUAAAUAGAAUUUUUGACUAAGUGUGGAAGUUAGUUUGUUAUCAAUCCAGUUGCCAAGAUUAAAUACCAACCAAGAGCUACUGCAGGAUUACUAUGGUUUCAGUUUUCUCGUCUUAGUUCAUAGAAUGGAAGGCUUCCAUGCACUAUUUUUUCUCAUCAUUCUGCUGUACGUGAUCACCACCCCUUGGUGCGCUGCCGCCGCCGGGAUCAAAGAAGCUGCAUCCGACCGCGCUGCCCUCCUCUCCUUCAAGUCGCUCGUCGACGACGAUCCGUUCGGAGCGCUCUCCUCCUGGAACAACGGCUCUCUCCACCACUGCAGGUGGCGCGGUGUCUCCUGCGGCCGCCGCCAUCCGGACCGGGUCACGGCCCUCAACCUCAAGUCUCUCCGCCUAGCCGGUUUCGUAUCCCCUGCCAUAGCCAACCUCACAUUCCUCCAGAGGAUCGACCUAUCCGACAACAAGCUAGGCGGGCGCAUCCCGGAGGAGUUUGGAAGCCUACACCGGCUGCGAUAUCUCAACCUGAGUGUGAAUUCUCUUCGCGGAACGAUCCCGUCUUCGCUCAGCAAUUGCUCUAAUCUUCAACUACUCAAC